GGGUCUUGAUAUUCUUGCAGUUAGAGAUCUCGAGCCGUGUAAGACGGGUGAGCUUUUUUAUCUGAGGAAGCAACAAUUCCAGAUUUUCAAAAUCUGCAAUACGUAGAUUUGUGAGGGUGUUGAGGCAAUCUGGUAGGGUUUUGAGAUUAGGAUACCUCCAGAGGGUUAAAGAUUGAAGUGAAUUAUUAGUAGAGUGAAACAUCUCCUCUGAAAUUGACUCGAGGUGUUCACAAUCCCAAAUGUCAAGUCCCUCAAGGGUGGAGGGAAACUUGCCUCUUGGGAAGGAUGUGAGAGAUGAACAAUGACAGAUAGCCAGGCUUUGAAGAGCAGCAGCAUAUGUGGAAUCGUAGUGCAUUAUUCCCUCUGGUAGAGACUCCAGCUUUUCACAAUCACUUAUGUAGAGUGCCUUGAGAGUGAUGGGUAACCUACCUCUCGGAAAACCAAUCAAAGAGGGACACAUAUUUAGACUUAAGUAUUCAAGGGCACACAUGUCCAUGGUGCUGGUGGUGGCGAUGGAAUUGCAGUGCAUCAUUCCUUCUGGAAGAGACUUGAGAUUUUGACAAUCACGUAUGGUUAGUUUCUUAAGGGUGGUGGGUAAUUGCCCUUUUGGAAAGCAAAUGAGAGAUGGACACUUCCAUAUCCUUAAGCAUUCAAGGAGACACAAGUUGUUGUCAGUACUACCGUUCCUCAUCUUCAACAUCAUGCCAUCAGGUAGACGCUUUAGACCUUUACAAUUAUUAAGAAAAAGAUUUCUCAGCAUUGGUGGGAAACCUACAUCUGGAAAGAAGAUUGUCAAUUCUUCAAGGCAUGUUAGACUCUGCCAUCCAUUUGGAAGCCUCUCUAGUUUAUCACGUUUAAUUAUUUCCAAAGACUGAAGAUUGCAUCCCAAGGAUACAAGUUGAUCACAAUCUCUAAUCUCAAGAGAAAGAGAGUUUUUUGAUCCAAAACCAUCCUCCCACAAAUAUUCGAGUUCUUCACAUUCUGAUACUUCCAAAACCCGAAGCCCUUGCAAAAAUUGCACAAGUCCUUCAUGCAAUUUUACAAGCCUUGAAAUCCUAGAAAUUGUUAACCUGGUGAGUGAGGUGAGGUCAUUUCCACUUCUCAAGACCGCCUCAUUACAUCCUCUUACUUGCAAUUCCCUCAGCAGUGGAAGUCUUGAAAGUGGAGACUCCAAUUUUGGACAAAAGUGAACAGAGAGCUUUGUAAGAGAAGGUAGGUAAGUGGGUAGUUUCAUAAUCAAUUUGGGGCAAUACUUAAUUAUAAGCUCAUGGAGACAAGGGAAUAAUGACUCUGUUGAGGAAGACCAGUCCUCCCAGUGCUCCCAUUCUGACAUGCUCUCAAAAUGUAGAGACUCUAGUGAUGGGAAAAACUUACCUGCAGAAACACGAGUCUCUCCAUAAAACUCUGCACCCACUUUUUUUACUCCAACCAUUCCUUGGAUCCUCAACUGUUUGAGCGAUGGCAACUGCCCCAAGCAUGGUAAAGACGUGCACUUUCUGCAAUCUAUGAGACUUAGAUCCACCAUCUUAGAGAACAAGGCAUCCCCUAUCCAACGUGGGAAUUUUGGACCACCAUACAACUGAAUGCAGAGUUUGUUCAGAUUCAAACAACGUUGUAGAGAGUCAAGGACAUCCAUUUGAUUCCUUUCAUUCCCUGAACCAUCCAACUCAGAACUCCACUGCAUUAUCAAGCUUUCAAGGUUACGCUUUAAUUUUAAAUCGGCAUCCCUUGCAUCUUGAAUAUUCACCACAUUUUCCAAUUUCGAAAUGCAAAGUUCUCCUCGCAGAUGUGACACGUCCUUCAACUCUUUGAUUGUCAAACCUUUGUUUUUGUCCACAAUGAAAUUAGACAAUAUCCGCAAAUCUUUUAGUUUGUCAAUUCGUAUAGGCAUUUCUUGUAAUUUUAUUGCACCGGCAACAUCAAGAUGUCGAAGAUUGAUUAGGUUAUCGAUGCUAAUAGGCAACCUGAUAAGCUCUUUACAACAUGAUAAUUUCAAUGUCUGAAGGUAAAAAAGAUUACCAAUUGAAUCGGGUAACCAUUUUAUACUAAUGUAGGAUAAAUUAAGGUAUCUCAAAUGUUUCAACUUACCAAAUGAAUCCGGUAUCUCACUUAUCAUGUAAUUAGUCAAUGAGAGCACCCUUAAGUGCCCUAACCUUGGUAUCAAUUCUUCAAGCACCUUAUUACUUAUGAAGUGAUCAAGCCAUGUUGGUUGUUCAUCAAUCGGGAAAGCUAUGAAUGUGCGCAAGUGCUCCUUUUCAUGAAACCUUUCAAAAUUUUUAAAGAUAUCAUAAUGAUGAUGGAUGAAUGAUGAAUGACGAGCAUUUUUCAAAAAUGGGGCAUUGCAAAUCAUUCCACAACUCAUCAUCCAAAUGCAAGCAUGUGUCUCCAGCAAUAGAAUUAGCUAGACCGUUAAUAAGAUCAUGCAUAAUGAAUCAUGAUUUAUUGCUGCUCGACGAUUGGAAAAAUGACCUUGACAAUAGUUCACAAAAAUAAUCAUCACCAAGAUCUUCCAUUUUCUCAUCCUCAUUUGAUUGUUGAAUUAACCCCUCCGCCAUCCACAAGAGGAUUAGCUCUUCCUUCUUAAACUCGUAAUCUUGGGGAAAUAAUGCGCAAUAAGCGAAACACCUUUUUAAAGUGUAUUUCGAAUUUAAAUUAUUGCAAGUGUAUUUGCUUGACUAACCUUUUGAAUUACUCAAAUUUAACAAGUUGCAAAUAGGUCCCUUAGCUAAUCUUUUAAAUUAAUCUUGAUGUUGACAAGAAUCUUGCCGACCAUAAUUAUAAAAAGAGAAAUAAUUGAAGCUAAGUUGACCUAAUCUAGUUUAAUAAAUUGCAAGUCGGUGCCCUUACCUAAUCUUUUAAUUUAAUCUUCAUAUUGAUAAGAAUGAAGCCGACAAUAAUUAUAAAAACAAAAAGACGACAAGUUAAUUCUAUUGACUAAUUUUAUUAACUCAAAUUUAAUUAAUUACAAGUAAGUUUUCUUAAGUCUUAACUAACGUUUAAAUUAAUCUUGAUAUAUAUAAGAACCUUGCCAACUGUAAUCAUAAAAAAGAAAAGGCCGACAAACUAAUUUAAUUGACUAAUUUUAUUAACUUGAGUUUAAUAAAUUGCAAGUAGGUUAAUCUCUUACCUAACCUUUUAAAUUAAUCUUGAGAUCAAUAAAAAUUAUAAAGAUCAUAAUUAUAAGGAGGAGAAAAAGGCAAACUAGUUUGAUAUUUUUAAGGGCUUAAGCUAAAUUUAUACCUUUUAUACAAGAGUUCCUAUUUUUAUAUAAACGUUUUUAUCACUUUUUGUUUUUAAAAACAAAAAAUGAGAAGUAUAUCUAAACAAAUACUUAAUAUUGAAUGGUAUAAACUCCUACUCAUUUAAAUGAAAUAAAGAGAUAUUUUCAUUUAAGAUAAAAAAAAAUGUAAGGAUAAAAAAUUAAAAAACUUUUUAACUUCUUGUACUUUAUUAUUACAUUUUUUUCAUUAGAUGCUUUAAAUAUUUUUUAUCAAAUAAAAUUAUAAUGCUAUUGGUCGAGGGCUAAUUAACUUUGUUUAAGCGAGAAAGAUAUAGUUAAGAUUGGGGUCGAUCCACAACUAAAAGAAGAAUGAAAUAAAAAGUAGGAGAUGAAUUGAUCAAACCAAUGUCCCAAAAAUAGUCCUAUGCAUGGCUCUACUUGAAUAUCUAUGAUUAUGAUUAUUAUUAUUAUUAAACUAAUCUUAACUUUAAGUUAAAGAUAAUUUAAAAAUAUAUAUAACUUCAAAAAUUAUUUUCAAAUCUAGAGAGUUAUUUUGAACUAGCAAUUAAAAGAUACUUCUUCAAAAUCAUUUUUUCUUAUUAUACAUUUUAUCAUCGAGAACCGUUUCAAACCAUCUUUUUGGUUUGCUUUCACAAAAAUGGUUUUUUCCCCCUCCAAAAGAGCUAUCAAUGGAAGCGUUAUAGGCUAAAACCGUAUUUAUGAUAAUCAAUUCCAAUGGAUCCUAUAAGUUAUGCCAUUUUUAUGAAGUUUUUCUUUGGUUUUUAAUCUUUGUAUUAAUGCAUCAAUAAAUGUUUUAUUAAAGAAAUUACUAGUAUAAUAAAUGAUACAAGAUUGUACGUGGGUUCAUGUUGAUAGGACAAUGAGAUAAAAAAAUAUAAGGUGAAUACAAAUCUCCAUGCAUAAAUGAAGCAAUUAGCUUGUUCAAUAUAUUUAGCUUGAUGUAAAAUUUCCUUUUUAUUUUCCAAAUUCUUUAUAACAAUUGGCUUUCCCUCGUAGUACAAAAAAAAUAAAAAUCCUCCUUGCAUUAAUUUUUCUCCUAAAACAAUUUUUUUUAAAAAAAAUUAACUUUUCAAAAAUUAAAAGCUAUUAAAAACAUCUGCCUAUAAUAACCUAUAAGUAAAAGUUCCUUCAACUAGCCUAUUACUUUUUUGAGAGUUCAUAUGAAUUAUGUAUGGCCCACAGUUGGACUUUGAAGAGUUUCAAAGCAAUUUAGUUAAAAGAUAACAAAAAAAAAAAAAAUGAUAUGACAAAUAGUGAAAAUCACUUUGGAUUCCAAUAAUAUUUUCUAUCAAUAUAAUAUCUCAAUACAAUGUCUCCUUGGUAGGUUUAGUAUGAAAAUGAAUUAUUUUAUGAAUAUGACUUUGGAUUCCAAAUUUUGAACUUUCUAAUGCCUUAACAUAGUGGUAGGUGUCACACCCCUGAAGGUCACACCAAAUUUUUCACAAGUGCGCGGUGCUAAGGACCCUUCCUUAGCCAACCUUCCUUCCCAGCGUUUAGAAAAACAGAGUAAAAGCACAACAACAGUAAAUCAAUAGGGACACAAACGUUUACAAGAAACCUUUCCCAACUUGUAUUAAUUCACUCUACAAGACAAAAUUGUUCCUCUGAACCAGAGUACAAUGCUCACACCCAAGCAUUACGACAAGAACCCUUUUCCCCAAAUUCUCUCUCUCUCCGUUUCAAGGCUCUAGGAGCCCUUUUAAAAGACUUAAGCUGCACUUACAAAUUUGAAUUUCCAAAUUCAAAUGUUGGAGCCAAUAUGGUGGUUAUGCAACUAGCCAGAAUCACCCAUAACUGCCUUGCAUAACCACCCACCACCCAGAUAGUGGCCUGCACAUGCCACCCACUUGCACCAGCCAUCAGCCCUCAGCCAACUACAAGUCAAAUGACAGCUUGACUUAGUCACUUGCUGUCUGAGCUAGCUGCCACUAGCUAGCUACACUGCCAUCUUCUCAAGCCCUGCUCGCUAAGCUGCUGGAGAGUCCCCCUAACAAGCUGUCUCCUUCCCCGCAAGGUGCCUCUUGUGACUGGGUGCCCAUCAGCAUGUCUUUGAUCAAGGCCUUCUAAGCCAGGCAGUGUGCACCAACCAGCUGACCAAGCGUCUGGUGCAUCAGUGUGCCUUCCCCACACUAAUGUGUGAGCCCAUGCCAUGUCUAAGUGCCCAUGGCUUGGGCUUGUUGCUUGCUUCCCUUGUCAGAUCCAGCUUCAUAGCAACGAGCCAUGGCAUUGCGCCCAUGGCUAAUCCCUCUUAGUGCACAGGGCAUUGUGCCCCGGUGCUGUGCGUAGACAUCAUGGUGCGAGUCAGCUAUUGCUUGGUGCCCCAUCAGACCAUGGCAUUGUGCCCAUGGUUUCAUCAGCUGGCUCACCGCACAAGUCUUAGGCACUCUCGUGCUUGCGCGGGAAGGAGGUAGGCCGCACCAAGCCCCAUGCCGUUGUGGCCAUGGGGUACACACCACACAUGUCGUGGAGCCCAUGUGUGCAUGCUCAAGUCGCAUCCGUGUGUCCUAGGCACGCCCAAGGCCGUGCCAUGGUGUCCCCUUGGUGCAGUCAAGGCUUUCCUUGGUGCUCUCUCCUUUGAGUCACCUAACCCCCCCCCCUUAAAGAGCAAUACGGGUCGUUUUCAUUGUUUCUGGAGGAGACAUUAAUAUGCCUGAGGAGACAUAAUGGAAUAAUAAAUAAUUAUAAAUUAAAAUUCCAAAAGUCUCUCAGCCUUCAUCUGCACCACCUAAGUCAGGUGCGCACACGAUGCCCAUCUGGUGCGCACGCGAUGCAUGUCUGGCUCGCCCGUAGUGCGCGCACGGUGCCCAUCUGGCCUGUUCACAAUGUGCGCACGGUGCGCGUCUGGCUCGCCCGUGGUGCGCGCGCGGUGCACGUUUGGCUCGCCCACGGUGUGCACGUGGUGUGUAUUUGGCUCACCCGUAACCUCUCACAUAGCCCCUAGAGUUUGAACCACCAAACCUCUAGGAUUUCCUUGCUUUCAGCCUAGGCUCUCAUGGGUACAAGGCCUAUCCAUGAGGCCUUUUCCUCCAUGGUUAAGUCAAGAGGCUAAGGGGCUGACAGUAGGCCUUAUAGAAAAUGAAACUUGGGAAAAAGUAUAGUAUGGACAUAAUUUUUGACUUAGGAGGUGAUGUUACAACACCUUCAAUUAAUUACCUUGAAAAUGAUAUGUUAUUGUAUUGAAAAUGAUAUUAAAUUUAAUGAAGACAUAUCUAAUAAAAAUAACACCCGUUUUUUAAAACAAUAUUAUGAUCUUACUAUUGUGUCAUGUUGGAUCAUAAAAAUAUCACCCAUUUUUUAAAACAAUAUUAUGAUGUUACUAUUGUGUCAUGUUGGAUCUCAUUUGGAAAACAAUUUAAUUAUGUUGUGUCAUAAUUUUUUUAAAAUUUAUUCCAUUUUUCUUUUAAUUUUUGAAGCAUGCAAUUGGAGUUGGUCUAAACUUUGAAUAGUUGGAGCCAAUUUCAAUGCCUUAGUGGGUCUAAAAGAAAAAAAGAAAAGAUUGGAAAAUUGAAGUGGAAUAUGGAGACAAAAUUUUAAAGGCUUGAAGUGAUGUUACAGCUUUCCAAGUAAUUACCUUGAAUGUGAGAUGUCAUUAUAUUGAAAAUUCAUAUUAAAUCUCAUGAGGUAACUAUAGGAAUUGCCAUACAUAGAGACAAAUAAUAAAUAUAUCUCACUUUUUCAAAAUGUUUGUGAUCCUAAUUAUACAUUGCCUUUAUAGUGGGAUGAAUGCAUCUUCACUUAAAGUCUUAUUCUAAACAUAUUUUUAGAAUUUUCUAGGAAUAUGUAAAGAAAACUUUAUGAUAAGUAAUUUCUAUCUAAGACGGGUAAAGUCUAAUAUGAUUUGUUCACACCAUUCAAAUCCAACACAUUUUUUUAUAAAUUUGAAAUGAGUAUAAUUGUAUUUGAAUAAAAAUAAAUUGUUUUUAGGUCAACUUUCAUAACAAACAUUUAACUCAAAUUGACUUAUUUAAUAAUAUUAAUCUUAAUUAUAACUUUAACUUAUUUAACUCAUAUUUGACUCAUUUAAAAUUUGAUUUUCAAUAGUGACAUCAUAAUUGAGUUAUAAACAUGUCAGUUUAGGACACUAACCAUAUAAGAUCAUACAAUGUUAAACUCAAUUUGACUAUUAAAUAACAUCUAAUUAUUAUAAGAGUUAAAUAGGUUACAAUGUAUUACUUGGUUAAUAAUUAGAUUGUGUUUGAGUUUGUAUUUUUAAUUAUAAUUUAGUUGAGUGUUUGAUCUACGUUACCAACAUGAAUUAUCACUCAUAUUUCUAUUGCAAAACCAAAGAUGGGAUAAUUCUUAGUUUUGAUGAUAAUAAAAGAAGGUUCGACUAAAGUUUCAUCUUGAGUGUGACUAGGCAAGAUGAUUUUUAAAGUAACAAUUACAAAGAUAAACCAAAACAAAAGAAAAAAAAGAAAGAAAAGGAAGACCUCAAAGAGAAGAGACUUCAAAAAUUUUUAUAAGAUCUCUUUGUAAGGUUGUUGGUGCACUAGAAUUUACAUGCAUUUUAUUCAAGCAUCAAAGAUCAUCCUUGUGCGAUUUUGUUUUAAAUUUUUUUAUAAUUAGAUGAUUUCAUGUUUUUAAUUAAAACCUUAUGCCAAAUUUUUUUCUAAACUUUUUAAAAGGGUUGCAUGAGUUGCUAGAGGUUUGAAACCUAAAACCUGAGUAUUUGAGUACUUAAUAGUGCAACCGGUCAAAAGUCCAGGGAAUUGAUUAAAUCAUUUAGGUUCAAUCAAUUGAGGGGUGUUUUUACACACGCUUUCUCUCUUUCUUGGUCAAGACUUUGCCUUUCAUGGUCAAAGUCUUGAACCCUAACGAACACUUACUAAAAGUAUUAAUUGCUAAUGAUUUUAGCAUUAAUUGCUAACGGUUAGUGAAUCAGUCAAAUCGGAACUUGACUGGUUGACCCCCUAAAUGUGCCUAACAACAAGUUUAGCCUUUCUACUUCUACAUAAAGGUUCCAAUCUUCAUUGUUGGUAAGUCUAACAUUCCCAAGUCUUUUAUGAACAGUAUUUGAGCCUUGGUGGAGUGUUUUUUAGCACACCUUGUUUCAAAACUUGCAUAUCAUUAGUUCACCAUUAAUCUUAAUUUAUCUUGUAUCAUUUGAGCUUAAAUUUGUACUAGGAAUGUGUGAGAUUAUCUUUCCUAUCAUUUUGUGUAAACCUUUGUAAGGGGAGAUUAAGUGUGGGGUAUUACUUAAAGGAAAAUUUAAGCAUGAGGUAUCACUUAGUGUUUGUCAAGUGUGGGGUAUCACUUAGGAAAUUCAAGAGUGAGGUAUUUUUUGAAAAAUUUGUAAGUGUCCAUUGGAGUCAGUUAAUCUAAUAGUAUGAUUAGAAACUUUAGAUUAGUAGAACCUCAAGUUUAGGAUUGAAGUUAUAGGAGAGUGAACAUAGAACGAGUUGCACCAAACCACAAUAAAAAUAUUGUGUUUGUAUUCUCUCUUCCCUAAUCUUUUUAAUUUGUAUGAAAUUACUUUUCAUUGUAUUUAUUGUAUAUUUGCAUAUAAUUGUCUUUUGUAUUCAUGUAGUUUAAGUUUGCAAAAAGAAACCAUCACCCUAUUUAUCCUCCCUCCCCCUCCCCUUCCCCUUCCCCCCGAGGGUGACUACCUUAGGUUAAUUUAGCAAAAAUCAUAACAUUUACAAAUAUAUUAUUUGCUUAUUAUAGUUAAGAAAAAUGCCAAGAAAAUUUAUCAAAAAUCAUAACAUUUACAAAUAUAUUAUUUGCUUAUUGUAGUUAAGAAAAAUGCCAAGAAAUUUCAUUGAUAAAAAUUUCCAUGAUAAAUUCUAAAAACCACUUUAAUUCCAAUUAUCUUUUUCCCAAUGCAAUGUCUCAAUGAUUCUAGGAUGAAAAGGAAUUUUUUCAUGUCAAUAUGACUUUGGAUCCCAAAUUUUAAGGCAAUUUCAAUGCCCUAGUGGUGGGUCUAGAAGAAAAUAAAAAAUGUGGAAAUUAAAGUGGAAUAUAGACACAAUUUUUUACUAAUUGUAAGAUGAUGUUACAAUACCUUAUGUAGUUACUAUGAAAGUGACUUUGGAUUCCAAAUUUUGAGCCAAUUUCAAUGCCACAAUGAUGGGUCUAGAAGAAAACAAAAAAUAUGAAAAUUAAAGUAGAAUAUAGACACAAUUUUUUACUUGUUAAGUAAUGUUACAAUGCCUUAUGUAAUUAUUUUGAAAGUGAGAUAUCAUUGAAUUGAGAAUUGAUAUUAAAUUUGACCAACUAUCAUAAGGAUUUGCUUUCAAAAGAGAGAUAAGUAAUAAAUAUCUCUUAUUUUUUGGAAAAAAAAAAAUUAUCAUACUAUUAAUGUGUUUAAUUUUAUUUUUUUUAAAUAGAGAUUGUUAUAUUUUUUUGUAAAAAUAAGUUUCCUUAUAAAAUAAGAAAAAGUGGUAGAAGUAUUUCUAUAAAUAUUUUAUUAAGAGAAAAAGCUAUAACAUGAAGAAAAACAUGUAUAGUUUAUAUUUAAAAGAUAGUGAUAUGGGAAAGAGUGGGAAACAUUUCUUGGAAUGGGGACAUAUGAUUCAAGUAUAGAUACAAAGAACAAGGAAAUAUAAGAUGUUUUAAAUUAAUUAAUUAUAUCUUCUUUUUUUAAUCUUUUGUAGUAUUGUAUAUAGUAAUAGAAGAUGAGUUAUCAAAUGCGAACUUUCAUGUAUAUAUGAUGCAAUUAACUUGUUCAAUAUAAGCACCUUGAUGUAAAAUCUCAUUUUUGUUUUCUAAAGUCUUUAUGACUAUUGGUUUUUCUUUUGAGUGCCAAUAAAUAAAAGAAAAAACCCUUCUUUUUUGUUUGAAGAAAAAAUCUUUAUUAAUCCAAACCCUAUCAACUUAUAUAUGACCUAUUGCAGGAUAAUGAAGUUUUUUAAAGUAAUUUUAAAGACAAAAAAGAAAAUUUGAUAUGAUAAAUGAUUAAAACCACUUUAGAUUCCAAUAGUAUUUUCUAUCAUAUAACGUCUCAGUGAAAUGUUUCAUAACAAAAUGAAUUAUUCUAUGAAUAUGACUUUGGAUUCCAAAUUUUGAACUUUCUAAUGCCUUAACUUAGUAGUGAGUCUCAUAGAAAAUGAAAGUUAUGGAAAAGUAGAAUGUGGACUCAAUUUUUGACUUAUAAAACUGAUGUUACAACACCUUCAAGUAAUUACCUUAAAAAUGAUAUGUCAUUGCAUUGAAAAUGAUAUUAAAUUUAAUGGAGAGAUAAUUUAUAAAAAAUAUCACUAAUUUUUUUAAAAAGAAUAAUGUGAUCUUACUAUCGUGUUAGGUUGGAAAAAAAUUUAUGUUGGAGUUAAUUUUUUUUUAUUUGUAUUUCUUUUUAUUUAUUUAUUUAUUUUGCAUAUUGUAAGGUCUCAAACUCGUUUAGAAAUAUGAACACUGAUGAAGAGUUAGAAAUUUAAAAACAUUAAAGGUAUGGUUAAAGUUAUUUUUAGAUAGUUGAAAUUGCAACCAAAAAAACAAGAAAAUGAAAGAAGUUCAAAUUUUAUUUGAUUAUCUUAAAAAUAUGAAAGAAAUUACAUAUAAUGAAAAUUGUUUAGAGUUUUAUAUACUUUUAAUAUUUACUCUUUACAGAAAAGAAAAAAGGCAAAUAAAUUUUUAUGAACUUAUGGAAAAUAUUAAACUUCAGCUUAAUUUUUUUGUUUUUCUUGAUUUUUCUUUCCUUUGUGAUCUUUCCCACUUUAUCCAAACUUUCCAUAGUCUAAACUUUAUACAUGUUUUCUCUUCUUUUUAAUUAAAAAUUUUUAAAUUUUCCAAUUAAAAUUCCAAGAUAGGCUAAUAAAAACUUAAAACUAAUAUUACAUUUUAAACGAACUGGAUCGAUUUGGUAGCCAAUUCGAACCCAAUCAAAUUUAGCCUCUAAUGUGAGGUAUUUGACCCAAACUUAGCUCAAACUCAUUUUUACCGACUAAAGUUAGGCUUAAAUUGACUCAUAGUACUUUUAGUUGAGUUGAUUAGGUUGUAUGAUCAUAACUAGGUUUGGUAAGGUUGAGUUAGUUUGAACCUAUUCAUAAAUGUUUUUUUUUUCUCUUUUAUAUUUAUUUUAUAUCAUAAUUUUAAAAAUUAAAUUGGAUAACUUUUAAACAUGAUAACAAAAAUAAAUAAAUUUAUGUAUAUGUCUAACAAAAAUGAAAUAAUAUAAUUAAAAUUCAACAUUUUUUAAAAAAAACUAAAAAAAAAAACACAAAAUAGGUAUUAUUAUAUAAAAUAAUAUAAAUUAUAAAUAUAUAAAAUUAGGUUUGGGCUAGCUUAGGUUAUCCAAACCUUAGCCUAAGUAGUUUCUCGAGUGUUUGCCACUUGUAAAAGUUUUUGGUAAAUUUUUAUUAAAAUUAAUUUUAAAAAAAGAAAUAAAAUGUUUUUAAAAAAUAUUAAAUGCAUAAUUAAAAUUAUGCUAAUGAAACAAAGGGAAGCAAACAAGAUAAAAAAUUUUCUCUCAAAAGGUGUAGUGUAAUGACUUCAAAUUUUAAGUUUUGAUGGUCAAUCUGCCUUCAAUUAUAAGGAUAAGAAGCUUGUAGAGAACAAAAAAUAUAUAGCAAGUGGAUAUAUAUAGAUAUAACAAAAAAUAAUAUAUAUAUAUAUAUAUAUGCAUGAUUGGAGCCAAAAUAUGUGCUCUAAUGGCACAUAUUCGAUAUGAUUUGUGCACCAAAGGACAUUCAAAUCACCCAACUUGACCUAAAUCAAUGCUAAGGCCCUAGCCAUGGGUUUAAUCUAUACUUUGGAGAUUUAUCUCAGGUUCAAGGGAAGAAAAUUGUGCAAAUUGAAUGACUUUAGAUUUUGAAAGAUCAAGAAAGGGCUAAAUGAGGAAAUAAGUGAGUCAAGACUCAUUGAACGUAAAGAAAGGCAAAACAAGGAUAUCAUGAGGUUGGAGGAUUAUAAAUGACCAUUAUGGAGUAAGAAAGAAGGCAAGAAAGCAUGGGGAAUGAGGCAUGAAGCAAGAUUUAGCUGCAUGGAAAUUUAGAACUCAAAAAUCUGAUGGCAUUAUAUACUCUGACUUUGAGGACAAAUUUGGAGCACUUUCUGGAGUCCAUUAUAUACAUACUAUAUAUCGUUUCGAAUCUCGGGAAGUCAGGAGUCCAACACUUCAAACGGUUUGCAAAUCGGAGCUGAAAUGAAGAAGUUAUGUCCAUUUGAAGACAACUGCACCAAGCUGGAGGGUCAUUUCGAAAUGAUUUCGAAAUUCAACUUAUGAUUUCGAAAUUCAACUUAUGAAUUCGAAAUCCACUUCGAAAUGACACCAAUUUCGAAUUCACCCACUGCCACUUUGAUGUUCCGCCUCCUCUACCCCGAGAAUUGCAUCUAUUCAACUUAUGAAUUCGAAAUCCACUUCGAAAUGACACCAAUUUCGAAUUCACCCACUGCCACUUUGAUGUUCCGCCUCCUCUACCUCGGGAAUUGCAUCUAAAGCACUCCAUCCGCUCUAGGUGGACCCCACACGACUAGAAAUCACCAUUUUAUUAUUUUUAAUCAUUUUUAGGAAAUUAUUUUUGUAAUAAGUGGCCAAUGAGAGUGUGCCACAUGUUAGGUAAGUGAGGAUAUUAUAUAAACUCUCUCAAUUCUAGGUUUUAGGGAUCUUGGAUCUUGGAUCUUGGAUUUUUUUUCUAGAGAGUUUGACAUUGAAGGUGGAAGAAGACGAGAACUUUGGUUUGUUUUCUUUUUCUUCUUUAUUGAAUAUAUUGUUUUUAGUUUCUUUUGAUUCAAAUUAUGAAUUUUUACCCUAUUAUGGAUUGUGAAUGUGACAUCACCCCCAUGAGAGGCUAAGAGCCAACUUGGGGCUUGAAGCAUGAAAACCUAAGGGUUAGGAAACCUAUAGGGACAAUGGGUAAAUUACUAUAACAAUGAGAUUAAUUAUUGGUUGGGUGACAAUUUAUUAUAUUUUUUUAUCCUAUCCUUGUGAGUUCAUUUAGGGAAUGAUACGAUAGGUUAUUACUUGAUACUAGUGAUUCUUGGUAAUUCUUGAUCAUUAGUUAUCCUCGUUUUCCCUACCGUUAUUUGCCCCUAAACAAAGCUAUAAGGAGUAGGAAGGGUUAAAAAGCCAAAUCUUAAAGUGAUAAUCAAUCUCAUUCAUUUGAUGGUUUUAGGAAUCUGUUUGAAAAAGGAAAAAUUAGGUUUCGGAUGCAAUUUUGAGUUAUAAAACCCAACUUGAUCGCGAGUGGCCAAGGAUCCCAAAACCCUAAGAUCAUAUUACUUAAAAUACCCUUGUUUUCUAUAAUUUCUAUACCCUAGGUUGGAUUGUGGAAAACCCCAAACUUGAAUCAAUUGAAUUUAAAAUCAAUAUUCAUUUUCUCUUAUUAAUCCAAUUUCUUUUACUUAGUUUCAUAUUAUUCACAUAUUGUUUUUCACUUAAGGAUUUAAACAAAAACAAUUCAUUUAUCUAGUAUUGACAAUUUUCAUAAGCCAGUCCUUGAGAACGAUACCCGGAAUACUACAAAAGCCGUAGUGACUCUUUCUCUAAUUUUUCUUGACCAGAGUUACUACGUAAAAAGGCUAAGUAUUUUGGUACAAUAGAGAAAUUUCGGUCAAUGCAUCAUACUUUUGUCACAAGCAAACCCACUAGUAAACCUUUAUCAUCUUAUUAUAUAACAAGUGGGUAUACCUAGAUAAAAUAAAAAUAGGUCUUUGUUUAUUAAAUUCAAAAGUUUAUGAUCAUCACUUAACAUUUAACAAAGUGGUACAAAUGAUGGUAAAAAUAGUAGUAUAAUCAAUAUUUUCCUAUAUUGAAUAUUAUAAUUGAUGUUUUUUUUUUUUUUUUUUAUCAAGAAGCAAUUUUAGAGAUAGGUUUUUAUCAAGUAACAAUCUUCAAUGUUUUUUGUCUAUAUUAAUUUACCAUCAUGAUCUCUAAUAUUGUACCAUUGAAUGCAAUUGCAAAACAUCUAUGUAAUUGUUAGUAAAUUUUUUUUCAUGCUCAUUAUACAAUAUUUGUUUUAAUUUUCAAGUUGCAAUUAUAGUCUAAAGGUUGAGGUUCCUAGAUAGUUAUAGCUUUGAUGAGAAGUCUAAUCAUGUUGUUGUUGUUCAUGUCACUUUAAUUAGACCAAGUUCAAUGAUACUUUAGACCAUAUUUAAGGAUCCUUUUCAAAUAUCUAUCUAACUUUUGAUAUGCAAUUUGAAAAGAGGAUGGAGAGAGGAUGGUUGUUCUCCAUAAUCCAUUAAUAAAUAAAUAAAAAUAAUUAUAUUUAGAAGGAAAAUAAAAAAUUAUUAAGAUCAUUAGCAAGUAAUUUUGGUAAAACUUGAUAUUUAACUAGGUAAGAUGACUUUAAGUUAAAUUAAUUGUAUUUAAGUCAUUAAGUCAUAGUUAUUAAUACGAUUUCUCAAAAUCAUUUUUAAAUUUAUUAUUUUAUCAAUCAUACUUGAUAUACUUAAUAACUUAAAAUUAAGUCAUUAAAUUGAUUUAUCAUCACCCUCUAAAGUCUUUUCAAUUUUGUACAUUUAUUUGAUACAUAUUUAAUCAUAAACAAUCAAAAAAGUGCUAUCUCAAAAUUUUUAAUUCAAACUCCUUCAAAGUUAUUCAUGACUAAAAUUCAUUAAUUAAUUUACAUUACAAGCUUUGAAAGAAACUUGUUUUAAAACAUAAAAUUGAUAGAGAUAGUACAUAUUUUAAACUUUUAAUUAAAAUAAAAAGCUCAUAACAAAAUAAUUUGAUGGAUGUUUUAGUAUUUGAAAAGAUUAUGAGGUCGGUGUGGACUUACUCUUGGCAUGCGUACUUCCACAAAUCAGAAAGAACAACCUCUCCAACAACUUCCAUGGUGAUCAGUUUGCAGAGAGAGAAUUGUAGCUAUAAACCAAAGCACUGUGAAAAUAAAUUGGGGAAGCAGAAAGAAGCGUGGGUUGUUGGGUGAUGGCUUAAAUAUUAGAAAGCUUAGAGAAAGAGAAAGUUGGAAGUUGGACUAGUCUUUUGUUUCCAUACCCUUAAAUCCAAUAUGCUGAGUAGGCCAUGUGCUCCACACCCCGUCUAUUGUGGUGUGACUGGUGUCACAUUCAAAUAAACAAAUCGAAAUCUCUACUACAACAUCAUAUUUUAAUGGAUUUAGUAUAACCGAGUGAAGGCAAUUUAUUAAAUUAUUGGAAAUUGUUAAAAUUAUAUAUUUAAUGGAACACUGUUUUUGGAAUUUGAGACUCCCAGACUGCCCAUGUGCAUCCCAUUGUUCGUGUUCUUAGUUUUUUCAUUUUAGUACUUCUAAAAAUUCUCAAAAUUUCAUCAGGCACAUUUUUCAAGCUUACGAUUCUCAUGGCAAUGAUGUAAGUAAAUUAAAGAUUUUACUAAUUUGAACGCAAUUUGAUAAAAAUAAAUAAAUAAAAAUGAAGAUUAUGUAAAAAGGCUUCAAAGAGUUUUAAAGAUUUUUUAAAAUUUUUUUUUAUUUAUUUCUUAAAGAUAAAAGUACUUUCUUCAUUGUAAGACUUAAUAUUUACUUUUUCCAAUUAAAAAAAUAAAUUUAUUUUGAAAAGACAAAUCUAGUUUUUAUAUUGAAUUCAUCUUUUCAAAAAAAAAGUUUUCCAGUGAACUCACUUUAGUAUAAAUUAGGGAAAAGUAUAGUUCUAUUCGGUUCAUAAAAUAAAAAACCCGAUAUUAUGAUAAUUUAAGAAAUAUUUUUGGAAAAAUGCUAUUUCAAUUUUUUUGAACGGUUUUACUUGAAUGGAAAGUCUGAUGCUACAUAUGAUAUUAUGUCAUUGAAAUGAAACUUAUACCAUGUAAUAACUUUUAAUUAACAAUAAUUUAAAUUAAAACCGUAAAUAUUUAAUUUUUUGUUGAUUUAAAUAAAUGUUAUUUAUUUAUUUAUUUAUUUGUAACACAAGUUUUGAAGUUUUAAGACUGACCAUGCAUGUGCAUACCACUGUUUAUUUAUUCACUUUAAAACUUUAGGUGCAUUUUUUAAGCUUAAAUUCACAUGCUAUCACAUUAUCCUAAAUAUGCUUGUACCAUCUAUAAUGUAUCUGGAAUAAGGUGCAUGGGGAUCACGUAGAGCCGGCUGGACUGGACAUAAGUUUUGGAGUUUUAAACUUCCAAUGGCCAAUUAUGUUUUAAUUUUCAUAAUAUAUUAUUAUAUUUUCUUUAUUUGAAUGGAAAAUGGUUUGCUUUGAAAAAACAAGUUUAAUAUAAAAAAAAAUUAAAUUUAUAUUUUACAUUAAAUUAUAAAUUGCAUGUAAAAUGAAUUUAUAAAUUUUCAUAAUAUAUUAUUACGUUUUCUUUAUUUUAAUUUAACGUAAAGUAUAAAUUAGUAUUUUCAAAAGAAAAGUUGAAUGUAAAAGUAAUAAACUAAAACACAAAGACAGAUAUUAAAUUUAUAUUUUCAAAGACAAAUUACUUCUAAAAGCACGGACUUGAUUUUUUUGUGCAAUGUAAAAAGAAUUUUUUAUUUUUUUAUAUAUCAAACUUAUGUUUUAAAAAGACGAGUUAGUAUUUAUUUUGAAUUUGUUUUUCGUAAAAGGUUUCCCAUGUGUACUUCAUAUGAUUUUAUUUUGUUGAUAGGAGAUUUAUAUCAUGUAACAACUUUUAAUCGGUCACAAUUUAAAUUAAUUAUAAAUACCCAAUUCCUUUAUUAUUUCAUAAUUAACUAUAGGUUAUAAUGUGAAAUAAUAUCACACUACAUAAAUAUUAUUAUUAUUUUGCAAAAUUGGAUUAGCACAACUAUUCCCAAUUAGAGUGUCACAUGGCUUCUUUUUUUUAUAUUUAAUUAUUUUUUUAAAUAAUUGCUUUAAUUAGUCAUGGAUUAAAUUAGAGGUGUAAUUUGGACAUAUUCAACUCAACUCAACUCAAUCCAAUUUUGAACUAAGUUAGGUAGUCUUGUUUUUUCAUAAAACAUUAUAAGCUAUUUUUCAAUCCUACAAGAUUUUUUGAGAGUAUUUUCUAAAUUUUAUCAAAUACAAUUUUUUUGUAAAAACAUUUAUUAAGUUAAAAACGCUUCUUAAAAUCACUAUUAAAUGACCAUUAUAUGAUAUUGAGAGAUGAAUAAUUUAUUAUAUUAAAAAUUACUUUCCCAAUUGAACAAAAGGUGUGGCGUUUCUUUAAAAACACUUUUGUAAGUAAUAUUUUUUUUAGCACAUUCUCAAUUAUUUUUAGACCCAAAAUAUGUUUUUUUUAAAAUGUUUUAUAAAAAAAAAAUCUUAAAAUACCUUUAUUUAAAAAUUUAAAAAAAAUCUAUUUUCAAAAAACUACAUUUUAUUUUGUUUGAUAUGGUGAGGAGGAGCAUUAAUCUAUGGCUCCCGAGACUGGGCAUGUGAUGCUGUGCAUGCCAUUGUUGGCUUAUGUAUUUCCGGAAUAUUUAGUUUUGAAAAGUACUGAGAAAAAAAAUAAUAAGAAAAUGGUUGGUAUUCAGAUGGCAAAAAUACACACAAAUACACUGAACAAGUUAAUAACAGGCGGGCUGAGAUUCUAUUGCCAAGAGACAGGUUUGUCAUCCAUGUCAAGAAGUCUCACACUUCAAAAUUGUGGGACUUUGGCAUCAACACAUUUCUGGAAUUGUUUCAGGCUUCUAAAUGGAACGAUUCAGGCACCUUCCCAGAAUUCUUUUAAGAUUUCUAAAUGCCAUCCUGGCGUCUUAGUUGGAGGCCUGCUUUCUUCAAUGCUAAAAGAGGGGGUGAUAAGUUGCUAAAAAUUGCAGUCCCUGUGUACUAGAUGGGCAUUCACCCAUGGACAAGAUCUGCAGAACUUAUAAUAGAAACAUGUAUGUUGCUCUAUCAUCUUCGCCUCCUAUUUAUUCUAGUGAAGAAACAGGUUCCGAAAAAAUAAAAAGUGUUCUUCUUACUCUUUUUUAGUAGAAAAUUAGUUCAUUUCCAGUCCAUUGAAGAAAAAAUAAAUUCUGAACCCAGAAGCCAGGUACUUAAAUUUCUGUUUAACUAGGGGAACAUUGGAAACUUACUUACAGCUUUAGCAUAAGAACAUACAAGAUUCUGAUCAACAUACACUGCACGGUAUUAUGUUGGUCCAGUUCCUCUACUCUGCAUUGCAACAAAGUGUAAGGGGUUUCGUAUUUUCUUCAUCUUCAAAUAAAACAAUCCUUCUCAAUAAAAGAAUAAGAGAAAUUGAGAGCUAAGACCAUUUUCUUUCAUUGUACCUCUGUUUCCUCUGCUCCUUGCUCUCUUGGUCAGGCCAAAUGGUGUGUGGUUUGUCCAUUUCUUCUUGACCCCACAUCAAAAAGCAGCAUCCUGGGCUCUCCCAUCUCUCUAUCCCCUUAUCAAGACAGAAUUUGAUGCACUGCUGUCUUGGAUUCUUCCUAGUCAAAAGGAAGCUUGAAAUAUCUCCACUGCUUCUCUGUUUCUUUGAGUCAAAGGACAGUCUGGUUUUAUCUGUUUCUUCUCAUCAUUUUCAAAAUGCAUCACUGUGAGAUCCACUAACCCAAUACCUGUUUUUCAAAUAAUCAAAAUCAUAAACACCAAGAUGUUUACACAUUCAGGUAACACGUCUCUUGACAAUGCAGGUGUGUUUACGUACACACCUGCAUUCAAAGGAAGUACCAUUGUUCUUGUGCAUUUGACAACAUUCAUUUAGUUAACUCCAAAUUUUAGCAAUCCAGAAUCUGUAACUUCUGCAAAAGUUACCUAGUUGUUCAGGGAACAUGCCCCAUCCAAACUAUCUGUAUUUGGGCUUCAUGGUUGUUUUUGGCUUUGCUUUUCUUUUUCUUGUGGUUGUUACUCCUCUUAAAAGGACUAUUGAUUCAUGAUUCAAUGGAUUAUUUGUUGUUUCUGAUAAAAAUAAAUAAAUAAACUAAAAAAAAAAAGAAAAAGAAAAAAAAAAAGAUUUGAUGAAAAUUUUUGGAGUAGCCAUUCAUCAAAUUGCCAUGAGCUUCUCUCCUUAUUUACAUAGUAUAUCACUAUUGCAGAGUCUCCUACUAGAAGGUUAGGUAAACCCUCAUCUUUAGCAAGCUUUAGUCCUACCAUCAACACUAAAAUCUCUGCUUCAAUGGCUAGACCCACUCUAGCAUUCUUAGGGAAUGCUUUCACUUAUGCCCUUUUAUGAUUUAUAAGUGUUCCUCCAAUUCCCAAUUGUCCUGGGUUGUCCAAGGAGCAUACAUCAAAAUUUAACCUGUUGCAUGGGUUGUUCUCUAUGCAUGGUAAAGAGACCCUUAAAUUUUGAACCUAUCCAAUUGCAUCGAUUUCUUCCUUCAAACUCAAGUUGAGCCUUUAAAUUUUUUGCUUGCUGUCAGAUUGACAUGAUUCUUCCACAACAUGAUGGACCUGGCAGACACUCAGCUUCUGCCUACAGUUGCAGUCUACCUUAUGUGUAACUUAAAGGUUGAGCACCAAGUGCUGAUGUUAUGAGGGAUCAAGGGUGGCUUGUGGAGCAGUCCCCUUUUCAGAGUAUUGCCAACAUUCUAUCAAUUGGUUCGGGUGUUCUGUAACUUUGGGACACCUAUAGUAUCUAGAUAAUCCUGCAAUUCUGGAGAAAACCCUUCUGAUUUGCUCUGUACCCACUAGUCGAGAAUAGUAAAAAGAUUCAGCUGUAAUAAUUUUAUUACUUAGAUUGAAUCUUAAUCAUUAGGUUAGAAGAUCAGGAAAAAGUGUCGUGGUUUUGAAUGUUUGUCUCUUUAAUAAUUGCAGUGUGUAUUGAUCCACAAAGUUUGCAGGAUGACAGCAUGACAGUGGGUAUAUAUGUCAUAUGAAAAAAUUUAAAUAGAGCGACUUGUUUGACUUUACAUAGUUUGCUUGCUUCGGUUGUCUACCUUUAGGUAAUAUCACACCAGUAUCUUUUGAUGGUUGGAAUAUCCUUGCACAUAUGUUACCAUUUUCUUUUCUUCAACAUUGUUUUCUUUGUUUCUUCCUUUCUUGGUCAAGCUAAAUAAUCUAGUGAUUCUUCUUUUGUUCUUCAUCCCAUCAAGAGGCAGCAUCUCAUGCAUCUUUACCUUGGGUUCCUCCCUUUCCUUCCAGCCUAUGGAAAAAUAAUAUCAUUGCUUAGUUUGGACUUCUCUGUUUUAUUUUUUUUUAUCAUUUUGAAAGGCAUCAUGGGAAGAUGUACAAAAAAUGUGUUGUGCUGAAUUAUCCCCUUCUCUACUAACCAAAACAUGUUCUUUCACAAUCAAAUAUCAACGUGUUUAAGCAGCCAAUAAGGCAUAUCUUGACAAUGAGGUGAGAGGUAGAAACAAGAAACAUACUCGUAUUCAAGGGAAGUGUUGUUUCUUCAUUUGCAUUAGACAACAUUCAUUUAGUCUCAACUUGAAAGUGGAUUGCUAGAAUCUAAGCUCUUGCAAAGACACAAAAGUACAUUUAGAAAUCCAAAAGAAGCCUAGAGACCAGUUGCUGUCGGGCUUUGUGGAGCCUAGUUUUGUUUGAUCCGGUUUGAUGACCCGACCCGAAUAAUAUUACAUAGUUUUUUAAUGGGAGAUUUAUUGAGGCUUGUCCAUGGAGUGAAGGCUUGGGCUUUUUUAGGCCCGUUUAGCCCAUUGUGGAACCGCCCUUUGUAAUUAGGUUUUUUUUUUGUGUGGUGUGGUUGUUGUGUUAUAAAGAGAACAUAUUGUAGCCGAAAAAAGUACUUUGUAUUCUUCCCUGAUAAUAGUGAUAUCCCUGCAACUCCGUUGAUAUAGGCAAAUUGCCGAACCACAUAAAUACUGUCUUGUACGUGUGAUUGUUUUUUUUUUUUUUUUUUGCGUGUGUUUUCUCUAUUUUUUGUUUCUCACAGGUUGGGAAUUCAGCUUAAUUCCCUUCAACCGGUAUCAAAGCCUAGGGUUAGGUUUGAGUGGGAGCAAUGACAAAGGAAGCAGGAAAGGCGUUUGGAAUAGAAAAGUUUGAUGGCACAAACUUUGUGUAUUGGAGGAUGCAGAUUGAAGAUUAUCUUUAUGGGAGGAAAUUGCAUCUGCCUCUUUUGGGGACAAAACCUGAGAGUAUGAAGGCUGAGGAAUGGGCGCUUCUUAACAUACAGGUUCUAGGAGUUAUUAAGUUAACUCUGUCUAGGUUUGUUGCACACAAUGUUGUAAAGGAAAAGACCACAAUAGAUCUGAUGAAGGCUUUGUCCGGUAUGUAUGAAAAGCUAUCCGCAAACAAUAAGGUGCAUCUGAUAAAGAAAUUGUUCAAUUUGAAGGUGGCAGAGAAUGCAUCAGUAGCACAACAUCUGAAUGAAUUUAAUACAAUCACAAAUCAAUUUUCGUAUGUAGAAAUUGAUUUUGAUGAUGAGAUUCGUACUCUGAUCGUCUUGGCUUCUUUGCCAAUCAGUUGGGAGACAAUGAGGAUGGCAGUAAGCAAUUCUACGGGAAAGGAAAAGCUCAAGUACAAUGAUAUACGAGAUUUAAUUCUGGCUGAGGAGAUUCGCCGAAGAGAUGCAAGCGAAACCUUAAGAUCUGGUUCUGCCCUAAACCUUGAGACAAGAGGCAGAGGUGAUAACAGAAAUUCAAACCGGGGUAGAUCAAAAUUCAGAAAUUCUAAUCGAAAUAGAAGCAAAUCUAGAUUAGGCCAACAAGUACAAUGUUGGAACUGUGGGAAAAUAGGUCACUUUAGAAGGCAAUGCAAAAGUCCUAAGAAGAAGAAUGAAGAUGAUUCUAUUAAUGCUGUAACAGAAGAGGUACAGGAUGCAUUACUUCUUUUAGUAGACAGUCCACUUGAUGAUUGGGUUUUGGAUUCAAAAGCUUCAUAUCAUACCACUCCACAUUGAGAAAUCAUAUAGAAUUAUGCUGCAGGUGAUUUUGGUAAGGUGUAUUUGGCUUAUGGUUCAACCUUGGAUGUUGUGGGUCUGGGAGACAUCCGGAUAUUGUUGCCCAAUGGGUUUGUUUGGUUACUGGAGAAGGUUCGACAUAUUCCUAACCUAAGAAGGAAUUUGAUUUUUGUUGAGCAACUUGAUGAUGAAGGACAUGCAAUACUAUUUGUUGGUGGUACUUGGAAGGUUACAAAGGGAGCUAUGGUAUUGGCUCAUGGAAAGAAGACCGGUACUCUGUAUAUGAUCUCAUGUCCAAGAGACACAAUUGCAGUUGCUAAUGCAAGUACUGAUACAAGCCUAUGGCACAGCAGACUUGGUCACAUGAGUGAGAAAGGGAUGAAGAUGUUGUUGUCAAAAGGAAAACUACCAGAAUUGAAAUCCAUUGAUUUUGACAUGUGUGAAAGUUGCAUCUUAGGAAAGCAAAAAAUUGUGAGCUUCUUGAAAACUGACAGGACACCGAAGGCUAAAAAAUUGUAACUAGUACACACUGAUUUGUGGGGGCCUUCUCCGGUUGCAUCCCUUGGAGGUUCAAGGUACUAUAUCACUUUUAUUGAUGACUCAGCAAAAAGGUAUGGGUUUAUUUUCUGAAAAAUAAAUCUGAUGUAUUUGAAACUUUUAAGAAGUGGAAGGUCAUGGUUAAGAUAGAAACAGGUUUGAAAGUAAAAUGUUUGAGGUCAGAUAAUGGAGGAGAGUACAUAGAUAGAGGGUUCAGUGAGUAUUGUGCUGCACAGGGAAUUAGGAUGGAGAAGACCAUUCCUGGGACACCACAGCAGAAUGGUAUGGCUGAGCGCAUGAACAGAACUCUCAAUGAACGUGCUAGAAGUAUGAGGUUGCAUGUUGGACUACCAAAAACUUUUUGGGCUAAUGCUGUUAGUACUGCAGCUUACCUGAUAAACUGAGGACCAUCAGUUCCCAUGGAGUUCAGACUUCCUGAGGAGGUUUGGAGCGGUAAAGAGGUAAAGUUUUCACAUUUAAAAGUUUUUGGUUAUGUUUCUUAUGUUCAUAUUGAUUCUGAUGCUCGUAGUAAACUUGAUGCAAGGCUAUAGGUUUUGGGAUGAACAAAACAGGAAAAUCAUCAGAAGUAGAAAUGUAAUAUUUAAUGAACAGGUUAUGUAUAAGGACAGGUCAACUGUAGUGUCAGAUGUUAUAGAGAUAGAUCAAAAGAAAUCUGAGUUUGUCAACUUAGAUGAAUUGACUGAAAGUACUGUCCAAAAAGGGGGUGAAGAAGAUAAGGAGAAUGUAAAUUCACAAGUAGAUCUGAGUACACCUGUAGCUGAAGUUCACAGAUCUUCCAGGAACAUUACACCUCCACAGCGUUAUUCACCUAUUUUAAAUUAUCUCCUGUUGACUGAUGGUGGUGAGCCAGAGUGUUAUGAUGAAACCUUGCAAGAUGAGAAUUCAAGCAAGUGGGAUUUAGCCAUGAAGAAUGAGAUGGAUUUCUUGUUGGGGAAUCAGACAUGGGAACUGACUGAAUUGCCAGUAGGAAAGAAGGCUUUGCACAACAAGUGGGUAUACAAAAUAAAGAAUGAGCAUGAUGGUAGCAAAUGUUACAAGGCCAGAUUAGUUGUUAAAGGGUUCCAGCAGAAGGAGGGCAUUGACUACACAGAGAUAUUUUCUCCAGUUGUGAAGAUGUCAACAAUCAGACUUGUACUGGGAAUGGUGGCUGCAAAAAACUUACAUCUUGAGCAGUUAGAUAUGAAGACAACAUUCCUUCAUGGUGACUUGGAGGAAGACCUUUACAUGAUUAAGCUAGAAGAGUUCAUUGUUCAAGGACAAGAGAAUCUAGUCUACAAACUAAAAAAGAGCUUGUAUGGCCUUAAACAAGCUCCUAGACAGUGGUACAAGAAGUUUGUCAGUUUUAUGCAUAGAAUUGGGUUCAAGAGAUGUGAAGCUGAUCACUAUUGUUAUGUUAAGUCUUUUGACAAUUCUUACAUCAUAUUACUGUUGUAUAUGGAUGAUAUGCUUAUUGCAGGGUCUGACAUUGAGAAGAUUAAUAAUCUGAAGAAGCAAUUGUCCAAAUAGUUUGCAAUGAAGGAUUUGGGAGUUGUAAAGCAAAUCCUUGGUAUGAGAAUCAUUAGAGACAAGGCUAAUGGUACAUUGGAGCUUUCACAGUCAGAGUAUGUGAAGAAAGUUCUCAGCAGGUUCAACAUGAAUGAAGCUAAACCAGUGAGCACACCCUUGGGUAGUCAUUUCAAACUAAGCAAAGAACAGUCACGGAAGACAGAAGAAGAAAGUGACCAUAUGAGCAAGGUGCCCUAUGCCUCAGCUAUUGGUAGCUUGAUGUAUGCUAUGGUGUGUACAAGGCCAGACAUUGCACAUGCAGUGGGAGUUGUGAGCAUAUUCAUGAGUAGGCCUGGAAAGCAGCAUUAGAAGGCAGUCAAGUGGAUUAUAAGAUAUCUGAAGGGUUCAUUAGAUAUAUGUUUUGCUUCACAGGUGCAAGUUUGAAACUGCAGGGUUAUGUGGAUGCUGAUUUUGCUGGUGAUAUCGAUAGUAGAAAGAGCACUACUGGGUUUGUUUUUACUCUAGGUGGUUCAACUAUAUCAUGGGUUUUAAAUCUAUAGAAGAUUGUUACUUUGUCUACUAUAGAAGCGGAGUAUGUUGCAACAAUUGAAGCUGGAAAUGAGAUGAUUUGGCUACAUAGUUUCUUAGAUGAAUUGGGUAAGAAGCAGGAGAUGGGCAUUCUACACAGUGACAGUCAUAGUGCAAUUUUUCUUGCCAAAAAUUCGGCUUUUCAUUCAAAGUUAAAGCAUAUACAAACAAAAUACCACUUUAUCUGUUACCUUGUUGAAGAUAAACUAGUAAUACGUAAGAAGAUUUUUGGAUCUAAGAACCCAACAAACAUGUUGACUAAGGGUGUCACUAUUGAGAAGUUGAAGCUGUGUGCAGCUUCAAUCAGUCUUCUAGCUUGAGGACGGGAGGAUGAAUUGCAGGGAUGAGGGAUUGUUUCUUGGAGGAUAGCGAUUUGAUGUUGGUGAUUGAACUAGUCUCCAAGUGGGAGAUUUGUCAAGUUUUGUGGAGCCUAGUUUUGUUUGAUCCGAUUUGACGACCCAACUCGAAUAAUAUUGCGUGGUUUUUUAAUGUGAGAUUUACUGAGGCUUGUCCAUGGAGCGAAGGCUUGGGCUUUUUGGGGCCCAUUUAGCCCAUUGUGGAACCGCCCUUUGUAAUUAGGGUUUUUUUUUUGUGGUGUGGUUGUCGUGUUAUAGAGAGAAAAUAUUGUAGCCAUCAGAAGUACUCUGUAUUAUUCCCUGAUAAUAGUGAUAUCCCUGCAACUCCGUGGAUGUAGGCAAAUUGUCGAACCACGUAAAUACUGUCUUGUGCAUGUGAUUGUUUUUCUUUUUUUUUUAUGUUUUCUCUAUUUUUUGUUUCUCACAGGUUGGGAAUUCGGCUUAAUUCCCUUUAGUUGCUACUUGUGAAUCACUGUAAUCAGAAACAAUUCCAGAUAAUCCUGCAAUUCUAAACCUUUGAUUUGCUUUGUUCCAUUUUGCCAAGAACGGUUCUAAAACAUUUUUCUUUAUUGAGUUGUUAUGAUUUUAUUAUUUGGAUUUAAUUGUAUUCAUUAGGUUUGUAAAUCACAAAAAUGGUGUCGUGCUUAUGAAUAUCUUCCUCUUUGAUCAUGUAAAAUUGGGAAGCAGUUAUGGAUUACUAUUAUGAUAGCACAAUGUAUUGAUCCACAGUUUGUGGCAUGACAGUUUAAGGAAAUUACAGAAGUGUAGCAUUGAUGGGUAUGUCAUGUGAACAUUUUUCAAUGAAGCUACUUGUCUAAAUUUACAUGGGUGAAUUGUCACACUAAUAUCCUUUGAUGAACCUUGGGUUCUUUUUUCUGUUUCUUCCUCUCUUGGUCAAGCCAAACAAUUUGUCUUCAUGAGGACUUCAUGUUACCAAUAAGCAGCAUCUUGUGUUCUCCUUCUUUUCAUCCCCCUGUCAAGACACAGCAAUUUGAUGCAUCUUUGCAUUGGGUUGCUUCCUUUCCGCUCCCUCUCCUUCCUCCUUGAGGCAAAACCAUAUCAUUGUUUAGUUUUGACUAUGUUCUUUUUAUCAUUUAUGAGAAAUAAAAUAAAAUCAUGACAUAAAGAAAUUAUAUUUAAGUGUUAAUAAAUGAGAAUCGGAUACAUAUAAAUAAAAUUUAGAUUAAUUAUAAAUGAAACUAUUUUUAUUAUGUGGUUGUUUUUAAUGGACCACCAAUUUUUAUUUAUUUUAUUAUAUAUAUAUAUUCCAUAGAAAAAUUACUUUCUAAUACCAUAGAAUCACCCUAAUUUCAAAUUGGGAUUUACUAUCUUAAAUUUUAAAUUUUUUAAAAAUAAUUUUUAAGGACAUGAACUAAAUUUAUAUUUUUUGUUAAGAAUUUCUAUUCUUUAUAUGAAAGUUUUUAUCAAUUUUUGUUUUUAAAAACAAAAAAUAAGUACUUAGAGUGCGUUUGACAAUGAUUUUAAGAAGUAUUUCUAAUAUUUUAAAUACUUAAAAAAUAAAAAAAUUUAUACAUUGAAACAAUUGCAAAAUGCACUUUUAGUAUGUAAUGAUAUUAAUUUCUUCGAAGAGAGAGAUUUACAUUUAAGAUAAAAAUAAAUAAAUAAAACAAUACAAGGAUAAAAAAUCAUUUUUAAAAAAAACUUUUAACUUCUUGUACUUUAUCAUUACACACUUUUUUCAUUAGAUGCUUUAAAUAAUUUUUAUGAAAUAAAAUUAUAAUUAUAUUGAUGGAGGGCUAAUUAACUUUGCUUUGGGUGAGAAAGAUAGAGAUAAGAUUGAAGUGGGUCCACAUCUAAAACAAAAAUGAAAUAAAAAGUAAAGAUGAAGAUAAGGUUGAGGUGGGUUCACAACUAAAAAAAGAAUGAAAUAAAAAGUAUGAGAUGAAUUGACCAAAGCUUAUGCCUUCUUCCAAAUAGUAAAAGCAAAGCCCAAUAGUAUAAAGUGAUGACACUAGUCCUAUUCAAGGCCCCACUUGCAUAAUUGCUACAUCUUUUGAUUUGAUUUUUGUUCAAUUUCACUAAAAUGAAAUCAUUUAUUUGAGCCCAAAAAUUCAAAUCCAAAUCCAAUCCACUUAUUUAUAUACAUUAUUGGCAUGGAAUGAGAAAAGUUAUAAAGUGAGAAAAUUUGAUCAUAUGAUAAAUAGUAAUUUUUCAAAGUUGGAACCAAUCCAAUGCCCAAUGGGCAUAAAAGACAAAGGAAAGAUGUGGAAAUUAUAGUGGAAUCUUGAAACAAAUUUUUGAGGUUUGAGGUGAUGUGACAAUCGUUUCAAGAAAUUGCCUAAGAAUGUGAGAUGUUAUUGCAUUGAAAAUUGAUAUUAAAUCUAAUUGGGUAACUAUAAGAAUUGCUUUACAUAAAGACAAGUAAUAAAUAUAUCCUGUUUUUUUCAAAAAGUUUAUGACCCUAAGUGAAUAAAAUGGUGAAUAAAACUUUUAGAGUAGGAUGAAUGCAUUUCACGUGAGUCAUGUCCUAGAUAUAUAUUUAGAAUUUUCUAGCAGGAUGUCAAGGAAAACUCUAUGAUGAGUGUUUUGUUUCUAGUUAAGGUAGGUCCAAUUUGGUGCAAUUCGCCAACAUAAUUUAAACCCAACAUAUGUUUUAGGGAUUUGAAUCGAGUAAAAUCAUAUUUAAAUUAAAUUAAUCAUAUGAAUCUACAUAACCCGUUUAAUAAAUAGAUUAUUUUUAGGUCAAUCUGGAUAACUCACAUUUGACUCAAAUUAACUUAUUUAAUAAUGGUAUUGAUUAACCUAAUAAUAACUUUAACUUAUUGAACUCAUAUUUGACUCAUGUAAAAUUCGUUUUUCAAUAAGUAUAUCAUAAUUAGGUCAUAAACAUGUCAUAUUAGAAUAUUAACCAUAUUAUUUCAUUCAACAUUUAACUUGACUUGAUUAUGAAAUAACGUCUUCUUAUUAAAUCGGUUAAACCGGUUAUAAUGUAUCACCUAGAUAAUAAUUAUAUUGUGUUUGAGUUUAUGCUUUAAAUUUUGAUUAUUAUUCAUGUCAUGUUUAUGUUGAGUUAUUUAGUGGAGGAUCUAACCUUAGAUAUAACACAAACGCAACCCACUAACAUAAAUUGUCAUCCUCACUUCUACUAAUAAGUAAUUUGUUUAUUACAAUUAAGAAAAUUGAGAAGAUAUAAUUUUUUUAAAAUUUUUAAAUGCAUGAUUAAAGUUAAUUAUAAGUUUUAAAAGUUUUAUAAUUCAUAGUCCAUCCAAACUAACAAAAUAUUAGAAAUCUUCAAUGGUUUUGUCUACAAUAAAUGUGUUGUGCUAAAUUAUCCCCUUCUUUACUAACCAAAACAUGUUCUUUCACAAUCAAAUAUCAACGUGUUUAAGCAGCCGGUGAAGCAUCUCUUGACAAUGAGGUGAGAGGUAGAAACAAGAAACAUACAUGUAUUCAAGAGAAGUGUUGUUUCUUCUUUUGCAUUAGAAAACAUUCAUUUAGUCUAAACUUGAAGGUGGAUUGCUAGAAUAUGAGCUCUUGGAAAGACAUAAGAGAAGGACAUUUAGGAAUCUGAAAGAAGCCUAGAGACCUGUUGCUACUUGUGAAUCACUGUAAUUAGAAACAAUUCCAGAUAAUCCUGCAAUUCUGGACCUUUGAUUUGCUUUGUUCCAUUUUGCCAAGAACAGUUCUAAAAUGCUUUUCUUUAUUGAGCUAUAAUGAUUUUAUUAUUAGGAUUUAAUUGUAUUCAUUAGGUUUGCAAAUCACAAAAAUGGUGUCGUGCCUAUGAAUAUUUUCCUCUUCGAUCAUGUAAUGUUGGGAAGCAAUUAUGGAAUACUAUGAUAGCACAAUAUAUUGAUCCACAUAGUUUGUGGCGUGACAGUUUAAUGAAAUUACAAAAGUGCAUGUAGCACUCAUGGGUAUGUCAUGUGAACCUUUUUCAAUAGAGCUACUUGUUUAAAUUUAUAUGGGUGAAUUGUCACACCAAUGUCCUCUUAUGAACCUUAGGUUCAUUUUUCUGUUUCUUUCUCUCUUGGUUAAGACAAACAAUUUGUCUUCAUAAGGACUUCGUGUUACCAAUAAGCAGCAUCUUGUAUUCUCCUUCUCUUCAUCCCCUUAUCAAGACACAGCAAUCUGAUGCAUCUUUGCAUUGGGUUGCUUCCUCUCCUCUCCCUUUCCUUCCUCCUUGAGGCAAAAUCGCAUCAUUGCUUAGUUUUGACUAUGUUUCUUUUUAUCAUUAUGAGAGAGCAUCAUUGUAAGAUGUACAAGAAACGUGUUGUGGUGCAUUAUCCCCUCCUCUACCACCUAAAAUCUAUUUUACACGAUCAUAAGGACCAAGGUGUUUUAAACAUUAGGUAAGGCAUUUGUUGACAAUGAUGUGAGAGAUAGAUACAAGCAACAUGCCAAUAUUCAAAAGACGUGAUGUUCUUCUUUUGCAUUUGACAACAUUCAUUUAGUCUGAACUCCACAUUUAGGCAACUCAGAAUCUCCACCUUCAUUAGGAUUGCAAGAAGUUGGCUUUUUGGGAAGACAUGGAAAGAGAGCAUCUAGAAAUCUGAAAAAAUUACAACGACCUAUUGCUACUUUUGAAUCAUUCCAAUUAAUAACAACUCCAAAAAAUAUAUACAAAUAUGUCCCUGGGAAAGAGAUGUGUCUUGUGCAUAUGCAACCAUCUCUCUAAUAGACUUAGGGUUGUGCACCCUCAUGGUAGUUUCUUAUAUAUUGCACCAUAUGAAUUGUAGAUAUCCAACUACCAAUAUCACUACACCUGAAUGAACUAGAAGCUAAAGUGAAGUUGACAACCCAUCAUCGAAAGAAUCCUGUAGGAAUACACCAAAAUGAAAAUUUUAUUAACAUAAAUGAAUUCAUCCAAUUAAAGGGUAAAGUUGCCUAAAAAAUUGAAUUGGGAGAGAUAGAAAUAUUGAUGCUUUCAUAGGACUGUGAAAGGGACCAACAAGUGGAACAAACAUUGAAUAGUAAAUGUAAAGCCAUAAAGCUUGUAACUAGUGUCAAAAGCUGCUCCCUAGUGAAGUUUUUUAACAAUGAAGGUAAGUGGAAAAUUCACCUAAUAGCUCUACUUGUAGAAAAUUGCAAUGGUGUGAAACUAGGAUAUGGUGAACUCGUUUCCACUAUUGCAAUGAACCAUUAUGGAUCAAAAAUGAAUCUCACCAUCGGUUUUCACAUAGGAGAUGUGGGCUAUCUUUGGCCCAUAUCUCAAUAUUGGAUUUAGGAGUUAUGUCUCUCAUAUAUGGUUCCACUUGCAAAAUACAAAUGGAGCUUAGCUAAUGACAACACAUUUAGAAAAAUGCAAGAAUUCCAUAGACAUGUUUUGUGCUAUCAUGAAUCAUUCCAAUCAGUACGGAAUCGAAGUGCUAUAAUUUUGAAUUGUCUUAGGGAACAAAUCCUAAUUCAAUCUUGCGGAAGUAAACCAUCUUGAGCACCAACUCAAUUCUGAGUUCUUUAGGAUACUUGAGACACCAAUUCAAUCAAAGAUGCUAGUCGUUUUUGAGGUAAAUUGUCUUCCUCCAUUGAUACUAGGGAAAAUGCUUUUGAAAACCAUUCAUCUGCAAGUUACAAAGGGAAAUGAGAUUAUGUGAUUUGGGAAGAGAAUUAAGCUUUGGAAGAGAAUUAAGCUUCGGAAUAUUGCCAAUAUGCAACCGAUAAUUUCUAAUUCUAUCACUUUUAUUCUAACAUGUGAUUUGGAAAGAGAAUUAAGCUUCGAAAUAUUUCCAAAAUGCAAGGAAUUGAGGAGGCCAAGUGGGCAACCACCAUAGCUAGUUCGCAAACAAAUGAUAGCAUUGGAAGUGGAACACAACACAUAAACUUCAAAAACAAAACAUGUUUCUCACGAUCAUAAAUACCAAGAUGUUUAAGCAUGAGGUAAGUCAUCUCUUGACAAUGAUGUGAGAGAGACACAAACAACAUACCAGUAUUCAAGAGAAGUAGCAUUCUUCUUUUGCAUUCGACAACAUUCAUUUAUUUUACAUCCCAAAUUUUAGCAACUCGGGAUUUCCACCUUCUUUAGGAUUGUAAGAAGUUGGCCUCUUGAAAACACAUGAGAGGGCAUUUAGAAAUCUGAAAGAAUUCCAGAGACUUUCUAUUGCUUGAAUUGUGAAUCAUUCCAAUCAUAAAUACCAAGGUUCUAAGAUCAAGUAAGGCAUCUCUUAAUAAUGAUGUGAGAGAUAAAGACAAGCAGUACACCAGUAUUCAAGAGAAGUAGUAUUCUUCUUUUGCAUUCGACAACAAUCAUCUACUCUACACCCCAAAUUUUAGCAACUUAGGAUCUCCACUUUCAUUAGGAUUGUAGAAAGUUGGCCUCUUGGAAACACAUGAGAGGAUAUUUAGAAAUCUAAAAGAAUUCCAAAGACUUGUUAUUGCUUGAAUUGUGAAUCAUUCCAAUCAUAAAUACCAAAGUGUUCCAAGAUCAGGUAAGACAUCUCUUGGCAAUGAUGUGAGAGAUAGAGACAGGGAGCAUACCAGUAUUCAAGAGAAGUAGUAUUCUUCUUUUGCAUUCGACAACAGUCAUCUACUCUACACCCCAAAUUUUAGCAACUCAAGAUCUCCACCUUCAUUAGGAUUGCAGGAAGCUGACCUCUUGGAAACAUAUGAGAGGAUAUUUAGAAAUCUGAAAGAAUUCCAGACACUUGUUGCUUGAAUUGUGAAUCAUUCCAAUCAUAAAUACCAUGGUGUUUCAAGAUUAGGUAAGGCAUUUCUUGGCAAUGAUGUGAAAGAUAGAGACAAGCAGCAUACUAGCAUUUAAGAGAAGUAGUAUUCUUCUUUUGCAUUCAACAACAUUCAUCUACUCUACACCCCAAAUUUUAGCAACUCAAGAUCUCCACCUUCAUUAGGAUUAUAGGAAGCUAGCCUCUUGGAGACACGUGAGAGGACAUUUAGAAAUUUGAAAGAAUUCUAGAGACUUGUUAUUGCUUGAAUGUGAAUUAUUCCAAUCAGUAACAACCCCAAAGCCCUAUAUACAAUUUUGAACUGUCAACCUUCUUACAUUGAAUGAAAAACUUGUCCCUAGGAAAAAGGUGUCUUGGGCAUACAACCAUCAAUUAUUAGCUCUCAAAGAGGCUUAAAGUUGUGCACCCUCUUGGUAGCUUCUAAUUCAUUACAUCAUAUAACUUCCAGAUAUCCAAUUGGCAUGUCACUACACCUGAAUGAAGUAGAAAACAUGGUGAAUAGGAAGUUAGACAACCUUUCACAAAAAGAAUCCUACAAGAAUACACCAAGCAGAACUUCUUGUUAACAUAAAUGAAUUCACUUAGUUAAAUUAUUGCGUUAAAAUUUAAAUUGGAGAAAUAAAAAUACUAAUGCUUGAGAAUAAGUAUUGAGAAUAAGAGUUACCUUAAUGAAUGUAAGGAUAGGAUAGGGUUGAAUUGGCUCUGCACCCAUUUUUGCAAUUUGAAUUUAUUAUGGUUCAAAAAUGAGUUUAUGAUAUAUCCUCAAUUUAGGGGAAGCGAGCAAUCUGGGGCCAAUCUCUAUCAUUCUCCUUGAAACAUCUUUGAUUUCAAAGUUUGAUAAAACUUAGAAGACAACCUUUCACUUGGCAAGGAGGACUAGAACAAGGCAUCCCUCAAUCUCUACAAGUUAAAGAAAUGAAGUUUUGAAGACCAAGGGAGGAGGCUAGGUUUCCAUAUUUGACAAUAUUUUCAUUGAAAGAUUAAUGAGAGUUGUAGCAAGAAAUCCUGUCAAAAGGAAAUUGCCUUUAACAAUGUACAAUAUAAAAUGAAUGAACUAAGUUUUUAGAGAAGUGAAUCUUUGGAGGCUCCACAAAAAUAAGGGGUUUUAAUACUCUUGCAAGUGUAUUCAUGAAAUUGUUUCCUCAAAGGACUCCUGAACCUAGACAAUGUACAACACAAAGCUGUUAAAGAGAUGUGAGACUCUAAAUCUGAUGAGGUAGGACUUGAGAUCCACAUUUUCUUAAGUGAAGAAUUCUGAUGUUGUAAACACACUAGUAGUUUCUAGAUUUAGAUACUUCUCUUCAAAUAUUUGUAUAAUGUACAUCUUCUUUGACAUUGCUGCUCCAAUAGGAUGUCCAAUAGGAUGUGCAACCUAUUUGGGCAUACUACAUGUACAACAAAAAAUUUCAUUAAAACAAAAAACUUUUACUAAAACAAAAAUAUGAAGUUAAUGUCUAAGAAGAUAAGAUUUAUAUAUAGUGAAUGAGCAUGUUUGAUUUUAGCACAAAGGGAAAGACGCCAAAAUUUUUAAGAAUAUCAUCACCACAAGUACCUAAUUUGCAUCAUUAAAAAUUCCACAAGGAUUUGAUGGCUAGGCAAUAAAAUAAUUCUAGUAAAUGAGUUAAAAUCAGCUAAGCUAAGAAAGAUUAAAUCCAAAUAAGCAUCAAUCAUUAAAGAAUUAGCCAACUACGAAAGACUUCAAAUGACAUUUUCUCUGUAAUUUCUGUUCCUAAUUAGCCUCAUGUGAUUGUACCAAAAUAUUAUUAAUUUUCUUUAAAGGAAGUGGGUGACUCAUAUCUUUGAAAGGGUGUGAGAAGUGGAAAUCCCUCGAUCCCUAGUGAUUCAAGAGGAUAAUUCCUAUGGCUAUUGUUGUCAUCAUACAUCAUUCAGCUAGCUAUAGACCACAAAAUUGAACAAUCAUGAAUAUGUAGAUGCUUAAAUAUGGUAUGUACUUUAUCUAGUGGAAAAGCUUAUGAGACUUGGACAUCUCGAGAUUUCUAGGAAUUAAAACAGAUACAAGUUGUUGCUUCUUGUUAUAAUUUAUCUGGAUUGCAAUCAUCAAGCACUAACUCCAUUCACUACAUGUUUUGAGCCUUCAACAUAAAUUCCAUUCUUUCAGCCAAAAAAAAAAUCAUUAAUAACUCAUCUGAAAACCAUUUUAUGUUGCUCAAAUUAUAAAAUGUAGGAUGUAACUGACUUCCAUCAUUGAAAAUGAAUUGAUAUAACUUUACAAUACUAGUAUAUUCAGCUUUUGAAAUGGUUGAAACUGAUCCUGGAAUCAAAAAUCACAUACACAAGUAGAUAUUUAACAAAAGAGAAUCCAAAAUCUCUUCAAUUGAUUAAUGUAUAAAUGAAUUAAUCAAAAUUUUUAGAGAUAAUUAUGGGGAGAUGAACCUUGUACCUUUCAGUUUCUUAUUCUUCUUGAACAGAGCAAUGUGCAUCAAGUGUUGAGCACCUAGGAAUCUCCCUUCCUCCACAGGCAAAAUCUGAACAAUGUAUCCUUUCUUCAUAUUCCACUUCCUUGCAAAAUUCAAAACAUGAAGAAAAUAUCAUCAAAAUUAAGACAAAAAUAAGUGCAUCAACUAUCUCAAGAAGAGAUAUAUGCCUACUGCGUACCUUUUGAAGAAGUCCACUUGGUUAGAGCACAUUUUACAUGGACGCCCAAUCACUAUAAGCAAUUGAACCAAAGGAGAGUUCAAACAUCUACAAAAUUUGACGAACUCAAGUAUCAUAAAAUACUUCAUAUGAAUUCUAAAUGAUCUCAUAUCUAAAAAACAUUGGCAUAAAAUUAUUGUUUUUUACCUUACAUGUUUCUUCCAUGGUCAUAAUCAAAACUUUGUUUAUCAUAAGAAAUCUUCUAUGCUCAUCUUGAUUACUUACAAUGAACACUGAAAUGAAAAGAAAAAAAACCACAAAAAAUGAUGAUUAGUUUGGUUUGAUAAAUUUAGCACGCAUAAUUUCCUUUUUCUUGCAUGAGAAAAGAAAGAGUAAAUAUAUAUAUAUAUAUAUAUAUAUAUAUAUAUAUAUGAAUUUAAUAAUUUUUUAAAUUAGCAAUUAUAAAACUAUUUUGGUUCUCAUAAAAUUUAUGAGAAAGUAGAGAAAAAAAAUUGUAAACUUUUUCUCUUGUUUGAUUGUUUAUCGAAAAAUUGAGGGAAAAACAAAAAUCUAUGAGAAAUUUAUUUAACACUUCUGAGGAACCAAAAAUGUUUUAGAUGUUGUCAAAUUGAUAAUUUAAACGUGUUUAAUUCCAAUUAAAUGAGUUUAGUAAAACACAUGAAAUUGUGAAUAAAAUUAUUUAAAAGCAUUGAAAUUCAAGUCAUUAAAGUUGUCCAUAAAAUUUGGUAUAUUGAAGCAAGAAAAAAACAAAGCAAUUUGAAUGACUUGCUAAUAAAGCAACUAACUAGAAUAUGCCCUAGAGUUGUUCAGUGCCCUCUAUAUAAGAAAUAAAUAGAGAACACAAAAAAAAAACCAAGAAAAAAAAACAAUCAAACGAAAAACAGAGAACACUUCUUACGUUAUUUUUUCUUAAUUUUUCUGAUUUAUAUACAUUUUUGUUGGUUUUCUUUUGACCAUAAAAGGUUCGAGCAUUGGCAUUGUCAUGUGUAAAUUAUUGUGGCUACAAACUUCAUUCGUAUCCAAUUGCACACCUAUCCAAACUCUUGAUGAUGAAGGUAUGAUUGCAUUUACUAGCAUUAAAUUGCUAAAAUUUGUCAUCCAAAGUUCCAAUUUCUUUUGAACCUUGAAGACUUCAUUUGCAUUCUUGUAGGAAUUAGACGUGGAAUCAUUUUGCAAUGCUUGUGGUCUUGAGACCAGCAGUGAUGAAUGGGGAAAUAAGUUCUUAUCAACCAAGCAAACAAACUUCCAUUAUCCCAAGAAAGUCUUUCCAAGCUACUCUUAUGGGUUUGGAACACUUUUAGAGGUAACAAUCAAUUGGAACUAGUUACUCUUUCAAACUUCUUAUUGUACAAAUAUAGCCUGCAUGUGCAACCAUUUUUUAUCCCAUAAUUUCAAAAAUUUAUGACACCUUCUAGUGGUUAGUUUUUCUGGGAAUGGAGUAAAGCAAUCUAUUCACUCCGAGAAAUUAUCGUAAGAAGAAUAGUAGAUAACCUCGCAAGACCAAAUUUAUGUGUGUGCAUGGAGGUGCAUGUUUUCUGCAUCCCAAUCAUGCAGCGUUGUGUCAAAUGGAACAAUAGCAGGUGAUGAUAAGUGGUAUUUCUAAAAUCUUCUAAGAGUAUUCCAUAUAUUGUAAUAUUGUUUUCUCAAAAUUGUCUUUGAGUCUUAUGUGUAAAUAUUAGAGUUGACCUCUUGUAAGCUAUCAACUGAUGUUGUAACUUAACUUGAAAGGGAAAUUCUAUAAAUUUAGCCUUGGUUUGGCUCUUGGAAAGCAAAGAAAAAUUAGGUUAAUAGUGAGUUGAUUUCUUCCCUUCCCAUGGAUGUAAGCACAUUCUUAAAUUAUGUUAAUUAUGUUUUGGUUUAUUUUGUUGUUUUCUUGUUUAUUGUUCAAUUGUCUCCGCAUAACAAGUGGUAUCAAAGUUGUUUCCAACACAAUAGAUGAUUCCUAUGCUAACACAAUGUUUGAGGCUAAAUGUAAGAUGGUAAAAGUUUCUAGAAUAUUUCUGUAUGACAACUGCCAAUAAAGGAUGUACUUAACAGGAAAUUCGUAAGGUGUUACAUGGCAAGUUGAACAAGACCAAUAGCCAAAGAUAUCUGAAAUAUUUGGGGCCAUUGAUCCAACAAUAGCAGAGAAUAACACAAGAAGAGACCCUCUAAUCACCAUUUUUGCUUUUGAUUCUUCUCUACAAAGCAUCAUCUCCUUUAUACAAAAAGACAACCCAUGGCUAAGCCCACAUUAUUCUCUACAUAUCCCAAAAAAACCCUCUAACCCAUGGCAUGGCGCACUUUUUGGGGGUAUUUUUGCUACUAAAUUUGUGGUAGUCUCUCAAAUACCUAAACUAUCCUCCAGAUAUUAAGGUAUGGCCUACUCUUUGAGGUGGUAUUAAGGUAUGGCCUAAAUUUGUUAAGAGAGGUUUUGGUGUGGAAACUAGAGGGCUUUACACACGUUGCAUGUAUUUUCUUUUGCAUGCAUUACACGUAGAUCGGAGUUUAUGCAGUUACUCACUUUUUGUGAGUCCAAUAGUACUGUAGUGCCACGUCACCAUAUGAUGGGCUCUUUAGUCUUUUCAAACCCAAAAAAAAAAACUAAUACUAAAAGGACUGCUAACUAGCUAUGUGGAGGUGAACCUCUAUAGCUAGCUUCUUAGAGGGACCAUGAUCACUUAGGCCAAGAAAGUUUGAGGUGAUAAUAGGUUUGUGAUGCCCUUAGAUGUUUUAGACACAUGUGUGUUACACUAAUGUAUGCAACGAGUCUAUAACCUUGAUUGACAGGUCCGGGUAAUCUUUGAAAUUCCACUGUGAUAGGAAGGUUCCAUGUGAACAACAGUUGCACAUGGGUUAGUCAAUCUUAAGAGACGGGGGAAGCCCGUUUAAUAGCACACAAUGUGCAAGCUUUGAAAGGCAAUCAGGUUAACAUUUUUUAAUUGGGACAUGAUAGCGAACAACAACAUUAGGUAGUUUGGAGAUGUCGUCAUAUUAAUUGUUAUCAAUAUUUUUAUUUAUUCAAUAGAAAUUGAGGAUUAAAAAAAUACCACAAAAAUUAGAAAAAACAAAAUUAAUUACAUGGCUUACAUUUCAAAUAUUUAAUAAAAUAUUGUUUGAAAAUUGAAUAUCAUACAUUAUUAAAUGGCUGGAUUCUCUUCUUUAUUUUUUUAAUUGUCUCAUCCUAUUAAAUUACUCAUCUAAUAUUAAUUUAUUUUAAAGGUAAAAUUAAUUAUUUUGUAAAAAAAACUUUUAAUUGACCAGAGUUUGUGCCAUGCAUCUAAUAUAUACUUAAAUACUUUUCCAUGCUAUAAUCCUCCAACAAAGGAAUGAAAUCAAAACUUAAAAAUCAUUUAUAUAUAUAGAUAUAUGUUAUUAAGUUUAGGUAGUGAAGCAAUUAUUGUGAAUAUAAAAUUAAUGCCAAAAAUUUUGAUUGUUCUUUCACGUUCUCCACAACCAAACAAAGGAUAUAAGAAAAAUCAAGAAAGAAAUUUAGGGUAGUUUGAUUUUUUGUUCUCAUCUUGUCGUGAAGUUAAUAGAGGAAUGCUUGGGUUAGUGCUUGACAGUUAGGUGACACUAGGGUAUAAUGAUUCUUCCAAUCAAGUAAAUAUUAUCCGCUUUAAUUUCAAUGGAUCAUCAUCACUUUAAAUUGCAUCCACAUGGUUAAGAGCAACUCAUAUGUGUAUAAUAUCAUGAAUUUCUUCUUAUUCAAUAUGGAAUAUCAAAUUAGGUAUCUUUCAAUUUUAGGUAUUGUAUAAGUGUUUCAAUUCAAAUGACUUGGCUUAAUGUAUACUCAAAGCCUUUACAAAGGAACGUACAUGUAAUAAAGUGAAAAUUAAACCUUGUCGCCCGUCUAUCUCUAGUAUGAAACACAACUCCAUUAGCGCUUAAACAUCUGCAAAAAAAGAUAUACACCUUUGUUACAUUAAUUAAAAUAAAUGAUAGAAAAACAGACUCCAUAUAUCCAUGUACAAUAUUUGAUUAGAUUUGUUAUAUAUAUAAAGAGAGAGAGAGAGAGAAAAAGAAAAAAAAACUGCUUAGAUUAAGGAUCUCAUUAAUUAAUACCUAGAAAAUAUAAAAUAAUAAAAAAAGAUUAGAAGGUGUGAAUUAUAAGAUAAGACUACAUUUUUGAAUUAGAUUCAUCGAAAGAUGGCAUAUUGUAUGAACAUUUUUACUCUAUAUAUAAAAACUUAUAUUAUGGUUGAGAUGUAUUAAUUUGUCAUAUUUUUGGACAAUUCAAGUAAUGAGUAAUUACACUAAAUUAAAUUAUUGACCUUAUUAAUUGAUACCUCAACAGUAUAAAAUAGUAAGAAAUGAAUAAUACAAACUUCAUCGAAAUAUUUUUAUAGACAUAUUGCGUAAAUAUUCUUAUUUAAUAAAAUUUUAUAUGUCAUUAAAUAAAUAGAGAAUUUUAACAUUAAUUGCAAUGCUAAGUAGAGGAGAUCUCAUAUUUAAGCUGAUGAUUAAGGCUUAUUUGAUAAAACUUAAUAUUUAUUACUUAAUAACUUAAGUUGACUUUAAGUUAAAUUAUAUUUAAGUUACUCAAAAUUUAUUAUUUAAUAUUUACUUUAAGUAUUAAAGUUAUUUGAUAAAAUUAAUUUAAAAAUCAUUUUAAAUUAUCAAAUUGUCAUAUUUAUCUUCGUUAAUUUGAUAACUAGAUGCAGAUAAAUGAAACAAAAUAAAAUUGAGAUUAAGAAUAAAUUAAUUACUUUGAUUUAACACUUAAAAUUAAAAGUAACUUUAAGAUAUAAUAUUAAGUUAUUUUAUCAAAUAUAUUUAAUCUAUUUAAUAAUUAAAUUAAGUUAUUAAGUUAAUGAAUGAUUACCAAACACCCUAUAAGACCCAAAAAAUCGAAUGAGUUUUAAUAGUAUUCAGGAUGGACAUGACUAGGUGGCGGUUCAAUGCUGAUUAAUCAUAAUUCAAUCAAGGCAAAAUAUGUAACAAAUACAAGUCAAACUGCACCAUCCAAAUGGGCGCCAAGAAGUUACAUUUGACAAAUGCCAUUAAACCUCUACAGCUAGCAAUUAUUUUGAUCACAGAAAAAAUGGCAAAAAAGUGUGUCGUACUUCAUCUUGAAGCCCAUUAACUUCAUCUUAAUUUGAUCCAAAUUGCAGAAACAUGCAAAACUCCAUGAAUCUAUGGUGCUAUGGUGGCCUACAUUCAUAUAACUGGGGACACUUUGGUUUACACCACAAUGACCCCAAACAGGGUUUGUAGAGGCUUUAUCAAGAUCACUAGCUUUAAAAGACUAAGGAAAGAAAGAUGUUCUCAAUGAAAACUUGGAGUCAAAUUGCAGAUAAAGACCUAAAACUCCCACUCAAUGUGUUUUAGGAAUUGUUGUUUCAUGGGGAUAAGCUGCUUGGUUUGUACAUGUCUCCUUGGUGAUACUUAGAGAUUGGCAAAGUAUAUUCUCCUUUGUGAUCUGGUUUGUAUAUGGGCAGAUGAAUGUUCAUGCCAGGUUCAUAUAUGUUUCUGAUAUAUAUCACCCUGGAAGGAUCUAGAUCAAGGGGAUGAGUUUGAAAAGCUUGAGUAGGUUUAAGAUGUUCCCAGAAUUGGUGAGCAUGAUAUAUAUCAACAUGAUAUUGCAGAAGACAACAGAGCUUCUGAAAUAUAUCAGGUUCAAUAGUAGGAAAUCUUAUCAGCUGUCACUUAUUGUAAUCCUAUGCUCUCAAUAUUCAUUUGUUGAAGAAGAAGAAAAAAUUGCUGUCACACUAUUCAAUUACCGGAGAAUGUUCAAUUAUAGAAGAAAAUAAUAUUCACUAGACUCUUUCAACUUAAUCAACAUGCAGAGAAAAGCCGUCGGGUGGCCAAUUAUUCACAUACCAACUUACAUACAUCGUCUCUCUACCUCUACUUGUUACUCAUUAGCCAAGCUUAUAGUAAUAUAAGCUUGGGUUCAUCUCUCCAUGUCUCUGAUGACAACUCCACAUGGGGUUCGCCUUCUGGUGAUUUUGCAUUUGGAUUCUGACCCUCUCCAAGUGAAAAGGAUCAAUAUCCUUCUUGCUAUCUGGACUGCAAAUGGAAGUUAACUGGUGCCAAGAGGAUCAAAAGUUGAGCUUACUACCAAUGGACAACUUGUUCUCCAGAGGCUAAGAGAUGAAGACAAAGACUGGUAAUGUGAGCAGCGAAGCAGUGCAUGGUGCCAUGCUUGGACAUGGAAAUUGUAUACCAGUAUAUGGGAGAGCUUCAAGCACCCAACUAAUACCAUAUUGCCAACCCAGGGAUUGGUGUUGGAGCCUCCUGUGCAGUUGCUAUUUUUGAGGACCUGAGGUUUGCAAAUGGAACUGGAAGCUGUUGGAGGAAAAGACUACCUCUUUCAAAUGGGAGGUUGGAUCAAACUGAUGUUUCCAGAAGUGCUCUAAUCAAGAAGUCCAGUGAACUAACGUCAGGCAGAGGCAACCAAAAUAAAGCAAUUCUAAUACUCUCAGUCCUCUUAGGCCCCUCUGCGUUUUUCUUCUUCGUUUCUCUGGCUGCAAUUUCUCUAGUUUUCUACCACUUGAACCUCAAAAAUCUGCAGCUUUAUCACAGAAUCCUGAGUACAAGCGAUGGUAGAAGCCUUUGACACUGUCUAUAAAGGGAUAUUACCAUCAGGUUCUGGAAAUUCUGUUGCUGAAAAGAAGUUGGAGAAGGUGGUGGGAGAAGAUGAGAAAGAAUUCAAAGCAGAAGUGAAUGUGAUAGGCCAAACUCACCAUAAGAAUCAAGGACAGUUGCUGCGUUACUGUCAUGAGGGUGAACACUGACUACUGGUGUUUUUUUUUAUUUUAUUUUUUUAUGCACAAUGGCUCUUUAUCAAGCUUCCUUUCUGGAGGCGCCCAAGGACUUGUGUACCUACAUGAAGAAUGCAGUAAACAGAUCAUCCAUUGUGACAUAAAGCCCUCAGAACAUAACUCUUAGAUGAUUCUUCUACAGCCAAAGUUGCAAACUCGGACUGGGAAAGCUUCUGAUAAUCAACCAGACUAGAACACUCACAGGCAUCAGAGGGACUAUGGGGUAUAUUCAGACAACUCGAGCAGCCUAUGUCUCUUAUAAUAACACGUUAUGAAGCAUCAGCUCAAUGCCAAGGUUCAAUCUGCAAAGCAAGGGAUUCAUCAAUGUUUCCUUCAAACUAAAUAACAAGGAACAGAAAUGGAUCAUUCUGCAUUUUCAGUGGUGUUUGUUAUAGCAUUUAUACAAGAACUCUAGGGGUUUCUAUGUAUAACUUCAUUCCUAUUUUGUCAGUGAAUAUGGUGAUGGUGUUAUAUUAUAAAUCAUAGUGAACUGGUGGAAUUUGAUCAUUUGGCCAACUUUAUCCAAAACUGUUUCACGGUUGAGGGGAUUGUUGACUUUGCCCUGGGCGAAACAGCAAUUUCUUAAGAAGCUGGGUAACGAAGAGUACCAUAAUUUGGACUGGUUUCAAUGGAAACUCUCCUGUUUUUGUGCAUGGUAUCUUCAGCUUCAGCUUUUCCUAUGCUUUUGACUAUCCUGAAACUGAUCCAAAUCUCUUCAAUUGAUUAAAUGUAUAAAUGAAUCCUAUUCAUUGUUUGGAGUAACAACCAAAUUCUGGAAGACUGGGAAAGUUUCAACACUGGAGAGAAAACAAAAUGACAAGACCAUAAAUUCUGGAAGAGGGCUUUGCUUUCUAAUCAUUACCAUAAUUUUAGAGCUCAACCCGGGUGAGUAAAUUAUAUUUCAGAAUGUUCAGAAGAUAAUUCUGAAGUGAUGAACCUUCUACUCACAGUUUCUUGUUCUUCUUGAACAGAGCAAUGAACAUCAAUAGUUCAGCACCCAGGAAUCUCCCCUUCCUUCAAUUCCUUUACUGGGAAAACUCUGCCAAAAUCAUAACAAUCUGUCCUCUUCCUUGGAGGAAAAGUCACCUUCCCAAUCAAGAAAAUCAUCAGGAUUAAUUUGAGCAAAACAUCAGAGUAUACAUCAAGAAAGCCUUGAUCAAAAUCAAAAUACAUCAAGAGCUGCCAUUUUCUUCUAUUUCCUCUUCCCUGAAUGGAAUGCCUUUUGGACUGAGGUGAUCAAUGGUAACAGUCUAACACACUCCUUAAGCUCUGAUUGAGGUCAACGGGGAUUGGCACAUUUAAUGACUUUUGAAAUCAUAGCUGUGUGAAGGGAGGCAAACAUGAAUCUCAGGAUAAUCAACAAGUCAACAACUAUCAAUCAGCAAGGAAAAGGAAAUACCUUUGGAUAUUUACAAAUCAAAAAUUUGAGAGAGUCCAGCUUCUCUGUACAGAAAGGCUUGAGCUUAUUCCAUGGCCAGGCUUUAGAUGGUUCUGAAUUACGGAUGAGAGGGUUGAGUUUUCUUUUAUUCUGCAACAAGAUUAAAAACAUCAAUGAAACACUAAAAGUUUAUAUAUAGAAGCCCUUUAAAGAUAAGAACUGGUAAGAAAGCUCACCCAUGGUCUAGUAAAACAACAUCUGUUAGAUAAGUAACCGCCAUUCGAUUGUCCAGCUAAUGCAUUUAGAUCUAAGAUAAGAUAUGGAAAAAUAGUCAAAAAUAGCUGAAGACAGUCCAAAAACUCAUUUGACUAAUAAUUUUCUAAAAGCAGUAACAUAAAACCUGGAUGAAGAAUCCACCCCUCUACCUGACACCACUUCAAUACCAAAUAAAAUGUUACGAUGACCAUUUAUGGUCUUAAGAGACAGUGGAUGUUGUUUGGGCUCAAGACCUAAGACAAGCCAAAAAACAAGAAGAAAACAUCAAAAUUGGCACAGAAACAAGUACAUCAACUAUCUAAUAAAGAGAUUUAUGCAUGUAACAAAUGCAAAUGAAAUAUGAAACAAGAUUUUCAUGGAUUAAACAAAAAUAGAUGGCAAAAUAGAAGGAUAAGGUCACAGACAGGACAAUAUUAAAAGAAAUGAUUAUUUGUCCCACCUGAAAAUCAAGGCAUUCAGAACAGUACACAUUUGUAAGUAGUCCAUGGAAACCAGGGAACAUAUGCAGAUGUUGUAUUCUAUUGCAUAAGGCAAACACUCAAUACUUACAAGCAUAACCAUGCCCAGAAAGCCAUGAAUCCCUUUUAGUUUUGCUUUUUUACCUAUUCCCAUCUCUUAUGGCCAGAAGUGCCCAGGAUGAUAUAACAUCACCAAAUAAGUUAGAAACCAGCCCAUCCAGCAGGUUGAGUAGCCAGCUUGCCCUCAAUCUUCUUUGAGUCAACAAACAGCUGGGCAUUAUUGCCUCCAAUGGAGGGUCUGGAAAUAUUAGAGCUGGCACCAGGGGUGGCUGUAAAACUCUCUGUUCCAAAACCCCAAGUUUCAGGGCCAGAAGUUGCUUCUGUGGCUGGUUUGUUGUGAUGGCCAUUUCGGGUCCUAACAGACUUGCUAUUGUUGUCUGGGCACCUACCUCAGAGAAAGCCUGCCAUGGAUUAGAGUCCUGACAUGGCUGAAACUGAUCCUGAAAUUAAAGUGCACAUACACAAGUAGAUAUUUAACAGAAGAGUAUCCAAAUCUCUUCAAUUGAUUAAUGUGCAAAAGAAUUAAUCAAAAUUUUUAGAGAUAAUUAUAGGGAGAUGAACCUUGUACCUCUCAGUUUCUUAUUCUUCUUGAACAGAGCAAUGAGCAUCAAGUGUUGAGCACCCAGCAAUCUCCCUUCCUCUACAGGCAAAAUCUGAACAAUCUAUCCUUUCUUCAUAUUCCACUUCCUUGCAAAAGUCAAAACAUGAAGAAAAUAUCAUCAAAAUUGAGACAAAAAGAAGUGCAUCAACUAUCUCAAGAAGAGAUUUAUGCCUAUUGCUUACCUUUUGAAGAAAUCCACUUGGUUAGAGCACAUUUUACAUGGACGCCCAAUCAGUGCAAGUUGCUGAACCAAAGGAGAGUUCAAACAUCUAGGCUCAUCUUGAUUAUUGUAAUGAACACUGAAAUGAAAAAAAAAAAUGAAUUUAAUAAUUUUUAAAAAUGAGCAAUUAUAAAACUAUUUUGGUUCUCAUAAAAUUUACGGGAAAGUAAAGAAAAAAAAAUUGUAAACUUUUUUGUUUUUGUUUGAUUGUUUAUGGGAAAUUUGAGGGGAAAAAAAAUCUAUGAGGAAUUUAUUUAACACUUCUUAGGAACCAAAAAUGUUUUAGUUGUUAUCAAAUCGAUAAUUUAAACAUGUUUAAUUCCAAUUAAAUGAGUUUAAUCAAACACAUGAAAUUGUAAAUAAAAUUAUUUAAAAGCAUUGAAAUUCAAGUCAUUAAAGUUGUCCAUAAAAUUUGGUAUAUUAAAGCAAGAAAAAAACAAAGCAAUUUGAAUGACUUGCUAAUAAAGCACCUAACUAGAAUAAAUAAAGCAGCUAACUAUAUAAGAAAUUAUAAAAUAAAAAUAAAAAAUAAAAAAUAAAAUUGCCAAAAAAAAAACAAACAAAAUAUCCAUGGUUCUUACGUUAUUUUUUUCUUAAUUUUUAAAUAGUUAUAAAUGGUUCAUUUAAUUUUUGCAAACUACGAAAUCAAAAUAGAGCAUGAAAAUGUGUUCAACAUUUGUUUCAAGCUUGAAGCUUCAAGAAAAAAGAAAAUCUUAAAUCAAAUAAACAGAAAGAAAAGUUCAAGCGCAAAAGAAUUACCUAACUGUGUAUUGGCGGAGUGGCACUUUGAUUAAAAUAGCACUUCAUUGAUCACUAUUUUAGGAAUGAGAUCUAUAUAACGCCAUUCUUCCCCUUUCUCAAAUUGACACCGUUUUUCCAGUAAAUGACCUCAUUAGAACUACAAUAAGUGAAGUGAUAAUGUCAUCUAAUUAGUAAACCAAACCAAGUCAAUAAACUAGAACUUCCUCUAGUAUAAAGGUCUUGAUACAUUAGAUAUUGAAUUUGUUGGACCUGGCAAGGUAGAAGUAGUAAUGCUCAUUUUUUAUUGUGACAGAUUAUAGAGAAAAUUAGACACUGGGAAAAUACCAAGCCAGGAGCCAUGUCAAGAGCUGCUUUCUUGUUAAAAAUUAAGUCCAAUUAGAAAAUUACAGUAGCGCGUAAGAGAAAUUGAAAGUGGUGUUGAGAAGAGAAAGAGGAAGAAUGAUGUGUUGGGAAUGAGAUGUAAUACCUUAUUUAUUAAUACACAGGGGAUGUGGGCAAUCUUGGGCCAAUCAUCUCCUUCCUCCUUCGAGUACCUUUGUGUUAGAUGUGGGCAAUCCCGCACAUACACUCGUGAAAGGGUGUCAGGCAAUAGUCCUUCCGUUGGCAAAAUCGAUCGGAGCUUAGGGCAACUGUAGAUUUCUAGCUCUUCAAGAGAGGUGAGGGUUUGGAGAGACAGGGAGGCUAGGGAUUCCAGAUUCUGGAAUUCUGAAAGGGUAAGGGAGGAGAGAGUUGUAGGAAAAAUAAUCGAGUGGGGGUCAUCCGAAAAGGAAGUUGCAUCUGGAAACAUGCCACCAAUCCAGAGGAGUUUAAGAGAGGUGAGUCUGGAAAGGCCCCAUUGGGAUAGGGGGGUCUUGAUAUUCUCAAAGUGAGAGAUCUCGAGUGAUGUAAGAUGAGUGAGGGUGUUGAGGCAAUCUGGUAGGGUUUUGAGAUUAGGAUACCUCUCGAUGGUUAAAGAUUGAAGUGAAUUAUUAGUAGAGUGAAACAUCUCCUCUGAAAUUGACUCGAGGUGUUCACAAUCCUCAAUGUGAAGUUGCUCAAGGGUGGAUGGAAACUUGCCUCUUGGGAAGGAUGUGAGAGAUGGACAUUUACGGAUUUCCAAGGCUUGGAGAGCAGCAGCAUAUGUGGAAUCGUAGUGCAUUAUUCCCUCUGGUAGAGACUCUAGCCUUCUACAAUCAAUUAUACUGAGCCUCUUGAGAGUGGCGGGUAACCCACCUUUCGGUAAUCCAAUAAGAGAAUGACACCUAUCUAUCAAUAAGUCUUCAAGGGCACACAUGCCCAUCAUUCCUUCUGGAAGAGACUUGAGAUUUUCACAAAACUCUAUCUGUAGUCUCUUAAGGGUGGUGGGUAAUUGCCCUUUUGGAAAGCAAAUGAGAGAUGGACACCUGGAUAUCACUAGCUCUUCAAGGAGACACAAGUUGUUGCUGUCAGUACUGUCGUUCCUCAUCUUCAACAUCAUGCCAUCAGGUAGACUCUUUAGACCUUGACAAUUCUCAAGAUCAAGAUUUCUCAGCAUUGGUGGGAAACCUACAUCUGGAAAUGACGCUAGCUUUGGACAAUUGCUGAUUGUCAAUUCUUCAAGGCAUGUUAGACUCUGCCAUCCAUUUGGAAGCCUCUCUAGUUUAGCACAUCUAUCUAUUUCCAAAGACUGAAGAUUGCAUCCCAAGGAUACAAGUUGGUCACAAUCUCUAAUCUCAAGAGAAUGAGAGUUUUCCGAUCCAAAACCAUCCUCCCACAAAUAUACGAGUUCUUCGCAUGCCCAUACUUUCAAAACCCGAAGCCCUUGCAAAAAUUGCACAAAUCCUUCAUGCAAUUUGAUAAGCCCUGAAAUCCUAGAAAUUGUUAACUCGGUGAGUGAGGUGAGGUCAUUUCCACUGCUCAAGACCGCCUCAUUACAUCUUAUUACUUGUAAUUCCUUCAGCAGUGGAAGUCUUGAACGUGGAGACUCCAAUUUUGGACAAAAGACAACAGAGAGCUUUGUAAGAGAAGGUAGGUAAGUGGGUAGUUUCAUAAUCAAUUUGCGGCAACCCUGAAUUGUAAGCUCAUGGAGACAAGGGAAUAAUGACUCUGUUGAGGAAGACCAAUCCUCCCAGUGCUCCCAUUCUGACAUGCUAUAAAAAUGUAGAGACUCUAGUGAUGGGAAAAACUUACCUGCAGAAACACGAGUCUCUCCAUAAAACUCUGCACCCACUUUUUUUACUACAUCCAUUCCUUGGAUCCUCAACUGUUUGAGCGAUGGCAACUGCCCCAAGCAUGGUAAAGACGUGCACUUUCUGCAAUCUAUGAGACGUAGAUCCACCAUCUUAGAGAACAAGGCACCCCCUAUCCAACGUGGGAAUUCUGGACCACCAUACAACUGAAUGCAGAGUUUGUUCAGAUUCGAACAUGGUUGUAGAGAGUCAAGGACAUCCAUUUGAUUCCUUUCAUUCCCUGAACCAUCCAACUCAGAACUCCACUGCAUUAUCAAGCUUUCAAGGUUACGCUUCGAACAUGGUUGUAGAGAGUCAAGGACAUCCAUUUGAUUCCUUUCAUUCCCUGAACCAUCCAACUCAGAACUCCACUGCAUUAUCAAGCUUUCAAGGUUACGCUUCGAUUUUAAAUCGGCAUCCCUUGCAUCUUGAAUAUUCACCACAUUUUCCAAUUUCGAAAUGCAAAGUUCUCCUCGCAGAUGUGACAUGUCCUUCAACUCCUUGAUUGUCAAACCGUUGUUUUUGUCCACAAUGAAAUUAGACAAUAUCCGCAAAUCUUUUAGUUUGCCCAUUCCUAUAGGCAUUUCUUGUAAUUUUAUUGCACCAGCAACGUCAAGAUGUCGAAGAUUGAUUAGGUUACCGAUGGUAAUAGGCAACUUGAUAAGCUCUUUACAACAUGAUAAUUUCAAUGUCUGAAGGUAAAAAAGAUUACCAAUUGAAUCGGGUAACCAUUUUAUACUGGUGUGGGACAAAUUAAGGUAUCUCAAAUGUUUCAACUUACCAAAUGAAUCUGGUAUCUCACUUAUCUUGUAAUAAGCCAAUGAGAGCACCCUUAAGUGCCCUAACCUUGGUAUCAAUUCUUCAAGCACCUUAUCACUUAUGAAGGAAUGAAGUCCACUAGUUAAUUCAUCAAUCGGCAAAGCUAUGAACGUGCGCAAGCGCUCUUUCUUAUGAAACGUUUCAAAAUUUUUAAAGAUAUCAUAGCGAUGACGGAUGAAUGAUGAAUGACGAGUAUUUUCAGGAACGGAGCGUUGCAAAUCAUCCAAAUGCAAGCAUGUGUCUCCAGCAAUAGAUUUAGCUAGAUCGUUGAUAAGGUCAUGCAUAACGAAUCGUGAUUUAUUGCUAUUGGACGAUUGGAAAAAUGACCUUGACAAUAGUUCACAAAAAUAAUCAUCACCAAGAUCUUCCAUUUUCUCAUCCUCAUUUGAUUGUUGAAUUAACCCCUCCGCCAUCCACAAGAGGAUUAGCUCUUCCUUCUUAAACUCAUAAUCUUGGGGAAAUAAUGCGCAAUAAGUGAAACACCUUUUUAAAUGUGAAGGGAGAUGAUUGUAGCUCAAUCUCAAGGCAGGGAUGAUGUCACAUUCCUUGUCUGUGAAAUCCCAUACUUUGCUGUACAAUACUCUUUCCCAUUCACACUCACGUAGUUUUUUAGAGCGCAAAAGGCCACCAAGGGCUCUUGCCGCUAAGGGCGAACCUCCACACUUCUCUACAAUUCUCCUGCCAAUUGAUUCCAAAUUUGGGUGCUCAUCGAUAUUCAUAUGUUCAAAAGCAUGUGUUUGAAAUAUCUUCAAACAAUCAUCAUAAGGUAACUGUUUGAGCUCAUGUAAGAUCUUGUGGCCUCUCAUCAUGUUUGCAACAUUAUUAUUGCGAGUUGUGACUAGAAUUUUGCUUCCCUGUGCUCCCACCCAGAAAGGGGAGCAUAGCCUGUCCAACUCAUCGUAAUCAUCAUUCCAUAAAUCAUCCAAAACUAUCAGAAAUUUUUUUCCCUUCAAUUCCUUCCUCAAAUUUUCUUGAAUUUCAUGCAAGUCUUGUGAAUUACUGCUUUGAGAAUUAGUCACCAAGUUGAGAAUUGUCUCUGUUAUUUUCUUUGCAUCGAACUGAACUGAGACAGUAACCCAAGCUUUUUUAUCAAAAUGCUUGGUUAUGGUCUUAUCGUCAUAGUACACCAGUUUUGCCAGUGUGGUCUUGCCCAUCCCACCCAUGGCCACAAUGGAAACUACAGAAAAAUUGGUUUUAGUGGGUUCAUUCCUAAGCAGCAUACCAAUUAUAAUCUCUUUUUCUGUCCCCCUGCCAUAGACCUGAGGUUCAUAGACAGUGAAUGGCCUUCCACAAGCAGAGUUGGUUAUCGCAGCCACCUUUUCUAGACGAAGCUCAGAUUUUUGAGCCGAAAUAUCUCGUAAGCGGCGAGUGAUUUCCCACACCUUGGACCUCAUGUUAACAUUAGGAUUGAAAAUGCGAAGACAAGUGGAGAUGAGCUUGCGUACCUUGCUCGGCCUGCCUUGAUGAUCAGCUUCUUUGGCCGUGAGCUCCCGUUGCAAAGCUUCGUAGGCGAACUCAUCCAAGAUGUCCUCCAUAUCAUAAGCCAAAUCUUUCAGAUUGCCCAGCCACUCUUUCACAGGGCGAUCCGUGAUCUGCUUGUCCUCCGCGUCAUUAAGCUCUUCACGAAUAUCCGACAAUUCUCUCUCCCAUUUCUUGAGAUCAGAGUACACCUGUUGGCGUGCAAAGUCGAGCAAAUCAGUGGAGGCCAACUUGUCAAACAAGAGGCCGAUGGCAGCAGAAAGAAGAGCGUCUCCCACAGCCUCCAUGGUUGGUUUGUACUUUGUUUGGAGAGAGAGAGAGAGAGAGCAAAUCAAGCCGUGGGUAAAAAAGUGAAGCAGAAAGAAGGGAGUCUGCUCUGUGAAGGCUUUAAAUAUUAGAAACUCAUAAAACAUUUGUUUUAUGAAUUUAUUAUAUGCACCCAUUUUCAUUUUAAUUAUUUUGAGAUGAGUCCUAUUCCUCCCGUUGAGAGAGAGAGAGAGAGAGAGAGAGAGAGAGAGAGAGAGAGAGUUAUUGCUGUGAGCCGGCAUGCAACAACCUUACAGUGUAGCAAUUGUUCAAUUUUGACAGUGAAGGAGAGAGAGAGAGAGAAUUAUUGCUGUGAGAUGGCAUGCAACAACUUUAAAGCGUAGCAAUUAUUGAAUUUUGACCGAAAGAGAGAGAGAAAAUUAUUGUUGUGGGAUGGCAUGCAACAUCUUUAAAGUGUAGCAGUUAUUGAAUUUUGACCAAUUAUGUUAAUGGGUUAUAUCCUCAUCCCAAGUUCCCAACCCAUCUUGAUUACUUCAAAAAAAAUUUAUUCCGUCCCAAACCUGUACUAGAGUAGAACGGGGUCGGAAUUUUUUUAGAAGUUAUAGUCAUCCUAUCUUAUUUACUAUUUUCUGUUAUUUUUAUUAUUUUAAAAUUUUGUUUUUAUUAAAAUAAAUGUAAUUUAUGAGUAAAUAAAUUAUUUUUCAUAAAUUUUAUAUCCUACCUUGAUAAAAAAUAAAUUUACAACUUCAAUUUAAAUAUGUUUAAAGAAGAGAAAUGGAAAAAAAUAAAUUAUAUUUACUUAAUUUUAUUUAUAAAUGAGAUGGAUUGAGAUAAUAGUUAGAGUUUGUUUGAUAAUUAUUCUAAAGAAUGUUUUUAGUUUAAAAAAUAAAUAAAUUAAGGGUAUGUUUGAUAAUUAUUUUCAAAAAUAAUUUUUGAGAAUAGUUGUUUUCUAAUAUUUUAUAGAAUAAAAGUCUGUUUAAAAAUCUAAAAUAUUUUUUAUUAAUUUUUAAUAUUUUAAAAAUAAUUUUUAUAUAUGAUAUUUUAUUUUUAAUUAUUUUAUAAAUAAAUUACAUUUAAGUAUAAAUAAAUAAAAAUUAAAUACAUAUAAAUUAAAUUUAGGUUAAUAUUAUGUGGUUGUUUUUAGUGGACCACCAACUAUUUUUAUAUUCCAUAGAGAACUUACUUUCAACACCAUAGAAUCACCCUAAUUUUAAAUUGAGAUAUAUUAUCUUAAAUUUUAAAUUUUUUAGGGCAUGAACUAAAUCUAUAUUUUUUCUUAAGAAUUUCUAUUUUUUUUAUAUGGAAGUUUUUACCAAUUUUUGUUUUUAAAAACAAAAAAAUAAGUACUUAAAGUGUUUUUUAUAGUGAUUUUAAAAAAUAUUUUUAAUUUUUUUAAUAUUUAAAAAAUAAAAAUUUUAGAGAUUAAAAAAAUUAAAAAUAAUUUUUAAAAUCAUUGUAAAGCCCACUAUGAUAUUAAUUUCUUCUCAUUAUAUCCUUUCAUUAGAUGCUUUACAUGGUUUUUAAUAAAUAAAAUUAUAAUUAUAUUGAUGGAGGCCAAUUAUCUUUGCUUUAGGUGAGAAAGUAGAGAUAAGAUUGAAAUGGGCCCACAUAUAAAACAAGAAUGAAAUCAAAAGUAAAGAUGGAGAUAAGAUUGAGGUGGGUGGACCAAAUAAAAAGUAGGAUAUGAAUUGACAAAAGCUUCUACACUCUUCCCAAAAAGUAAAAGCAAAGCCUAUUAGCGUGUAAAGUGAUGAAAUUAGUCCUAUUCAAGGCCCUACUUGCAUAUUUGAUAUUUCUAUGAAUUUUUAUUUAUUUAUUUUAUUAAACUAGUCUAAUACGAAGACUUUUAAGUUAAAAUUAAUUUUUAAAAAUGAUAUUUAUUCAUUUAUUUAAUAUGAUAUUGUACACAUAUUAUUAGAAUUUUCUAAUAUGAUGCCAAGGACACUUAUGAUAAGUGUUUUUUUAUUUGAUUUAGGCAAAUACAACUUGAUAUGAUUUUUCAAUGACUCGAAUUCAACUUUUUUUCUUUUUUAGGGAUUUGAAUUAAUUAUAAUCAAUUUUAAAUCAAAGUUGCAUCAAUCUAUUAUAUAUCUAGUUUAAAGUCAAUGUACAUAACACAUAUUUAAUUUGAAUUGACUUAUUUAAUGAUGAUACCGAUAAACCUAAUGAUAACUCUAACUUAUUUAACUCAUAUUUGACAUAAUUAAUUUUUUUUCUAAUAAGUAUAUCAUAAUUAAGUCAUAAACAACAUAUUCAAUUAGAAUAGUAGCCACAUAUUAUGUCAUUCAACAUUUAACCCGAUUUGAUUAUUAAACAACAUCUAAUUAUUAAAUAGGUUAUAAUAUAUUACUUUGUUGAUAAUUACAUUGUGUUUGAGUUUAUGUUUUUAACCUUGAUUGUUAUUCACGUUAUAUUUGGAUUGAGAUAUUUAGUUGAGUAUUUAAACUUUAAUGUGACAUAAAUACAAUCCAUCUAUUGAGAUAUUAGAAAAGUAAUUUUGAUCAAAAUUAAUAUUUAAUGACUUUAAGUAAAUUUUAAAUUAAAUUAUAUCAAAUUAUUAACUUGAUUUAUUAAAAUUAUUGUUGAUUUUAUAUUAUAAUAUUAAAUUAUUUUAUCAAAGAUACUGAAUAUUCUUAAGAAAUUAAAUUUGAUUUAUCAACAUCCUCUAAUGUCUUCUCAAUUUUUAAUAUUUAUUUGAUACACAUUUAAUAAGAAACAAGUCAAAAAAUUUCAAUACAAGCAAGAGUUGAAAGAAAGCGGAAAGAAGAGCCUCUAGCUUCCAUGAGAGAGAGAGAGAGAGAGAGAGAGAAUUAUUGCUGAGAGAUGGCAUGCAACAACUUUAAACUGUAGCAAUUAUUCAAUUAUGAGAGAGAGAGAGAGAGAGAGAGAGAGAGAGAAGAACUUUACAGUGUAGCAAUUCUGAGAGAGGGAGAGAGAACAACUUUACAGUCUAGCAAUUAUGAGAGUGAGGGAGCGAGAGUUAUUGCUGUGGGAUGGGAUGCACCAACUUUAAACUGGAGCAAUUAUUCAAUUUUGAAGUGUAGCAAUUAUUGAAUUUUUGACCGAGAGAGAGAGAGAAAAUUAUUGUUGUGGGUGGCAUGCAACAUCUUUGAAGUGUAACAGUUUACAGUGCAGCAAUUGUUCAAUUUUGACAGUGAGGGAGAGAGAGAGAGAGAGAGAGAGAGAGAGAGUUAUUGCUGUGAGCUGGCAUGCAACAACUUUAAACUGUAGCAAUUUUGACCAAUUAUGUUAAUGGGGUUAUAUCCUCAUCCAAAGUUCCCAACCCAUCUUCGUUACUUCAACAAAUUUUUAUCCCGUUCUAGAGUAGAACGGGGUCGGAAUUUUUUUAGAAGUUAUAGUCAUCCUCUCUUAUUUAUGAGUAAAUAAAUUAUUUUUCAUAAAUUUUACAUCCUAUCUUGAUAAAAAGUAAAUUCGCAACUUCAAUUUAAAUACGUUUAAAGAGGAAAAAUGGAAAAAGAUAUUAAAUUAUUUUUACUUAAUUUUAUUUAUAAAUGAGAUGGAUUGAGAUAAUACUUCAAAUUUGUUUGACAAUUAUUUUAAAAAAUAUUUUUGAAAAAAAUAAAUUAAGGAUAUGUAUGGUAACUAUUUUCAAAAAUAGUUUUUGAGAAUAGUUGUUUUUUAAUAUUUUGUAUAAUAAAAGUUUAUUUGAAAACCUAAAAUAUUUUUGACCAAUUUUUAAUAUUUUUAAAUAUAUUUUAAAAAUAAUUUUUAUAUCUAAUAUUUUAUUUUUAAUCAUUCUAUGUUUAUAUAUAUUAUUUUUAAAAACAAUCAUUAAAAAAUAAAUAAAUAAAGUAAAAAAACAACUAAAAUAUGUUAUUUAAAAGUACCCUGUUUUUUGUUCUUAAUAAUAGAAAAUGGAAAACAAUUUUUUAUUAUCAAAUGUGUUUUCUUGAUUUUUUAUUCAGAGGAACAAAAAACUAUUCUUGAAAAUAGUUGCUAAACAAGCAUAAGGUGUUAGACAAAAUUUUAAAAAAAACUUCUCCAAAUCUAAAAAAUCAUUUAUACUAUUUUUUUUAGAAAAUCACUUAUAGUGUUUUCUAAAAAAUUAUUUGAUAGAUAAUUUUCUUAAAAACACUUCAAGUAAAAAUACCGUCAAACACAUUAUUAAUAUUAUUUAAUCCAACCUUGGAGUUAAAAAAUGAUUUAUCAAAUCCAACCUCGAUCGGUUUAAACUCUCCCAAACCCAUUCCCAUUUGUAAUAUCUGGUUUUGAAAAAUAAAAAUAAAAACAUAAUUAUGGACCCCGCAUUUCGACUCAUGCAUUUUCCACUCGAUGGCGAGCUCGAUUUUUGUUUAAAAAAUGAUUCUAUUGUUUGAAAAAAUGACUUGGAGUCGCCACUUAUUUUUGUUUUAUUUUUUUUAAAAAGGGUAAACAAAAUAAGAAAGAAAACCCUAAGUGUGACUCCUCAUUUUGGAAAAGGUAAUCUACGAAAGACCGGAUCGGACUUGGGGGUCAGAUUACUUACCAGGAAGGUACGGUAAAGACCAUAGCACCCCUCUAAGUCCCUAAAGUCGGGUCUGUACUAAUAAAAUGAAGCUGACAUGUCAAUCAGUAGGAAAAUCAAUGGAUACUCAAAUUAAUCAUGCACAUAUGAGAAUCAAAACACUCAAUAAAGAAUGAUCGAAGUGGGAAUGGACAUACCUUGGCAUCAAACGAUCAAUGCGCUAUCAAGAGAGCGGGUUAGUGCAUAAUUAAGAAAUAAUCUCAUGCAUGUCAGAGACUAGGAUGUAUGAUAAUCCAAUCAAACAAUCAAUCAAUCAAUCAUAAAGUCACCCAUGUUAGGCCCCCACCAAAACAUGUUUAUUUAGUAUGACUUAAUGUCACAGAUUCCAUUAUUCUGGAAUUAUGAAAAAUUUAUUCAUGCUUAUUGAAAUCAAGAGGAGCAGAAGAUCGUUUGAAAACCAGAACGGAAUUAAAACUAUUCGAGAGAAAACUGGAUUUUUGGAAAUUUAUUUGAAAAAUUGGAAUCUCGAAGAUUACUGGAAAAUUGAAAUUUUAGAGUUUAUUUGAAGAUCAGACUUUUAGAGAUUAAAUGUGAGAAUGUGAAUUUUAGAAAUUAAAUUUGAACGAGAUUGGAAUUUUGAAAAUAAUUUGAGAGUUUGGGAUUUUAAACGAGUGGGUAAGUGGAUGAGUGAAUAAGUAAAGGAAUGAAAUAAUAACAAUGGUGAAAUAAUAAAGAUUAGGUAAAUAAUUACAAAAGAUGGAAUUUUAGAGAUUGAGGAUGUGAAUUUAAAGAUUGAAAACUUAAGAAUUUAUUUAGAGAUGAGAUCUUUGGUAUGUGAAUAACUAAAUAGGUAAAUGAAUGGGAUAACGUUAAUAACGAGAAUAAUCAUUAAACGACGGUAUACGAACAGUGAAGCUUUUGAGAUUGGAAAUUAGAUUUGGAAGUCGGGUUCUGAAGAAUUAAACUUUAGCGAUUAUAAUAAAUAAAUAAAUAUGGAAUAAUAAUGCUAAUUAACAAAAAUAAUACUUAAACGAAUAAUAAAAAAAUGCGCAGUGGGAUUUUUUAUAUUGAAAAUUAAAUUAGGAAGUUGGAUUCUUGAAAAAUUGGACUUUGAAUAAAUAAAUAAAUAUAGGAUGAUAAUUCUGUUUAAGGAAAAUAACAUUUAAACGAAUAAAAAAGAAUAGUGAAAUUUUUAGGGUUGAAAAUUAAGUUCAAUGAUUGAGAUUUUUUAAAAGAGAUAAACAAGUAUAGAGUUUUUAAUUGACGAAAAUAACAUUUAGACGAAUAAUGGAAUUUUUAGGAUUGAAAAAUUAAGUUAGGCCAUUGGAUUUUUUAAUGAUUAGACUUUGAAUGAAUAAAUAAAUAUGAGACAAUAAUUCUAAUUAACAAAAGUGUCAUUUAGGAGGAUAGUGGAAUUUUUAGGACUUGAAAAAUGAAAUUAGGGCAUUGGAUUUUUGAAGGAUUGGAUUUUAAAUAAAUAAACUAAUAUAGGAUAAUAAUACUAACUAACGAAAAUAACAUUUAAAAGAAGAAAAAAGAAUAGUGGAAUUUUUAUGAUUGAAAAUUAAAUUAGGACAUCGGAUUUUUGAAGGGUUGGAUUUUAAAUAAAUAAAUAAAUAUGGGAUACUAAUUCUAAUUAAAGAAAAUAACAUUUAGACGAAUAGUGAAACUUUUAGGAUUGAAAGUUAAAUUAUGACAUUGGAUUUUUAAUAAAUAAACUAAUAUAGGAUAAUAAUAUUAAUUAAUGAAAAUAACACUUAAACGAAUAAAAAAAGAAUAGUGGAAUUUUUAGGGUUGAAAAUUAAGUUAGGACAUCGGAUUUCUGAAGGGUUGGAUUUUAAAUAAGUAUAUAAAUAUGGGAUACUAAUUCGAAUUAAAGAAAAUAACAUUUAGACGAAUAGUAGAAUUUUUAGAAUUGAAAAAUUAAAUUAAAAUAUGGAAUUUUUGAAGGAUUAGACUUUAAAUAACUAGAUAAAUAUGGGAUUAUAAUUCUAAUUGAUGAAAAUAAGAUUUAGAUGAAUUGUAGAAUUUUUAGGAUUGAAAGAUUAAAUUAAAACAUGGAAUUUUUUAAGGAUUAGACUUUAAAUAACUAGAUAAAAACGAGAUUAUAAUUCUAAUUGAUGAAAAUAAGAUUUAAACGAAUUAUUAAAAAAAUUAAAUUAAGGCAUGAAGGUAAAUAUGGGAGGAUAAUUCUAAUUGAUGAAAAUAAGAUUUAAACGAAUUGUGAAAUUUUUAGAAUUGUAAAAUUAAAUUAAAACAUGGAAUUUUUGAAGGAUUAGACUUUAAAUAACUAGAUAAAUACGAGAUUAUAAUUCUAAUUGAUGAAAAUAAGAUUUAGAUGAAUUGUAAAAUUUUUAAGAUUGAAAGAUUAAAUUAAAACAUGAAAUUUUUGAAGGAUUAGACUUCAAAUAACUAGAUAAAUACGAGAUUAUAAUUCUAAUGGAUGAAAAUAAGAUUUAGAUGAAUUGUAGUAUUUUUAGGAUUGAAGGAUUAAAUUAAGACAUAGGAUUUUUGAAAAAUUACUUAAGGACCUUUGUUUUGAAAAUAGAAUGUAAAGUUUAGAAUGUAGUAAAUUUAUCGAGACCAACAUAAGUUAAUUUAUACAAAAAUUUUAUUUAUAUGGUGAUUAGACAUAACUAAAGAAGGGAGAGAUAAGAUAUGAAUUAUUUUAAAUUUUGAAAAGGAUAUUCAACAUGAAUAAUUUGUCUUUUAAUUGCCUUUAAGUUGAGUUAACUAAAUUGGUAAAAAUGAAAUAAGAUAAAAAAAAUAAAAAAUGGAUGAACAAAUUAAUAAAUUAAUAAAAAAUGGAUCUACUCAAAAGAUUUUUAUUAUUAAUAAAUUAAUAAAUUAAUAAACUUUGAAAGAAAUUAGAAUUGAAAAUUAUUUGAGAAGUAGAAACUAUGAAAAUUAAAUAAUAAAAAUUGGAAAUCUUGGAAAUCAUUCGAAGGAUAAAUGAAUAAAAUGAUAAUAAUAAUGAUAAUAAUAAGUAAGUAAUGAAAUAAAUGCGAGAAUUGGAAUAUUGGAAACUGAAAAUUAAGUUCAAAAAUUGGAAAAUUAGAAUUUCAGAAAAUUAAAUUUGAAAAUCGGAAUUUUGAAUAAUUAUUUAAAGACAGAAUAUUUUAAAUAAAUGAAUAAUUGAAUAAAUAAAUGAAUGGAAUAACGAAAAUAAUAACGAUUGGAUAAAUAAUUACGAAGAUGAGAAUUUUGAAAAUUGGAAAUUGAACUUAGGGAUUGAAAAUUUAAAGAAUUAUUUAGGGAUGAAAUUUUAAAUAAAUGAACAAGUGAAUGAAUAAAUGAAUAGAAUAACGAAAAUAAUAAAGGGGAUAAAUAAGUGUGAAAAGUAGAAUUUUAGAAAUUGGAAAUUGAAUUUAGGGAUUGGAAAUUUAAAGAAUUAUUUAAGGAUGAAAUUUUAAAUAAAUGAAUAAGUGAAUAAAUAAAUGAAUAGAAUAUUAAUAAUGAUGAAAUAACAUAGAUUAGGUAAAUAAUUGCGAAAAAUAGAAUUUUAGAGAUUGAAGAUUGAAUUUAGAGAUUGAAAAUUUGAGAAAUUAUUUAAAGAUGAGAUUUUAAAUAUAUGAAUAAGUGAAUAAAUAAAUGAAUGAGAUAAAAAUAAUAACAACAAAAAUAAUCAUUAAAUAACUGAAUGUGAAUAGUGGAAUUUUUAAGAUUGGAAAUUACAUUUGGAAAAAGGAAUUUUGAAAAAUUGAACUUUAAUGAUUGGAAUUUUUAAAAUAAAUAAAUAAAUGAAAUAGUAAUAAUAACAAUGAAAGUAAUAUUUAAACGAAUGAACGUAAAUAGUAGAAUUUUUGGAAAUUUGAAAAAUUGUUUAAAGAUAGAAUUUUUAGUUAAAAUAAAUAAACAAAUAAAUGGAAUAAUGAUAAUAAUAACGAAAAUAAUACUUAAAUGAAUGAACGUGAAUAGUGGAAUUUUCGAAAUUGGAAAUUAAAUUUGGAAGACAGAAUUUUGAAAAAUUGUUUAAAGAUGGAAUUUUUAAAAUAAAUAAAUAAAUGGAAUAAUAGUAAUAACGAGAAUUGAAUUUAGAAAUUGGAAAAUUGAAGAAUUAUUUAGAGAUGGAAUGUUGGGAAAUUAAAUUUCGAAAGUUGAAAAUCCGAAAAAUUAUUUUAAGGAUGGAAUGUCGGAAAAUUAAAAUUUGAAAACUGGAAACCGAAAAAUUAUUUUGAGGAUGGAAUGUCGGAAAAUUAAAUUUCAAAAACUGGAAACCCGAAAAAUUAAUUUUAAGGAUGAAAUGUCGGAAAAUUAAAUUUCGAAAACUGGAAACCCAAAAAGUUAUUUUGAGGAGGGAAUGUCGGAAAUUAAAUUUCGAAAAUUGGAAACCCGAAAAAUUAAUUUUAAGGAUGGAAUGUCGGAAAAUUAAAUUUCAAAAAUUGGAAACCUGAAAAAUUAUUUUAAGGAUGGAAUGUUGGAAAAUUAAAUUUCGAAAAUUGGAAACCCAAAAAAUUAUUUUGAGGAUGGAAUAUCGGAAAAUUAAAUUUCAAAAGUUGGAAACAAGAAAAAUUAUUUUAAGGAUGGAAUGUCGGAAAAUUAAAUUUCGAAAACUGGAAACCCGAAAAAUUAACUUUAAGGAUGAAAUAUCGAAAAAUUAAAUUUUGAAAACUAGAAACCCGAAAAGUUAUUUUGAGGAUGGAAUGUUGAAAAAUUAAAUUUCGAAAAUUGGAAACCCGAAAAAUUAAUUUUAAGGAUAGAAUGUCGAAAAAUUAAAUUUCGGAAAUUGGAAUCUUAAAAAAAAAGUGUUUUGAUAUCAAAAUGUGAAGAAAUAGUAAAAAGAAUUAUGGAUUGUGGUGAUCAUCAUGUGCACGUCUCCGGUAUAAUGGCUAUAAACCCAUUUUAUAUAUUCUUUUCCACCACCACCACCACCAUAACCAUUAAGAGCCAUGCAUGGAUAUCUAUCACUCCCACCACAAACCCAUUUUUAUUUUGCAUAUUCACCAUGACUUCCAGCUCAUAACCCAGCCGGCGCUGUAGAGACUUCUCAUUGCUCUGCCCGUUUGUUUCAUUUCCAUUGGUAAUACUUGAGUUUUCAUGCGCUGAAGGCUUGUGAGUUUCUAGCAACUCUUUUAGCCUCUUGGCGGCCAUAGUGGCUGAACCCGUGUGCGUACGAGCUCGGGAUAGAAUGGAUGAUGGGAAAACUGUGUGAGGGUUGCAUCCUCUAUCCUUACCAUGGCAUGCAGAGGCCGCCGAGUAUGGAAGGCACCAAGGUAGGCAGCAAGCAUGUGCGGGCUGCACAUUACAUGAGAAGGAACGGGAAGAAAUUCAAGUGAAUGAAGCAGUGAGAGUGACAGACUUGAAGGUCGAGCCAAAAAUGGGUAUUAGUGAGAAAAAUGAGUGAUGAGUAAGGGGUGUGAGAGAAAUUAGUUGGAUGGUAUGACGAAAGAUUUAAAGAGGAUGGUGAGAUGAAGGCAUGAGCUUGGUGGAUGGGUAAUGAUGCAUGGUGAGAGAAGUAGUUGUGACGGGUAUUGAAAAAUGGAAGUGGUGAGCAUGGACGGUGAUAGAUGUAGUUGGGGGGAUGGUUUGGCUUGAGAAAAUGGGCAGAAUAUGAAGGCGUUUGGCUUGGGAUUGGAAUUCGAUGGAGAAUGGAUUUUAUGGGAAAGGUUUGGGAAGGAUGCUAAUGGGUCGUGUACAUGAACUGCAGUCACGUGGGAGGAUAUGGAAUAGGCAAAUGUUAGGAACAGGGGAAGACCAGAAAAACAGAGCACAAGGGAUAGGAACAAAAUAAUCCCAUACAAGCCGCGUUUCAUAUCCGGAUCAAUGGGCUUAGGUGAGGGUGAGCGCAAUCAAACGAGUAUCAAAUGGAAGACAAAACAUGAUUGCAUGUAUUUUCAUGAGGAAGCUUAAACAGGACCAAGUUAACAUUCAACAAAAACCAAAUAAAUGAGGAACAUGAACAUGCUAUAAUUCCACAAAACCAACCUGAAGGUCAGCCAAAAUAUACCUGUAGCACUUGAUGUCUAUUCCCAAUCAACAAAUAGCACUCAACAAUCAGCAGAGAAAAGAAAAGAAAAGCAUGCCAGUUGGAAUGAGUUAGAAACCCAUAAUAAUCAUACCUGAAAAACAAUCCUCCCCAAGAAGCCGUGUCGGAUUUCUAGCUGUUCCACUAGUUCCCUCUUUUUCCCUCUAGCUGCCUUUUCCUCAAGUCACCUCAAAAUCACAACCCUCAAGCAACCUGCAACCCUUUCCUUUUUCAGAUUCUUCUUUUCUUUUCACUCUCAGCACCUACUAUAUCCUUCUUCCAUCGGCUUCCUCUGUUUCUCUCGAACAGCUCUAAGGAAAAAAAAAACUCCUCCCUCUUCCUUAGCUUCCCCUCCAAGCUAUACUCUAAAUAUCUCUUCUCUGUUUCCAUCUUCUCCCGCAAGCCACCACCUGCUCCACUGUGCACCAUUCCGCCAAUGCGUCACCCUCCAAACCACCACCAUGGGCGAGCCAUGCAGCUGGUUCUCAGCAUAAGGAGGUCCCCCUCCAAAAAUGCAAGGAAAAGAAAAGAAAACAACUCUGCUCGAGCCCUCACCACACGUCCCAUGCUUCUCGUGUGUCUCCAGAAAGAGGUCCCUCCCCCCUACUUCAAAAAAAUGAAAGAAUUCCACUCUCCCGAGUGGUCCUAAAAUAAAAGAAAAGCUAUCCAUUUUUUUGAGGGGUCUACAACUUUAUUAUUACAUUUUAUUUUUUGUUUGAUGCUUUAAAUAAUUUUUAUUAAAUAAAAUUAUAAUUAUAUUGGUGGAGGGCUAAUUAACUUUGUUUUUAAGCGAGAAAGACAGUGAUAAGGUUGAAGUGGGUUUAAAAAAAUGAAAUAAAAGAAUGAAAAAAAGAAAAAGAAAAAGAAGAUAGAGAUAAGAUUGAGGUGAGUCCGUAAUUAAAAAAAAAAUGAAGAGUAGGAGAAAAAGUGACAAAAGCUUUUGCUUUCUUCCAAAAAAGUAAAAACAAAGGUUAAUGACAUCAUGUUAUCAAACUCUAUACAAGACCCUACUUGAAUAUUUCUAUGAUAAAAUGAAAUCAUUUUUUUGAACCCAAAAAUCCAAAUCCAACUCAUUUAUCUAUAUACUUUAUUGGCAUGGAAUGGGAAAAGUUAUAAAGUGAAAGAAAAUUUGAUCAUAUGAGAGAUUUUCCAAAGUUGGAGCCAAUUCAAUGCUUAGUGGGUAUAACAAAAAAAAAAUGUGGAAAUUAAAGUGAAACAGCCAAAUUUUUAAGGUUUGAGGGGAUGUCACUGCACCUUCCAAAUAACUGUCUAAGAAUGUGAGAUGUCAUUGCAUUGAAAAUUGAUAUUAAAUCUCAUAAAGUAACUAUAAGAAUUGCUUUACUUAAGUAAUAAAUAUAUCUUGCUUUUUCAUAAAGUUUAUGACCCUAAGUGAAUAAAAUUUUUAGAGUGGGAUGAAUGCAUUUCACGUGAGUCAUGUCCUAGAUAUAUUUUUAGAAUUUUCUAGCAAGAUAUUAAGAGAAACUUUAUGGUGAGUGUUUUUUUUUCUAGUUAAGGUGGGUACAAUUCGAUGUCAUUCGUAAACAUAAUUCAAACCCAAUAUAUUUUUUAGGUGUUUGAAUUGAAUAGAUUUGUAUUUAAUUUAAAUUCAUGUGAAUAUAUAUAAUUCAUUUAAUAAAUAAAUUAUUUUUAAAUUAACUCAGAUAACCUACAUUUGACUCGAAUUAACUUAUUUAAAAAUGGUAUUGAUUAACCUAAUAAUAACUUUAAUUUAUUGAACUCAUAUUUAACUCAUUUAAGAUUUGUUUUUCAAGUAGUAUGCCAUAAUUGGGUUAUUAUAUAAUAUUAGAACAUUAAGGAUAUUAUUUCAUUCAACAUUUAACUUGAUUUGAUUAUUAAACAUUAUCUUAUUAUUAAAUUGGUUAAACAGGUUAUGAUGUAUCACCUGGUUAAUAAUUAUAUAGUGUUUGAGUUUAUAUUUUUAAUUCUGAUUGUUAUUUAUGUCAUGUUUGGAUUGAGUUGUUUCGUGGAGUAUCUAUACAAGACAAACACAAUCCACCAACAUAUUAAUAAAAAAUUACGAGAUAUUAGGAGAGUAAUUUUGGUAAAAGUUAAUAUUUAAUGAUUUAAGAUGAUUUUAAAUAAAAUUAUAUUUAAAUGGUCAAGUCAUAUCAAAUCAUUAACUUAAUUUAUCAAAAUCAUUUUUGAUUUUAUAUUAUAGUAUUAAGUUAUUUUAAUGAUCAUACUUAAUAUACUUAAGAACAUAAAUUUAGUCUUAUCAACAUUCUCUAAGGUCUUCUCAAUUUUUAAUAUUUAUUUGAUACAUAUUUAAAAGCAAACAAGUCAAAAUAUAUUAUCUCAAAAUUUCUAAUUCAUACUCGUACAAGAUUUUAAAAUUCAUUAAUUAAUUUGAAAGAAAUUUGUUUUGGAACAUGCAAGUGAUGGACAUAUCACAUAUCUUAAAUUUUUAACUAAAAAACCUCAUAACAAAAUAAUUUGAUGAAUGUUUUUAAGUUUAAAAAACUUAGAACCAUUUCACAAUGAUUUUGGGAAGUUAGAAAUGUUUCCAAAUGCUUGAAAAUGUUUUAAUAACGAAAAUUAAACAUUUGAUAAAAAUUAAAGUUCACAUUCUAAGUAAUUGAUAGUGCUUCUUAUAAUUUUUUCUUUCUUUUCAUUAUAUAUAUAUAUAUAUAUAUAUAUAUAUAUAUAUAUAUUAGACAUUGAAAAGGUUUCACCAAUUAAAUGGUGUCACAUAUACAUUUUUUGUAUAACAUGAAUUGAAAAAUUUUCAUCAAUUAGGUGGUGUCACACAUAUAUUUUUGUCUCAUAGUUAAUACCAUUGUACCUUGGCCACAUUUGUUUAUACCUUUGUUUAAUGAUUAAGAUCUCACUACAUAUAUUUAAUGGUUUACAUCUAGACUUCGUCAGGUACCACUACAAAACCUUAGUAUUAUAUAUACAUAUACAUCAUACUAACUAGUUUUUUUUUUUUUAUCAAAACACUUACAAUAGAAAUGCUACAAAUUAGAAGUGUUUUUAUCAAAAUAGUUUCCAAACCAACCAUAAUAUUUGCAUUAGCUUUAACAUAUAAUAUCUUUUACUUUAGUUGUUGAUAUAGCUACAUAUAAGACCAACCAUUCAUAUGAUAAUUAUUAUGGAUCUUAUUUUAAUUUGAUAAAAAUAUCUACCCAAGCAUUACGCAAAUAGGGAUGACAAUGGGGUGAAAUAUAGACAAGUCAUUCCUAUCCCAACCUCACUCCAUUUAUUCAAAAUAAUUCUCAUUCUCGUCUCAUUGAAGAAAUUAAAUGGAAUGAGGUAGGUAUGAGAAUUUCCUGUACCCACCCCACCUACCUCUUUUAAUUUCUUUUUGAAAAUUUUUAAUUUUUUUAAAAUUAUUUUUAAAUUUGUUUAAAUACAUUAAAAUAAAUAUAUUUUAUAAAUAAUUUAAAUUUUAAAAUUUUUUUAUAACUUAUUAUUAUUAUUUUAUUAUUAUUAUUAUUAUUAUUAUUAUUAUUAUUAUUAUUAUUAUCAUUAUCAUUAUUAAAAAUAGGAAAAUAACAAUUUAUAUCUAAUUGAGGCAGGACAAGGUAAUAUCUAAAUAUACCCCAAACUUGUCUCGAGUUUUAAAAAAAUUCUCAAAAAUGCUUUUAACUCGUUUAUUUAAAUUUCAAAUCCAUCCCAUUAGGGAUGGGGUGAAAACCCGUCUCAUUGUCAUCUCUAUAUGCAAGUCAUAAAUAUAUAAUAAGAAAAAUAAUAAUAAAAUUAGUAUCUAUUUAGAUAAACUUCUUGUUUUUUGUUUUUAAAAUCAGAAAAUAAUAAUAACUUUUAUAUAAGAUAUAAGGAUACUUAUAUUUAAAAAAAAAAUAGUUUUAAAAAUCAUUUAAAAAUUUAAGGUAUUAAAAAAAUUUUACUAAACCAAAUUUUAAAAAAUUUUAAUGUGAUUUUUAAACAUAUGACAUAAAUUUAUAUUUUUUUGUAUAACAUGUUCUACUUUCAUAUAGAAAUUCUAAUUUAAAAAAAAAAUAAUAGAUGUAUUAAAUGGACACUUUAGCUUCUUAUUUUUUUAGUGGUUCACCUUGCCCCUUAGAUAAGAAGAUUAUGAAAAUUUUCAAUAAUUAUGAAAAAGAUAAAAGUGAAAGACUUUUGACAAAAUUAUGUGUGAGAUGGUGUGCAUCAACCUUAAUUUGGACAAUUAUGUUAAUGGGAAGAUGUUAUCCUCAUCUCAAUCACUAGCUUUAAAUUGUAGUACUUAUUGUAUUUUGGAUAAUUAUGUUAACGGUCAUGUCAUCCUUGUCUCAACUCAUGUUGAUAAUUUAAGUUAUAAGUUAUAGUCACCAUGUCUUAUUUAAACUUUUAUACUAUUUUUUAUUAUUUUUAAAUAUAAAUCUUAUUAAAAUUAAUAUAAUUUAAGAGUUAAUAAAUUAAUUUUUAUGAAUUUUAUAUUAGCAUUGAUAAAAAUUAUAUUUUCAAUUUUAUUUUAAACAUGUUCAAAAGGGGGAAAACGAAAAAAGAAACUAAAUUAUUUUUAUUGAAUUUUAUAAAUAAAAAUGAUUUAAUUUUAAUUUUUAUUUAAUUUUAUAAAAAAAUUCUCAAAUAUAUCCCUAAUUUGUUUGAACUGGUCCUAAAUCCUUCAAUAGUUGUCAUCUCUAAUUUUGACCAUAUAAAAAUUAAACCAAAAUAUAAGAAGGUUGAGGAAUAUCAAAUAUAAAGAGAGGUUGAAAAAAUUUAUAAUGCUUAGAGGUUUUUUUCUUACAAAUAGAACUUGUUUGGUCAUGUGAUUUAAAAAUAGUGCAUUUUUUUUUUUUUAAAAUAAAAAACUGUUUUUAAAAUUUUCUAACAAUGUUUGACCAUUGUUAUCUGGAAGCAAUUUUUAAAAAUAAGGUGAAAUAAAGAACAAUUUUUCGAGAACAAAUAUAAAUUGUUUUUAUUGAUUUUUAAAAACAAAAGGAAAAUAUGAGCCCAUUUGACCAUAUUUUCUUAAACUUGUUUUUACACACUUUUUUUUUUUUAAAAAAAACUUUUUAGAUUAAAAACAUUUUUUAGAAUCACUACCAAAAUGAUUUUAAGUAUUAUCUCACUUCACCUCAUUUAUAUAUAAAAUUAAGUAAAAAUAAUUUAAUUUCCUUUUCCAUUUACCCUUUUUAAUCAUAUUUAAAAUAAAGUUACAAAUUUACUUUUUAUUAAGAUAGAAUAUAAAAUUUAUGAAAAAUAAUUUAUUUACUCAUAAAUUACAUUUAUUUUAAUAAAAAUUAAUAUUUUUUUUAAAAAAAAAAGCAAAAACAAAAGGUGAAUUGAAGUAGUAAAGCUCGUUCGUAAAAGAAAAUAAAGAGGAAAAUUAGAAAAUAAUAAUAAUAAUAAUAAUAAUAUAAAAUAAAUUUAAAUUCAUAAUUUAUUUUUAUAUUUUAUUUAAAUCUUAUUUUAUUUAUAAAGAUUAAAUGAAUCUAAAAAUACACAAACUUUUAAUUAAUUUUAAUUAUAUAUAACUUAAAGUAAAACUAAAUAUUUCAUUAACAUUUUUUCGUAAUACUCUUGAACAAUCAAACAUAACUUAAAGCACUAAAAAAGUAUUUAUAAAAAAUUUCAGUUUGAUUGUGAUAAAUGUUAAAUUAUUAAUUUUCUUAAAAGUUUAAACUUAUAAGAUUUGAGUUAGUCCCCUCCCUAACAUACGAUCUCAUUUCAUAGAAUUGCAAAUGACAAGACGGGAGAGAUACCAAAUAAUUGUUACAGCUUAUGAUGCAGAGCCAGGAGCCCCAGUUGGACCAGAGCAUCCAGAGAUUCCACAUCCAUAGCAUCUAAAGGAGUCACAGCUAGUUGAAAUACCUGCUGACAUGAGAGCACCUGCCUUUGAAGUGCCCUCUACAGGACUUAUGCUUGAGGUUGCACCCUCUGCUCCUCCUGCCACACCAGGGACUCCGCCAGUUGUACCAGCUACAUCAGAGCCUCCUCCUCCAUUUGAGUCUAGGAUAGCCAUAUCCAUUUCCAAGUUCAGAGGCCUAUGUCACACUUUGCAGACAUUGAUCACUUCUAGCUCAGAGCAUCCUGACUCAACAGAUGACAGCCAUACGUGCCCAUCAGGAUCAGCUUAUCGCCACCUAUACCCAGCAUACUGCCAUCCUUAGGCAGAUACAACAGCAUCUGGGAGGUACCACUUUCUCUCUAUAAUUUCAAUCGCUCUUGCCACAUUGAAGACAAUGUUUAGCUUGGUUGAGGGGAAGAGAGUUGAGGAAGGAAGUUUUUAUUUUAAAUGCUAAGUUAUUUUGGUAAUUUAGUUGUUAAUGCUUAAUUUUAAAAAAAAAUUCUAGUUUUUAUUCUACUCUCCAUGGUUAUUAAGGAAAAAUUCUCAAAAUAAAAUGAGAGAAAUUGAAUUUUUGUUUUUCACUUGACUUAGAGUUUGUAUUAUGCUUACUAAAGUUGAUAAAUUGUUGAAAUUUCUAUUGAAUUCAACCUUAGUUCUUCCACUUUAAGCUAUUCACACAUUGUGCAUAAUAGGUUCCAAGUAUAAGAUGAAAAACUAUUUCCCUCUUGACUUAGGAAAAUUUUAGACUUGGUACCUUUGACCUCAAUUAAUAGUGUUGGGACACCUUAUAAAAGGCCAAUGAGCCUUUGGAAAAAAAAGAAGAAAGAAAAAUGUUUGCUUACCUUGAAACUUGAGCAAGGUUUGAGGGAUAUAUGGUGAAAAUCUUUAAAACCUGGUGCCCUAAGCCUUAAUUGGUUGGAAGUUACCGACCUCAAUGCUCGUUACAAGGGUGAAUAGGUGGAGUUUAACAUACUGUAGGUGCUUGGGUAUUAAAAAUUCAUUCUCAAGUCUGGGGUAAAAUCCGAGGAGUUAGUGGUUGAAAGAUCCUUAAAGCUUGAUGCCCUAAACCUUAAUUGGUUGGGAGUCAUUGAUGGACCCCCAUUACAUGGAAAAUUUAGAAAAUGAUACCUUUAAGCCUUGUACUCUUACAAUGAAAAAAAUUCUGAAACAAAAGGGUGCGUUCUUAGCCUAUUGAAUUUUGUCAGUUUGCUAAGUGUUGAAAAAGAACUAGGUUGGGGGGAGAGAUUAGUUUAGCAUACUAUAUUCAGAAACUAUCAAGUAACACUUAGAUUUUUGUGGAAGAGUAAGGAUUGGACCUUUGAAAGUGGAAACAAUUUUAAAGCUUCAAUUUGCAUAAUGUCUUCUCUUUAUGAAUUGUGAUUAGGCAAGGUAUUUGAUAACUCUUGUUGAAAUUUGAGUUUUAUAUCUUUAAUGUUCCAUGUGAGAGUUAGAUCAUCAUGCCACUUAAAAUUUUUUUGAAGUGAUCAGUAUGAUUUUGUAAAUUAUAUUACUGUUUGUUUUACUUUUUCUCCCCUUCAUUGCUAAGGAACUAGCAAUAUGUCGGUUGUGGGGAGUGAUUACUACUCAAAAAGUGUUAUUUUGUAGCUUGUAAUUAACUCUUUUAAACAUCUUUGAAUAAUAGUUAUUACCUUUUAACUCAAUUGGCAUGUUAAGGACCCUUGUAAUCGUUUUUAAUCAAAUUGUGUUAAGUUUUGGUGUUUUUGAUAGUAUUUUGAUCACCAAAGCAAUCCAAGAUUGAGGAGAGUUAUAUAGAAUCCAUGUAAAAUCAAUUGAAAGCUCAUUUACAUGAAGAAUCCAAGCUUUGAAGCUUCAUAGUCAUUUGCCAAAAGCAAAUCAUGAAUACAAGGAGGGAAAGAAAAGAGAGAAAUCUAACAUGAAGAAUUCAAGAGGACAGAAACUGUUGGACAUAUUUAGAGCACUUUCUAGAGUCCAUUUCAUGCGUACUAUAUGUUGUUUCGAAGCUCAGGAAGUCAGGAAUCCAACGCUUUAAACAGUACAUGAAUUGGAGUUGAAAUGAAAAAGUUAUAGCCAUUGGAAGCCAAUCAUACCAAGCUAAAGGCCAAUUUCGCAGCUGCGAAAUCAACCUUUGGCUGCGAAAUCACAAGGUGCUCGCUGCGAAAUCAACAUUUGGCUACGAAAUGGAGACCUUCAGCUUGCGAAAUUUCACAGCCCAUCUUGCAUGCCUACGAAAUCCACCUGAGUGCUUCCAGAUAUUUGCGACCGACUCUUUUAGAUUUUUUCUUUAGAUAUUUGUUGUUUAAAUCCCCAUUUUCUCCUUGUAAUCCACCAAUCAUAGGAUUCCUUAGUUAAUAAGUAAGAAUAAAGGGUGAAUAACCUCAUAUAUAUAGUUUGUAAUUUUCUUUACAAAAUCGUCUUGGGAGCUUGUUCUCAGAGACAACCGUGUGUAUAGUUUUGAAGGAAGUAAUAUACAGAGCUUUGCUCUGCCUUACAUACUCACUUUGAUUGUAUUUUUCUUACUAGCCAAACAAGCUAUAAAGAUGUUUUCUCAGAGAAUGAGUGGCUAGACUUUUUGUCUCUUGGAGUUAAGGGAGCUGGGUAAGGUGCCGAAUGCAAGAAUUGGAAGUUUUGUUGUUUCAGCUGUUAAUGAAGAGAAAGUGUGACCCGUUAAUGGUUUUUAUCUUUUUAGUAAACUUAAAACGCCGUUAAAUCACCUAGGCCAACACUUGGUAAGACAAGUGAUCUCCGUCCAUUGAGAUACACUAGUUUAUCUCUUGCGAGCCUUUGGGAGGUGGUUUAAAGGUAGGAUUUUCUAGAAUGGCCAACACUUGGUAAACUUUUGGACUCUAAGAAGACAUCCAUUAGUUAUCUCUUGCGAGCUUGAGAAGGGAAAUCCAAGGUUAAGGAUCACCUUGAAUGACCAAUACUAGGUGAGAGGUAUGAACCAUUGCACGAUGAAUCAGUGAGAGGGAUUUAGUGUUGGAAUCCAUAAAAGGGAAACAUCUGUACCACACCGGUUAGAGAAAUAACUAUAUGUUAAUUCUCCAAUGCGAGGAAAAGAUUCAAGUGACCGAAACUCUGUUUUUGUAUUAGGAACCUAACCCCAGUGAUCCUAAAACUCCAAGAAACGCUUUUCUUUAUUAGUAAUUUUAGUUACUAUUAUUUUUUGUUAGCUUAAAACCAAUCAUUUUUCAACCAAAGAUUAUGUUUUCUUUUAAAGCUAACCUUGAAAUGAAAAAACAUCAAUUCAACUUUGAAUUAAUGUCAAUAGUAAGUUGAAAACCCUUCCCAGUGAACGAUCUUAGAGCCACUAUGCUAUACUAGCUGAGGCUAUCCUAGUACAUGGUGAUAUAGGUUAUAAAUUUUGUUGGUUACUCCUGUCUGAGGACCAAAAUCAAGGUACACCAGCUAGGCACGAAAGUCACAUGGUAUAUUGAUGCACACAGUUUGUGGCACGACAGUUUGAUGAAAUUAUAGAAGUGUAGCACUCAUGGGCAUAUCAUGUGAACCUUAUUCAAUGUGGCAUUGACAGUUGGUUUAUAUUUACAUGGGUGUAAUGUCGCACCAGUAUCCUCUAAUGAACCUUGGAUUCUUUUUUCUUUGUUUCUUCUUCUCUUGGUCAAGCCAAACAAUUUGUCUUCAUGACUUUCUCCUAUUACAAAAAAGCAGCAUCUUGUGUUCUCCAUCUCUUCAUCCCUUUGUCAAGACACAACAAUUUGAUGCAUCUUUGCAUUAGGUUGCUUUCUCUCCUUCCCCUCUUCUUUCUCUUCGUCUCAUUGCUUAGUUUUGGCUACUCUGUUUCUUUUGAUCAUUAUGGUAGAGCAUCCUUGCAAGAUGUACAAGAAAUAUGUUGUGGUGCAUUAUCCCCUUCUCUACCACUUGAAAUCUGUUUUCCAUGAUCAUUAAUACCAAGAUGUUUAAGCAUCAAGUAAGGCAUCUCUUGACAAUUAUGCGAGAAAUAAGAGACAAGCAACAUACCGGUAUUCAAGAGAAGUGAUGUUCUACAUUUACAUUUGACAACAUGCAUUUAGUUUGAACUCCAAAUUUGGGCAACUCAAAAUCUCCACCUUCAUUAGGAUUGCAGAAAGUUAGCUUCUUGGAAAAAUGUGGAAAUGAGGCAUUUAGAAAUUUGAAAGAAUCACAAUGGCUUGUUGCUACUUCUGAAUAAUUCCAAGCAGUAACAACUCCAAAGAUAUAUAUAUAUAAAUCUGUCCCUGGGAAAGAGAUCGAUGUUUCUUAGGCAUGCAACCAUCUCUCUUAACAAACUCAGGGUUCUACUAUUGUGUCACGUUUGAAAGCAAUUUAAUCUAUGUUAGAAGUUUUUUUUUAAAUUUAUUCCAUUUUUCUUUUAGUUUUGAAACUUACAAUUAUACAUUGUAAGGUUUCAAGUUUAUCUAGAGAUAUAAAAAGUUGGAGUCGAUGUCUUAGUGGUAGGUUUCAUAAGAAAUGUAGUUAUUCUAUGAAUAUAACUUUGGAUUCUAAUUUUUUAACUUUCUAAUAUUGUAGCUCUUUAGUAGGUCUCAUAGAAAAUGAAAGUUGUGGAAAAGUAUAAUAUGGACUCAAUUUUUUAUUUAUGAGGUGUUGUUACAACACCAUUAAGUAAUUACCUAAAAAUGAUAUGUCGUUGCAUUGAAAGUAAUAUUAAAUUUAAUGGAGAGAUAUCUAAAUAAAAAUAUCACCUAAUUUUUAAAACAAUAUUAUGAUCUUACUAUUAUGUCAUGCUAGAAAACAAUUUAGUUAUUUUGUGUUAGCAUUUUUUUUGUACAUUAUAUUUUUCUUUUUGUUUUGAAGCUUGCAAUUGCAAAUUGUAAGGUUUCAAGUUCUUUCGAAAAUAUGAAUAGUCGAAGUCAAUGUCUUAGUGAUAGCCAGUAGGUUUCAUAAGAAAAGGAAUUAUUCUAUGAAUAUACCUUUGAAUUCCAAUUUUUGAACUUUCUAAUAUCUUAGUUCAUAGUGGGUCCCAUAGAAAAUAAAAGUUGUGGAAAAGUAUAAUGUGGACUCAAUUUUGACUUAUGAAGUGAUGCUACAACACCUUCAAGUAAUUACAUUGAAAAUAAUAUUAAAUUUAAUGGAGAUAUAUCAAACAAAAUUANNNNNNNNNNNNNNNNNNNNNNNNNNNNNNNNNNNNNNNNNNNNNNNNNNNNNNNNNNNNNNNNNNNNNNNNNNNNNNNNNNNNNNNNNNNNNNNNNNNNNNNNNNNNNNNNNNNNNNNNNNNNNNNNNNNNNNNNNNNNNNNNNNNNNNNNNNNNNNNNNNNNNNNNNNNNNNNNNNNNNNNNNNNNNNNNNNNNNNNNNNNNNNNNNNNNNNNNNNNNNNNNNNNNNNNNNNNNNNNNNNNNNNNNNNNNNNNNNNNNNNNNNNNNNNNNNNNNNNNNNNNNNNNNNNNNNNNNNNNNNNNNNNNNNNNNNNNNNNNNNNNNNNNNNNNNNNNNNNNNNNNNNNNNNNNNNNNNNNNNNNNNNNNNNNNNNNNNNNNNNNNNNNNNNNNNNNNNNNNNNNNNNNNNNNNNNNNNNNNNNNNNNNNNNNNNNNNNNNNNNNNNNNNNNNNNNNNNNNNNNNNNNNNNNNNNNNNNNNNNNNNNNNNNNNNNNNNNNNNNNNNNNNNNNNNNNNNNNNNNNNNNNNNNNNNNNNNNNNNNNNNNNNNNNNNNNNNNNNNNNNNNNNNNNNNNNNNNNNNNNNNNNNNNNNNNNNNNNNNNNNNNNNNNNNNNNNNNNNNNNNNNNNNNNNNNNNNNNNNNNNNNNNNNNNNNNNNNNNNNNNNNNNNNNNNNNNNNNNNNNNNNNNNNNNNNNNNNNNNNNNNNNNNNNNNNNNNNNNNNNNNNNNNNNNNNNNNNNNNNNNNNNNNNNNNNNNNNNNNNNNNNNNNNNNNNNNNNNNNNNNNNNNNNNNNNNNNNNNNNNNNNNNNNNNNNNNNNNNNNNNNNNNNNNNNNNNNUCCCAAUCUUUCCCACUUCGUCCAAACUUUCCAAGAUCUAAACUUUGUACAUGUUCUCUUCUUUUCAAUUAAAAAUUUUUAAAUUUUCAAAUUCAAAUUCCAAGACAAGCUAAUAAAACCCUAAAAUUAAUAUUAAAUACUAAGUGAAUUAAGUCAAGUUGGUAGCUAAAUUGAAUCUAAUCCGAAUUACUUAACCUAAACUCAAGUCAAACUCAUUUUUAUAAGCUGAAGUUAGGUUUAAAUUAACUAGGUUAUACUUUUGGUUCAAUUGAAUUGAUUAGACUCUAUGGAUCAUAAUUAGGGUUUGCAAGGUUGAGUUAGAUUGAACCUAUUCAUAAUUUUUUUUUGUUUAACUUCUUUUAUAUCAUAAUUUAAAUAAUAAAUAUGAUAAUAUUAAUUAAAAAUAAUAACAAAAGAAAAGAAUCACCUUGGAAUCACUCUAAUUUCAAAUUGAGGUUUCCUACCUCAAAAUUUUAAAUUUAAAAAAAAAAAAAAUUUAAGUGCAUAAACUAAAUCUAUAGUUUUUUUUUCGUAGGACUUUUUAUAUUCCAUAUAAAAGUUUUUACAUAGAGACAAGUAAUAAAUAUAUCUUGUUUUUUCAAUAAGUUUAUGACCCUGAUUGGAUACAAACAUUAUAGUGGGACGAAUGCAUCUUCACUAGAGUUAUGUCUUGACUCCUAACAUAAUUUUAGAAUUUUUAAGGAAAACGACAAGGAAACCUUAUGAUAAGUGCCUUUUAUUUAGGUAUGGUGGGUAAAGUGAUACCAUUUGUUAGUUGUUUUAUUUAUUUAUUUAUUUUUUUUAUGGAUUUAAUUGAAUAUAAUUUGUGUUUGAUUCAAAUUUGAGAUGAUCUAUAUAAUUUAUUUAAUAAAUGAAUUGUCUUUUUGGUUAAUUUGCAUAAUACGACUCAAAUUGACUUAUUUAAUAAUUAUAUUGAUUGAUCAAAUUAUAUUUUUAACUUAUUUAACUCAUCUAAAAUUUGAUUUUUGAUAAGUCAUAAUUGAGUUAUAAACAUGUUAGGUUAGGACGUUAAUCAUAUAAUAUCAUACAAUAUUUAAUUUGAUUUGAUUAUUAAAUAUAAUGAAAAUUAUGAAAAUUUUCAUGGAUGAACUUCUCGUAUGAGAAAACUAUGAAAAAGAUAAAAAGUACUAGAGGUGGAAAAUAAGACUUUAGAAAAAAUUAUUAGUGUGAGAUAACAUACACCAACUUUAAAGUGUNNNNNNNNNNNNNNNNNNNNNNNNNNNNNNNNNNNNNNNNNNNNNNNNNNNNNNNNNNNNNNNNNNNNNNNNNNNNNNNNNNNNNNNNNNNNNNNNNNNNNNNNNNNNNNNNNNNNNNNNNNNNNNNNNNNNNNNNNNNNNNNNNNNNNNNNNNNNNNNNNNNNNNNNNNNNNNNNNNNNNNNNNNNNNNNNNNNNNNNNNNNNNNNNNNNNNNNNNNNNNNNNNNNNNNNNNNNNNNNNNNNNNNNNNNNNNNNNNNNNNNNNNNNNNNNNNNNNNNNNNNNNNNNNNNNNNNNNNNNNNNNNNNNNNNNNNNNNNNNNNNNNNNNNNNNNNNNNNNNNNNNNNNNNNNNNNNNNNNNNNNNNNNNNNNNNNNNNNNNNNNNNNNNNNNNNNNNNNNNNNNNNNNNNNNNNNNNNNNNNNNNUUUUCUAAAAAUUGUUAUUUAUUUAAUUUUAUUUUUAAAAAUUGUUUCAAGAGAACAACCAAAUGAGGUGUUAGAAAAUUUUUUAAACAGAUAUUUGUUUUAAAGAAACAGCUUUAUAUAAUUAUGUCUCAUCAUUAUACAUAAAUGAGGUGGAGCAGGACAAUACUCAACCUCCUACCAAAACCAAGCCGAGUUUAAAAAAGAAUACUUCAAUCCUUCCCUCAUAUUUUUUAAACCUCUCAUAAGCCCAUCCCUAGUUGUCAACUCUAACUUUUACUAUAAAAAUAAAUAAAUAAAUAAAUAAUCUUUCGUAUACCAUAAAAAAAAAAAGGAAACUGUAGUAUUAAAUAAACAUUCUUCUUUCAAGAAUCAUCUUCUUUUUUUAAUUAUAUAUCUUAUAACUACAAAUAUUUUCAAAUUACAUUUUUGGUUUGUUUCUAAACAUUUACCACUAUCAAUGGAAGCAUUACACGCUAAAAAUACAUUUAUGAGAAUUAAUUCCAUAAAUUCUAUUUAUCAAGUUUUUAUUUGCUUUUUUAUACUAUAAUCUUCAUAAUUGUGUGAUUCAUAUUUCUAAAGCAAACUAACAAACCUAUUACGUGUAAUCUAAUAAGUUACAUUUCUACAUUUUUUCAUCAUUACACACUUAUGUUCUCGAGAUAUAAUCUCUCAUUGCUAGGUUUCAUAAGAAAAUGAAUUAUUCUAUGAAAAUGACUUUGGAUUCCAAAAUUUGAACUUUGUAAUGCCUUAUCUCAGUGGUGGGUCUCAUAGAAAAUGAAAGUUGUGGAAAAAUAAAAUGUGCACAUAAUUUCUAAUAAACUUGGACUUUUGGCUUCAAGCACCCUUUAUAAUCUUCAAGAGAUACCCCACUCUUGAACAACCUCUCAAGUGAUACCCCACACUUGAGAAUCUUCCUCUCAAAGAUAUACAAAUAAUUGAUCUCACAAAAUCCUAGUACAAAAACUUUAAGCUCAAAUGAUACAAGAAAACUAGAAUUGAAAUGUACACUAAUGAUAUGCAAGUUUUAGAACAAUGGUGCACUCAAAACACUCUUCCAAGACUCAAAUAUAUUCAAGAAAGGUUUGGGAAGGUUUAGUUCCUGAACAAUGAAGAUUUGAAACCUUUUUAUAGAGGAAAAAAACCAAACAGCCAUUGGGGGUUUGACCAAUUGAGCUGGGGGUCGACCAGUUGACUAGCCGUUAGCAUUUAAUGCUUGGCAUGUGACCAUUAGACCUUAACUAGACCUUGAUCGGACCUCGACCGGUUGAGGUGUGGGUCGACUGGUUCCUCAUCCGGUUGAACAACCAUUCUAGAAGAGAGAAAAGGUUGUUUGCACCCGUCAAUCGGUUGAGCUAGCGGUUGACCGAUUAUUGUUCACACCCUUGACUAGUUGAACUGGGGGUCAACCUACUCCUAGACCGGUUGAGCUGGCGGUCGACCGGUUCCUCAUCCAGUUUAACCGAUUGAGCCGUUUUUGGCUCAAGAACCAACUUUUUCAACUUAAAACCUUUUAAACAAGUUUGAAAAACAUUUAACACAAGGUUUUAGUUGAAAACAUGAAAUCAUCCAAUUUUAAAAUAUUUAAAGCAAAACAACUCUUGGAUGAUUUUGGUGCAUAAGUAAAAAAUGUAAUACAUGAAAAUCCUAGUGCACCAACAACCUUACAAAGAGAUAUUAUAAAGCUUGAGUCUUGAAAAACACUUCUCUUUGAGGUGGUCUUCUUCUUCAUGAUUUCUUCUUGGCUUGAUUUGUCUUUGUGAUUGCCAAUUUGGAAAUCGUUUUGCCUAAUCACACUUAAAAUAUAAUUAUUAAUUCUAAACCUUUUUUUGUUAUCAUCAAAAUCGAGAUUAAUCAAAUAUUGGUUUCACAAAUAUAACAAACUAUAUAUAUAUAUCAAUUUAAAAAUAAAAAUAAAAAUAAAAUAUAUAUUUUUUACUUCUUAUAUAAUUUUUUAGAGUUUGUCUUAAUAUUUUAUUAUUUUUUACUUGAUCGAUAUUUUGUGUCAAAAUAUCCAUCAAUAUAUCUCCUAUAUAUUUGAUAUAUCCGUAAAAUCGAAGUACUGAUAUAUUUGUAAUUAUCGAUAUUUUCAUCAUUGAGUUCAUUGCAUGGUCUCUGUGUUCUAUUAUUUACUGGAAAUGCUUCUCAUUAUAUGUUUUCAAAUGUAUUGGUUUCUACUAACUAUGAUAUAUGCAAAGACGUUAGCUGAGGAGGCUUCUUGGAAGUUUGCAAAAGUGAAUGGGAUUGACAUGGUUACAAUACAUCCAAGGUGGGUGAUUGGUCGUCUCUUACAGCCUACUCUUAAUCUAAGUGUGGAGGAAGUUCUGAAGCUACUAAAAGGUACCCUUCAGCAAUUGAUGAGAAUCUCUAUUUUAUGUUGAUCUUUCUACUUCAAUAUCAAUUUAUACUCAUAAUAAGUAGAUAAAAUGCAAUUAAAAAAUCAACAUUAUUUUCUAUUUUUAAAUUAUAAAUAAAAAAAUUAUAUUAAUAAUUCAAAAACUAUUUUGGAAAAUACUUUCUAAAAAAAUGUUCAUAAAUAAAAAUUAUCUUUUACAUUUUAGAAGUAAAAAAUUUAAUGAUUAAAACACUAUUUAAAAUAAAUAUAUUCACUAUUUUCUUUUCUUUUAUACUAAAAAGUAUUUUAAUAUUUUUUUUACUAUUAUAAAAUAAAAGGUUUAAUUUUUUUUUGUUAAAUUUUCUUCCUUCCUUAUUUUAAUAACUUUUUGAAUAUGGCUUUUAGUAAUAAGUUAUAUAAAAUGUUGCUAAGGAUUUUCUUUUAAUGAUUUGAAUUAAUUGAAAAUUUAUCAAAAUAAGAAAAAGAAAAAGAAAGAAAGAUGAUGGAUGGAGAGUUUUUAUUUUAAAUAUUCAAUUAAAUUUUUUUCCUAUGACCAAAUUUUAGAAAUGAAUUAUAUUAAUACAGAGUAGAAAUUGAAAUUUUCUUAUAUAAAAUGGUUGAAAGAUAUAUUUACUCAUUUUAUAUGAAAAUAAGUAGUUAAAAAUUAUAUAGUUAUGUUUGACUUUGGUUUAAAAAUAUUUUUCUAGUUUUUAUUUUUUAAACUAAUUUUUAUUUUCUAUAUUGUCUCUUUUUAAAAAUACGUUUGAUUACAAAAUGAAAACUAUUUUUAAAAAUAAAAAUUAAAAGCCUUAUUUAGUUCUAUUGUUUUAUAAGAAAAUAAUAAAAAGAAUUAAAUUUCAUUUAUUGAUUCUUCUUUUUUAUUUUUUCUAUUAGUUGUUUUAAUAAUAAAAUAAAAAAUAUAUAAUAUGUUCAAAAUUAAACAAAGGAAUUGACCAAUUGUGUAAUUUUUUCACAAAAAUAUAAUAUAUUCACAAAAAAAAUCAAAUUUAAGUUUUUCGCAAUUUUCUCAACCAAACUACAGGAAUCAUGUUUAAUACACCUAUAGGCACGCAUUCACUACAUGAUAUGGAAUUUGCGUAAUUAUACAAGGGUAUUCACUAACUGUACAAGGGGUAUACAAGACUACCUUUUAUAAAAGAUUUCAAUUGAUUUUGAACCACCUUUUUAUUUUCCUUGUCACCCAAAGAUUGCAUACUCAUGUCAUGCACUUUAUUUAAUUUUUACAUGAAAAUUUCAAUACUUUCCCCAAUAUUGAUGUUUGGGGAAAAAAAAUUUGAUCCUGAAUGAUCUACCCUUUUCUCAAGUAAAUUAUUAGAAACAUGGUUGAUACACUUAUGUGGACACAUGACUUAGGAGGAAUAUGGAAUUUGUACCACUGUAUAAUGGUAUUACACUAACUGUACAAAGAAAAUGUACUAAGUGUACAAGGGUGCACAAGGCUACCUUUUGUGAAAGAUUUCAAUCAAUUAUGAACUAUUCCUUUAUUUUUCUUAUCACCGACGAAUUGUACACCUAUGUUAUGCACUUUAUUUAAUUCCCACAUGGAAAUUCCACUUACUUUCCCCAGUAACGAUGUUUGGGGAAAAAAAUUUGACUUAUGUCAUCCACUAUUUUCUUAACCAAACCAUUGGAAACAUGGUUAACAUACCUAUGUAAACACAUAAUUUAGGAGGGAUAUGAAAUUUGUGCCACUAUACAAAGGUGUUAUAUUAAUUGCACAAGUGAAAUGCACUAAGUGUACAAGAGUGUACAAAACUACCAUUUGUGAAAGAUUUCAAUCGAUUCUGAACCACUUCUUUAUUUUCCUUGUCACCCACGGAUUGUACACCUUAUGUCAUGCACUUUAUUUAAUUCCCACAUGAAAAUUCCAAUACUUUCCCCAGUAAUGAUGUUUGGGGAAAUUUUUUUAACCCUAAGUCAUCCAUUAUUUUCUCAAUUAAACCAUUGGAAACAUGGUUAAACACAUCUACGUGGACAUAUAACUUAGUAGAGAUAUGAAAUUUGUGUCAUUGUAUAAGAGUAUUAUACUAACUGUACAAAAGAAAUAUACUAAGUGAACAAGGGUGUACAAGAUUACCCUUUGUGAAAUAUUUCAAUUAAUUCUGAACAACUUUUUUAUUUUCCUUGUCACAUAAGGAUUGUACACUUAUGUCAGACACUUUAUUUAACUCCCAUAUCAAAAUUCCAAUACUUUCGCAAUAAUGAUGUUUAGGAAAAAAAAUUUGACCCUAAGUCAUCCACCAUUUUCUCAAUCAAACCAUUGAAAACAUGAUUAACAUACCUACAUAGACACAUAACUUAAGAGAGAUAUGUACUUUAUUUGCGUAACUGUACAAGGAUAUUAUACUAAUUGUACAAGGGAAAUGUGUCAAAUGUAUAAAACUCUUAAUAGGUUUGUAUGAUUUUUAAACAAUUUGGGCUUGACAUUAAGACGAUUAUCAAUAGUUUUUUUUUACCAAACUAUGUCAUUAAUACUUUCCCUACAAAAAUUAACACAUAGGAAAUAAAAUUAAAAUCAAUCAUGUUUGAAUUGUUCAUUAUAAGUAAACUAAAUGAAAUAUAUAUUUUUACUAUUUUGCCCUAAUAAACAUAAUUUUAUUGUUAUUAGUACAGAUUAAAAAAUCCUAUUUAAAUGGAAUUAAAAAUAAACAAAAAUGAUUUUUGUAACAUUUUUAUUUUUUAAAACCAUUAAUUUAAAUUAUGAAAUUAGUUUUAAAAUAAAUAAAGUUUAAGUGGUUAAAUCAUAUCAAAUCAUUAACUUGAUUUAUCAAAAUAAUUUUAUAUUUUAUAUUAUAAUAUUAAGUUAUUUUAUCAAAUAUACUUAAUAUACUUAACAACUUAAAUUUAUGUGGUGUUUGGUUUUUGGUUGAAUAAAAAAAAACCAAAAUAUGUGAUUUUUUUAUUUAAUUAAAAAUAAUCUAUUGAUGUCAACUGGCAUAACUAAAUUGAACAUAUUAAUUACAAGUUUACUUUAGUUAUGUUGAUUGACAUCAAUAUUAUUUUUAGCUUAAUAAAACAAAGUCAAUUUGAUUUUUUCUAUUCAACUAAAAAACAAAUACCGCCUUAAUCUUAUCAACAUCCUCUAAGUUCUUCUCAAAUUUUAAUAUUUAUUUGAUACAUAUUUAAUAAGAAACAAGUCAAAAUGUUUUAUCUCAAAAUUUCUAAUUCAAACUCCUACUAGAUUUAAAAUUCGUUAAUUAAUUUGAAACAAAUUUGUUUUGGAUAAUACAAUUGAUGGAGAUAGUACAUAUCUUAAAUUUCUAACUGAAAAAAGCCUCAUAACAAAAUAAUUUGAUGAAUAUUUUAAGUUUAAAAGAUUAGAACCAUUUCACAAUGAUUUUGGAAAGUUAGAAAUGUUUCCAAAUGCUUGAAAAUGUUUUUAUAACACAAACUAGACAUUUUAUAAAAACUAAAGUUCACAUUCUAUGUAAUUGAUAAUGCCUCACAUAAUUUUUUUUUUCUUUUGGUUAUACAUAUAUAUAGGGUGAACAUACUUUUUAAGUAGGUAUAAAAAAGUUCUACCAAUUAGGUGGGUGAGUAUAUAUUUUUAAGUUUCAUAAUUUGUGCCUUUGUACCUUCACUCUAUUUGUUUAUACCUUUGUUCAACAAUGUAAAUCACACCAUAUAUAUUCAAUGGUCAAAAUCUUAACUUCGGUUAAUAUCACUACACUAUCUUAGUAUUUUUUUUCUCUCUCUCUCUCUCUAUAUAUAACACUAACUACUUUUCUAUGAAAACAUUUACAAUAGAAAUGCUACAUAUUAGAAGUGUUUUUAUCAAAAUAAUUUCUAAACCAACCUUAAUAUUUGUAUUAGCUUUAGUUGAUAUGGCUACUUGAUAAACCCAACCAUUCAUAUGAUAAUUAUUCUAGAUCUUACUUUAAUUUGAUAAAAAUAUCCACCCAAGCAUCACACAAAUCAUAAAUAUACUCCAUGUCUAUUUGGAUAAACUUGUUGUUUUCUGUUGUUAUGUUUUUAAAAUAUGGAGGGAUAUAAGAAUUCUUAGAGAAUUAUAUUAAAAAUAAAAUAAUAGUUUUAAAAAUCAUUUAAAAAUUUAAGGUAUUAUACUAUUUUUUUAUUAUUUUUAAACUUAAAUUUUAUUCAAAUAAAUAUCAUUUAUGAGUCAAUAAAUUAGAUUUCGUAAAUUUAAUAUUUAGUAUUUAUAAAUAUAAAAUUUUCAAUUUUAUUUUAAACAUGUUCCAAAAGGGGGAAAACCAAAAAGGAAACUAAAUUAUUUUUAUUUAAUUUUAUAAAAAAAAUUCUCAAAUAUAUCCUUAAUUUGUUUAAACUUGUCCUAAAUCCAUCCAUAAUUGUCAUCUCUAAUUUUGACCAUAUAAAAAUUAAACCAAAAUAUAAAAAGGUUGAGGAACAUCAAAUAUAAAGAGAGGUUGAAAAAUUUUAUAAUGCUUGGAGGUAUUUUUCUUACAAACAGAGUCUGUUUGAUCGUAUGAUUUAAAAACGGUUUUCUGUUUUUAAAAAUAGAAAACUAUUUUUAAAAAUUUACAACACUGUUUGGCCAUUGUUAUCUGGAAGCAAUUUAUAAAAACAAAGUGAAAUAGAGAACAAUUUUUAGAGAACAAGUAUAAGUUGUUUUCAUCUGUUUUUAAAAACAAAAGGAAAAUAUGGGUCAAUUUGACCAUAUUUUCUUGAACUUGUUUUUUUUAAAAUAUUUUUUAGAUUAAAAAUGUUUUUUAAAAUCACUACCAAAAGGAUUUUAAGUAUUAUCUCAAUCCACCUCAUUUAUAUAUAAAAUUAAGUAAAAAUAAUUUACUUUCCUUUUCCAUUCCCCCUCUUUAAUCAUAUUUAAAAUAAAGUUACAAAUUUACUUUUUAUCAAGAUAGAAUAUAAAAUCUAUAAAAAUAAUUUAUUUAAUCAUAAAUUAUAUUUAUUUAAUAAAAAUUAAAUUUAAAAAUGAUAAAAAUAACAGAAAAUAUAUUUAAAUAAGAUAGGAUGACUAUAACUUCUAAAAAAAUUCCUUGACCCCAUCCUACUCUGGUACAGGUUUGGGUCGGAAUAAAAAUUUGUUGAAGUAAUCAAGAUGGGUUGGGAACUUGGGAUGAGGAUAUGACCCCUUUCACAUAAUUCGUCAAAAUUCAAUAAUUGCUAAACUUUAAAGUUGUUGCAUGCCAUCUCACAGCAAUAAUUUUGUAGGAGGUCUUUCCACCUCCACUUCUAUUUGCUUCAUUAAUUUGUUUACACAUUGCUUUGCUUUCUACCUCUCUCUCUCUCUCUCUCUCUCUCUCUCUCAACAAACCCCUCCUUACUUGUUUAAUCUCUUCCAAAAACAAAUAAAAACAAUUAAUUCUAACUAUUCAAAAGUUAAAAGUUAAUAUUAUAAAUGUAAACUUAAAUGCAAGCAUAUAAAAUAUAUAUCAUAUCAAACUCUAAAUCUAAAUCAUUAAUAUAUUUAUCAAGUCCAAAUUAUUAAAUAAAAAUAAAAAUAUAUAAAAUGGGGUAUAAAAAAAUAAAACUAAAGCAUACAACAAAAAAAUGAUAUUUAGGUACAAAUAAAUAAAAAUUGGAUAUAAAUUAAUAAAAUCUAAAUCAAAGUGUUAGAAAAUCAUGUACAUAGGAUUUCAUAAUUCUAGUUUAAUGAACCAAAAAUAGAUGUACAAAACUCAUCUUGAGAUAUUAUGAUAGAAAUCACCUUACAUAUAUUGUUUGCAACGCUGCAUCACUUUAGUAGCACCUUGUCACCUUGUAUCGGUAUUAACCCCUUGUAUCUUCCCUCUCUUUACUCUCUCAUUCUUAAUCUUUGUAUAAAUGAUAGGAAAUGAGAGAGGGACCAAGAGCUAAGGCCAUUUUCUUUAUUUGUACCUUUGUUUCCUUAGUUUCUUCCUCUCUUGGUCAAGCCAAACUGUUCGGUUUCUCCAUUUCUUCUUCACCCCACUGCAUUUUGGGUUCUCCCUAUAACGGAAGCAUCCUUAAAUCAAGAAAAUCCCUCAAAUCAAGCAACAAAAAUGACUAUAGAUUUUUAGCUUUCAUUCAAGGAUGUAACAAUCCUUAUUUUCCUUGUAAUCGAUAGCCUUAAUUCUAGGAAACUUACUUAGAAUUGCUCUUGUUAAUGUGUAUUUAUUUUUUCUCAUACAAUCUCUUGUUAUGGUGUAAUAUUUUUCAAACAGAGCAGUAAUACAUUAUUGAGAAAUUCUCAAACUCCAUCAUGGUAUUAGAGCAGCCUUCCUCUCACGAGAACUCGAUCCCCAAUUCUGAAAACACCCACCACCCGAUUUCCACUCCACCAUCCCCAACCAAUAUUCCUAUCAUUGCUCUCAACAUCUCUGCUCAAAUAAAUGAAAAACUCACACCAUCAACCUUCCCUCAAUGGCGUGCCCAGUUUGAAUCCCUCCUAAUUGGCUACAAUCUACUUGAUUAUGUCACGGGUGACAAUCCUCCUCCUCCUCCGAGUGAUUCCUCCGCUACCAAUCCAUAGAAUACCCACUGGAUAAGACAAGAUAAACUUAUCCCCAGUGCCAUUUUGGCAUCCACCACCUCCACAAUCACCCCAUUCAUUUCCGUUACACAAACAUCACAACAGGCAUGGCAAAAAUUGCAUACCAUGUAUGCGAGCAAAUCUCGUACUCGGGCCAUGCAAUUGAAGGAGGAACUCACAAUGAUUAAGAAAAGGAAUCAGACAGUUCAAGAAUACCUGCACAUUGUCAAGGCUCUUGUUGACAAAAUCUCCCUCAUCGAUCAUCUCAUUGCAGAUGAUGAUCUCACCUUGUACAUUCUCAAUGGACUGAGCAGUGAUUUUCGAGAAAUCGCGACACCUAUAUGAGAAAGGGAAAAACCACUCGCGUUUGAAGAAUUGCAUGAUCUGCUCGUAGGCCAUGAUGCCUACCUCCGACGCCUUGAAACCACCACACAACAACUGGUUGCAUCGGCCAACUACUCCAAUCGGCAUCCUGCUUCUUCAUCAGACGGCCAACACUCUAAAGCUAACUUCAAUGGGCAACACAAAUACACUCUAAAGUGCCAAAUCUAUGAUGAACUGGGCCACAUUGCAAGACAUUGUCCACGUCUGCGCUUUGUUGAGCCCACUGCCAAUUAUGUUGCCACUUCACCUGCAACAAACCCAAAAUGGCUUAUUGAUUCUGGAGCUUCACACAACAUUACUGGUGAUUUAGCCAAUUUAUCUAUUCACUUUGAGUACAACGACACUGAUGAAGUUGUCAUAGGUGACGGUUCAGGUUGCAUGUCUCACACGUUGGCUCAUUGGUUCUCAAAUCACCCACACACACUUUUCAUUUAAAUGAUACUCUUUAUGUUCCUAAUAUUCACAAAAAUCUCAUUUCUGUCCAUCACUCCACCACACAAAACAAUGUUUUUGUUGAAUUUCAUCCCUUGUUUUUCCUUGUUAAGGACAAGAUCAUGGGGGCGGUUCUACUCAAAGGUGCAUGUGAAAAUGGCGUUUACACUCUCCCAGAUUUACUGGUGCAAGAUUCUCAAAAAAUGGUUGCCAAUGUGCAUGAACGGACCUCAAUCAAUGGGUGGCACAAGCGUCUUGGACAUCCCUCUAAAAAAAUAGGUCAUCACCUUGUUAAGAAUUUUUAUCUUCCAAUAAUACAAAAAGAACAUAGUUCUCAUUUUUGUACCUCUUGUUCUAUUACUAAAGCGCACAAACAACCAUUUCGGACCAAUAGCCUUCAAAGCCAUGCACCUCUUGAUUUAAUUUAUACUGAUGUUUGGGGUCCCUCAAAUACAAUUGGUCUUGAUGGAUCACGGUAUUAUUUGAUUUUGGUUGAUCAUUUUACAAAGUAUAUUUGGUUUUAUCUAAUGGAAACCAAAUCUCAACUAAGCAUGAUAUUUCCUCAAUUUAAACAUCUCAUUGAAAAUCAAUUUCAAUCAAAAAUCAAAAGUAUCUACUCGAAUAAUGGUGGUGAAUUUGUUGCCUUAAAAAAAUAUUUUUCUAUACAUGGCAUAAGUCAUUACACCACAGCUCCUCACACACCACAACAAAAUGGUGUAUCCGAGCGUCGUCAUCAUCAUUUGGUAGAAACGGGUCUUACCCUUUUACAUGAUGCUUCUUUACCUUUAUCAUAUUGGCCUUAUGCCUUUUCAACGUCUACUUACCUCAUCAACAAACAACCAACCCCUCUCCUACAUAACAAACCCCCUUUUGAAGCAUUAUUUCAUCAGCCCCCCAACUAUCUUAAACUAAAAAAAUUUGGGCAUCUAUGUUUUCCUCUCACCAAGCCCUAUAACACACAUAAGUUGCAGCCCAAGGCAACACCAUGUUUGUUUGUGGGCUAUUCCCCAACCCAAAAUGCGUAUAAAUGUCUUGAUCCACAAGCCCAUAAACUAUAUUUAUCUAGGCACGUUCUGUUUGACGAAAGUCAAACCCAUCAUCUCCUCCGUUCAGUCGAAACACAGGUACCAUCCAUGUCCAUUUCGCUUGCCCCACCUGUGCCACUCACACUUUUGCCGCAACCACCGCCAGUGCCAACGAAAGGUAACGCCAUUUUCGCCUCAUCUCCAAGUAACUGCCUCGACUCAUCUUCUUCUCUUUUUCGAGACAUGCAAUCCCUAAAUUCAUGCCCUAAUUCCUCUCAAUCACAUGAACACUUGCAUUCUAACUCAAAUUCACACACCAAUCCACUCUCAGAACCCAUGGUUGUCCAUGAUCACCAUCACAGUGACCCUCCACUGCCUCCUUCUCACCGCAUCCACACCAUGACCACUCGGUCAAUGAAUAACAUUCAUAAGCCCAAACAGUUCAACUCUGUGACCAAACACCCACUCUCACCAAUCGUUGAACCAACAUGUGUGGGCCAAGCACUUCGUGAACCUCACUGGAGACAUUCUAUGUCAGAUGAACUUACUGCUCUCAUGCGUCAUGGCACUUGGGAUCUAGUUUCCUAGCCCAAAAAUUGUAAUCCUGUUGGGUGCAAAUGGGUAUUCCGUGUGAAAUGAAACUCGGAUGGUUCAAUUGACCGCUUCAAAGCUAGGCUUGUUGCUAAAGGAUUUAAUCAACGAGAAGGGUUAGAUUACAAAGAAACCUUCAACCCAGUUGUACAACAUGCAACAUUAGGACUGUCUUGACAGUGGCUGUAAUGCAGGGGUGGUCAUUAAGACAGUUAGAUGUUAACAACGCUUUUUUACAUGAUGACUUGACUGAGACUGUGUAUAUGACACAACCACUAGGAUUCAAAGAUGUCAACAAGCCAAAUCAUGUGUGUAGGUUAUGUAAGGCUAUCUAUGGCCUUAAACAUGCCCCAAGAGCUUGGUAUUCAACUCUUAAACUGACAAUUAUGGGUCAUGGUUUUUAAAAUUCCAAAGCUGACUCAUCUCUUUUUAUCUAUUGUUAGAACUCUGUCAUAUGCUAUAUUAUUAGUAUAUGUGGAUGAUUUGGUUAUCACCGACAAUAAUUUGUGCUUUGUGUCUGAGAUUGUUGCACAACUUGGUAAUUGGUUUUCCUUAAAGGACAUGGGACAACUCAACUUUUUCUUGGGAAUGGAGGUUAUUUCUACAAAAUCUGGGCUUUUUUUUUCUCAACAUAAAUAUAUUCGAGACCUAUUGUCCAAAACCAAUAUGAUUGGUGCUAAAGAUGUCUCAACCCCAUUGUCCACCACCACGUCCCUCAAAUUGAUUGAGGGUACUUCAUCUACCAACAGUAUAGAGUUUCGAAGUGUCAUUGGUGCUCUUCAAUACCUGUCCCUCACUAGACCGAAUAUCUCAUUCUCUGUAAAUAAACUUUCUCAGUUUAUGCAUAAGCCUACAGUGACACAUUGGACAGUUGCAAAGCAACUUCUUCGCUAUUUAAAGCACAUUAUGUUUCAUGGACUUCACAUAAAAAAAAAAAAAUCCAGCUUUGAACUCAUUACAUAUUCUGAUGCGGAUUAGGCGGGCAACUAUGAUGAUUGGACCUCCACCUCCGCAUAUAUCUCAUUUCUUGGUGUCAAUCCUAUCUGCUGGAGUUCAAAGAAGCAAAGGGCAGUGGCACGUUCAUCCACUAAAGCAGAAUAUAGAGCCCUUGCCAAUGCAGCCUCCGAGACAUCAUGGCUUCUCUCAUUAUUCAAGGAACUAGGUCUGCUUUUAUCUAGACAACCCAAGUUGCUCUGUGAUAAUUUGGGUGCAACUCACCUCAGUUUUAAUCUAGUCCAGCACUCUUGAAUGAAACACAUUCAGAUUGACCUUCAUUUUGUCUGAGAUAUGGUUCAAAGUGGCAUUCUAAAUGUUCAUCAUGUUAACACCUAGGACCAGUUGGCUGAUCUUCUCACAAAAGGCCUCUCACGCCAAAGGACAGAAAUUUCAAGGGACAAGAUUGGCUUAGCCGAUGGCAGCUCCAUCUUGCGGAGGCAUAUAAAGGAAGCAUCCUCAAAUCAAGAAAAUCCCUCAAAUCAAGCAACAAAAAUGACUGCAGAUUUUUAGCCUUCAUUCAAGGAUGUAACAGUCCUUAUUUUCCUUGUAACCGAUAACCUUAAUUCUAGGAAACUUACUUAGAAUAGCCCUUGUUAACGUGUAUUUAUUUUUUCUCAUACAAUAUCUUGUUAUGAUGUAAUAUUUUUCAAACAGAGCAGUAAUACAUUAUUGAGAAAUUCUCAAACUCCGUCACUUCCAUCUCUUUGUCCUCAAACAAUUAAGACACAAACUUUGAUGCAUCUCUGUCUUGGAUUCUUCCUGUCAAAAGGAACAGUUGAAGUACCUCCAUUGCUUCUCUAUUUCUUUGAGUCAAAGGACAAAGUCUGCCUUUCUCUGUUUCUUCUAAUCAUUUUCAAAAUGCAACAUUGUGAGAUCUACUAAUCCUAAACUUGUUUCUCAAAGAAUCAAAAUCAUAAAUACCAAGAUGUAUACACAUGCAGGUAACACGUCCUCUUGACAAUGAUGUGACAGGUGUAGUAGACAAGGAACAUACAUACCUGUAUUCCAAGGAAGUACCAGUGCAUUUGAUGACAUUGUUCUAGCCUAAAUUCUAAAUUUUAGCAAUCCGAAAUCUGUAACUUCUGCAAAAUUUACCUAGUUGUUGAGGGAACAACACAUCUUCUCUUACCAUUUUCAUCUUAUGCACUACAAAUCCCAUGUCAACUGCCACUUCCACUAGACCUGAAUGAAGUAGGAACACAAAUGAACAUUUCAAGGCAUCGGAUUGUCUGAAAAUUAAAUUGGGAGAGGUAGAACUACCGAUGCUUACAUGGAACUGAGGAAAAGACAAACAAGAUCAACAAAAAUGGAAGAGAAAAUGCAAAUCCAUAAGCCUGUAGCUGCUGUCCAAAGCAGCUUCCUUGUCAAUUGUCAACAAAAAGUCCACUAUGAAAUUCACUGGUAGAGCCACAUAUAGAAAAUUGUAAUAAAUGGUAAAGUAAGAAAUCUGCGCUGGGAAUGGGUGAAGCUUAUUGAAUGUAAGGUUCUAAACAGUCUCUGACUAAACACGGUUGAAGAAUAGGGUUUCACAGGAAUAAUUUUCUUUCAUUGAGAUUAUUCUUUUAUAGAGUUUACAACAUAUAGAAAUCCUUCAAAUUAGGAAACUAAAUCACUGAUUAAAAGGAAAGAAUAACUCCUAACAAUUACUUUCCUAAAAAUACAAAGAUUGACAACUAAUAAAUAAUUUACAGCUUUACAAAGUUAUUUAUUUCCAUAUCAGUUUCGGUUUUCCAACAAACACCAUUGGAGUAUAGAUAGUAGCUCUUAGAGAGAAGUGAGGUCUUGGUGACCCUGGAAGGUUAAGGCUUCCAGAUACUGGAAUCUUUGUGUGCAGACAUACAUGAGAGAGAUGUAGGAAGGAAGAGGCAAGCCUGUGUCAUCCGAGCAGAGGCAUCUGGAAUCUUUGUGUGCCAUUAUUCAAUCCAAAGAGAUGCUGGGAGAGAUUUGUUCAGGAUUUAUGUGAUGUACAGUCUUUUCACAAUCAUAAAUAGUAUUUAAGUAUGGAAUUUUGGAAUAAGGUGAUAUACCAGUAACAUGGAAAAUAAGGUGAUCACAAAGGACUACACAGUUAGCAUGUUUGGAAUAGUUGUGGUUGGUUAAUUUCAAGCCCAAGUUUUAGCACCUAAAAACAUGCCCAUUUUUUCCAGACCCUUUAGCAAGCCUGCACGGAAGCAUUCUCUGGUUGUUACAUACAUGGUGUCUACAUAUCAAUCAACACAUUUUGAUGUUUUUUUCUCAAAUUCCAUAUUAAAGUUAUACUGGACACUUGAAUGCGAACAUGUCUGAUUAUAUCUUUUCUUUCCAGACAUGUUUCAUCUCUCCAGUGCACUAGGUUUGGAUGAACCUUAAAGCUCAGCUACAGAAUGAAACUGGAAUAUUAGUCAUGUUUUCUGUACAUAGAUUGAUAAAAAUGUUGAGUAAGAUCAAGAAAGCUGUUAAAUGGGAAGAUGAUGAUUUUCUUACUGUCAGUUUGCAUUGAAAAAAUGGUAAUCAGAAAAGAUAUUUUGGAUAGGAUUCAGAAAGAAAAUAUAUUGAUUCAAAAGUUAGAGAUAUAGUACCCAAGGGGCUAUGAUCCUGUAUAUGGAUGUUUCAUGUUUUAAGAUUGUGCACGAAGUGCUGAUGUUAUAAGGGAUCAAGGGUGGUUUGUGGAGUAGUCCCCUCUUCAGAGUAUUGCAAGUAUAUAAUCCUACAAUUCUGGAGUAGGCUUCUUCUAAUUUGCUCUGCUCCCAAUCGUCCAGAAUAGUGGAAAGCUUCAUUCAGUUGUAAUAAUUUUAUUAUUUAGAUUGAAUCAUAUUCAUUGGGUUUGUAGAUCAAGAGAAAGUGUCAUGGCUUUGAAUGUUUGUCUCUUUGAUAAUAUCACAGUGCAUUGGUCCACAGAGAUGGAAGCAUGACAGUUGAAUGAAAUGACUGAAAUGUAGCAUUCAAGGGUAAAUUAUAUGAAAACUUUUAAAUAGAGCAACCUGUUUGACUUCACAUAGUGUGCUUGCAUCAGUUGUGGACGUCUAAUGGUUGGAAUAUCCUUGCACAUAUGUCGUCAUUUUCUUUUCUUCAGCUCUGUUUUCUUUGUUUCUCCCUUCCUCGGUCAAGCCAAACAGCUUGGUGAUUCUUCAUUUCUUCUUCAUCCCAUCAAGAGAACAGCAUCUCAUGCAUCUUUGUAUUGGGUUCCUCCCUCUUCUUCCACCCUAAGGAAAAACCGUAUCUUGCUUAGUUUGGACUUCUCUAUUUCUUUUGAUCAUUGUGAAAAGCAUCAUGAGAAGAGGUACAAUAAAUGUGUUGUGCUGAAUUAUUCAAAACAUUAUUUUCAUAAUCAUAAAUACCAAGGUGUUUAAGCAGCAGGUAAGGCAUCUCUUGACAAUGAGGUGAGAGGUAGAAACAAGCAACAUACCUGUAUUCAAGGGAAGUUCUGUUCUUCUUCUGAAAUUUGACAACAUUCAUUUAGUCUGAACUCAAUAUCUGGGCAACUCAGCAUCUCCACCUUCAUUAGGAUUGCAGGAAGCUGGCUUCUUGGAAAGACAUGAAACGGGGGCAUUUCAAAAUCUAAAAGAAUUUCAGAGACCUGUUGCAACUUUUGAAUUGCUCAAAUCAGUAACAACUCCAGAGAUAUAUACAUAUCUGCCCCUGGGAAAUUGAGGUGUCCUAGGCAUGCAACCAUGGAAUAUUAGCUCCCUAAUAGGCUCAAGGUUGUGAUCAUAAAAAAUGCACUGAGUGGGUGACUUGCAAUCGGUUCUGUGAGUCCCUCUUGGUAGCUUCUCAUUUAUUGCACCAUAUGAAUUGCAGAUUCCAACUGCCAAUUUCACCACCCCUAAAUGAACUAGGAGACAUGCUGAAAGCAAAGUUAGACAACUCAUCAUAGAGUUAAUCCUGCAGGAAUACACCAAAAAGGAAAUCUUAUAAUAUAAAUGAAUUCAUCCAAUUAAAGGAUAAGGUUGCCUGAAAAAUUAAAUUGAGAGAGAUGGAUAUAGUGAUGCUUACAUGGGAUUGUGGGAAGGAUCAACAAGAGAAACAAACAUUGAAUAGCAAAUGCAAAGCCAUAGAGCUUGCAACUGCUGUCAAAAGCUGCUCCCUAGUGAAGUCUUUUAACAAUAAAUUUCAGUGCAAAAUUCGCCUAAUUGCUCCACUUGUAGGACAUUUCAAUAGUAUGAAAACAGGAUAUGGUGAACUCCCCCUGCUUCUGCCAUUAGUGAACUAAUAUGGAUCAAAGAUGAAUCUCGUCAUCUACAUCUAUUUUUACAUAGGAGAUGUGGGCAAUCUUGGGCCAAUAUCUCAUCAUUGGAUUUAGUAGUUGUCUCUGAUUUAUGGUUCUAAAAGCAUGGCAGGAUCACUUGCCAAAUACUACUAGAGCUUAGGUGAUGUCUCAAUGUGGGGAAGCCAAGGAUACCAGAUUCUGGAAUCUUUACAUGAAAAUAUACCACCAACGAUGAAUUGUCUGAGAGUGGUGAGUCUGUGAGGGCCCCACUGGGACCUGGGGUGUUUCUCACAUUCUUUCAAUCUUCAAUUUGAAGUAGCCACUUGAGCAAUUGUACCUCCAGGAAUGAGUCAUUUUGGGGCAGAUUGUUUUCAUUUUCCUUCACACCAUUGUUUCACUAUAGGGCACUAAAUGAUAUGUAGUUGCAAGACGAAUAGAGGCAGCCAUUAAUGAAAGCUUAUGGAAAUUCAAGACAAACAGAUCUUCAUGGAGAUAUGAGGUUUUGAAAUCCAAUAAAGGUUUGAAAAUCCAAACACGAGUUAUCCAAUGUACCCAUUGGUAACAGAGUUGGGCAGUGUUGUUCCUUCUACCCUUGGAAAAGGACAUCACAUAAGAAAUUCCACUAGUAAUGGGGGGCUUAAGUGAUGUGUUGGGGCUUGGGCAAUGCUGUAUCUUAAGAUAUUCAAGAGAUGUGUGAUCAUGCAUCAACCCUAAUUCUGCUAGCAUAAUCUGGUUUUCAGUCACAAAUAUGUAGUUAAAAUGUAUGGCAGGUCAUGCAUGCAUCUCUUGAAUUGUCAUGAGAAGUGGAGAUUGAGCAACAUACAUGAUUCAAGGGAUGUGCAACUGUUCUUGUGCAUCAAACAAUCUUCAUCUGAUACAAAGCUUAGAUUUUUAGCAACUUGUGAUCUCCACAUUUUAACACAUUGGAGGAAGUUGGCCUAUUCAACAAACAAGACAGAACAUUUAGAAAAAUGCAAGAAUUCCAGACAUGUGUUGUUGUCAUGAAUUAUUCCAAUCAGUAAGGAAUCAAAGUGCUAUAAUUUUGAUUUGUGUAACUACUUAGCAUGGAUAACAGACCUAUCUUGGGGAAGUAACUCAAGUCCCAAGCACCAACUCAAUCCUGAGCUCUCUGGGAUACUUGAGGCACCAACUUAAUCAAAGCUACUUCUUGUUUCUAUGGCAGCUCAUCUUCCUCCACUGAUACUGGGGAAAAUGCAAAACAAAGGGAAAUGAAGUCAUGUUGUGAUCCUGUCUCCAAUCUCCUUGACAUAGAUAGAUGAUUUCCUUGCAACCGACAAUGUCUAAUGCUUUCACUUCAGUUCUAACAUGUGUUUUGGGAAGAGAAUUAAGCUUUCAAAUAUUGCCAAUAUGCAAGGAAUUGAGAAAGGCCAGGUGGGCAACUGCCACAGUUAGUUCACAAACCAAUGGCAACAUUGGAAGUGGAACAUGACACAAAAACUUCAAAAGACAAAACCUGUUUUUCACAAUCAUAAAUACCGAGGUGUUUAAGCACAAGGUAAUGCAUCUAUUGACAAUGAUGUGUGACGUGGAGACAAGCAACAUACCUGUAUUCAAGAUAAAUGGUAUUCUUCUUUUGCAUUGACAACAUGCAUCUAGUCUAGGCCCCAAGUUUUUAGCAACUCCAGAUCUCCACCUUCAUUAGGAUUACAGGAAGCUAACCACUUGGAAAGACAUGAGAGUAACAUUUAGAAAUCUGAAAGGAUUCUAGAGAGCUGCUGCAACUGUUGAAUCAUUCUAAUCAGUAACAACAAGGAGCCCUAUAUACAAUUUUGAACUGUCAGCCUUCAUAGCAUGAAUGAUAAACUUGUCCCUAGGAAUGAUAUGUGCCUUGGGCAUGCAACCUUCAAUUAUUAGUUAGAGUUACCCCCACCUAAUCCAUCUCAAUGUGUCUGGGAAAACGAGGUCCACCAGAUGUUGUGGCCAUUAUCUCAUGGUAGUGGAUGUUUUGAAGCAAAGUCUAAAACGAAGUCAUCACUGGAGGUUAUGUCCAUUAUCCCAUUGCAGCAGAUGUUUAGCACCAGAGUUUAAAACCAAGUCAUUGACAAAGGCCAUAGUGAUGUCAUUGAUUUUAUUCUAAACUUAUCAAAAACAAUAUGAGAUUCACUUUGAUUUCAAGUUAUGCAAGAUCUAUAUGAGCUCAAUUGUUUUGAAACUUGAUUGAUGUUUCGUUGGUCAGGUCUUCUUUAGACAUGAACCUAUUUUUUGUGCUUAACUUGAAGAAGCUGCCAAUAAGACUGAAUAGUCACAUAUCACUCAGAGAGUUGAGAAUAACACAACUCUUUCGUUUUUUUUUUAGGACUGGUUUGUCAUCAAGUAUUUUGCUCGGUUGUUGUGAUGGUUUGAAAUUUCUAUCUGAUGACUAUAACCUAUAUAAACAACAACUUGUAUUCUCUUAUCUUGAGCAUUAUUUUGCAAAAAAGAUUUUUAUGAGCACUUCUAUUUGGAUGUCUUUCUAACAGUCGUUAGUAUUCAAUAAAAAUGACCUUUACUAAACCUGCAGAUUUUUUCAGGUGAUAUUUUUUUUUUACAAUAAGGAAGGGAGGCAUUUUUAUUGGUAGCAUAUCCUGAUUCAUAGAGUAUAAACCCUUGCAAAUUGAAAGAAAGACAAUUUACAUAUCAUUAAAGGGUGAUCUGUAAGCACUCUUAUAGGCCUACAUCUUCCUCAUUUGGAUAAGCGUUUACUUGUUUUUAAUCUGUUUUUUAGGAAGACAGUUAAUGAGAUUUUGCCAACCAAAAACAGAGGUUUGUUAGCCCUCCUACCCUCUGGCUGGUUCUCUUGCAUAUGCUUGAAGAAUAUUGGAAACCAAUUAAUUAGUCAUUGCAGUUUCAUAGUCUUACAAGAAAUCUUGUUAUGGUGGCAAGAGAACAGACUGCAACAUAGUCUCAUUCCCCUUCAUGAUUUAGACAUUGUAAAGAUCAAAAACCUAUUCCUGGUAAUAUAAGAAGAAGAGCAGCCAAAGAAAAGGAACAAAAUGUAUAGGAACCUUAUGGACUUGAAUAGUUGGUAUUCAGGUGGCAAAAAUACACAAAAAUGCACUUAACAAACUACUAAUCAGCAGGCCAAGAUUCUACUUCCAAGAGACAGGUUUGUCAUCCAUGUCAAGAAGGCUCGCACUUCAUUUUUGUGGGACUUUGAUAUCAACAAAUUUAUGGAAUUCUUUCAGGUUUCUAAAUGGAAUGGUUCAAGUCAUCAACACAUUCCCAGAAUUCUUUCGUAAAUGUCAUCAUCCUGGCUAGCUUUCUUCAGUGUUGAAAGAGGGGGUGAUACCAUGUUGCUAAAAAUUGCAGUCUAUAUGUACUAGAUGGACAAGAACUACAACACUUGUAUUAGAAACAUCUCUGUUGCCUGGAUUGGUAUUACUUGCCAUAAUUAAGCACCUUUUUAUUAUUGUAGCAGAGUGUUUCAAAGUCACCCAUACUUAAUCCAUCUUCAUGUCUCUCAAACAACUAGGUCCAUUAGUAGCAAAAGAAGAGCAAUUUGAAUAGCUGGUCAUUUCCUUUUAUAAUUUAGGGAUAAAGGUCAAAAACUACAACACUUGAAUAGCUGGUAUUAAGAUGGACAAGAACUACAACACUUCUCUCAUAAACAUGUAUGUUCUUUCUUCAACUCUUACUCUAUUGCCUGGAGUUGCAUUACCUGCCAUGAUUAAUCGCCUCCUAUUUAUUCUUGUGGAGAAACAGGUUUUGGUGUAUGUAGAGACUACAGUUGCUGCACCUCUUGAUUUUCAAGACCACCCAGUCUCUCCUCAAGCAUCUGGAAUUGUCAAGCUGAUUUAUGGCUAACCUUCCAAGGACCUUAGGGGUUUCAUACAGGGUAGAUCUAGUGCAAGAGAUUCAGAAUUAUCUCUACAUAAUCCACCUCCAUUUCUUUAGAACAACUAAAUGCUAUGGCCAAAAUCUCACUUAAGGCGUCAGGUUCAUGUUGGGGCUCAUUCACAAGAUUAAGAUGAAUAUAGCAGGGGAUGUUCCUGAUCUACCACCAGCCAUGUUGUCCAGUUGUUCAAUGCCCCUGUGUUGACUAUGGCCACAGUCACAGUUGUGUCCUUUCCCCAAAGAAAUGUCAUUUUGAAAUUUUUAAUGUCAACAACAGAACUUUCAUGUUUCUACAUUCAGGUACCCACAAAAAAUUGAGUCCAUGUUAGCAUCCAAUGAUGGAAAGUAAUAAUCUAAACAAUGGAACAAGGGCUCUCCUUGCUCUUUUUUAGAAGAACACUAGUUUAUUUCCAAUCAAUUGAGGAGGAAACUAAUUCUAAACACGGAAGCCAGGUACUUGAUUUCUGUUUGAUUGGUGGAACAACUGAAACAUAUUUACAGAUUUAACAUUAGAUAAGUUUAACAAAAUCACUAAUUAACUCCCAAACCUCUCCCCCCACCCACCACAACGGAAAGAAAAAACGUUUUGGGAUCCUAGUAGCUUUAUGUUACAAGAUUCUGAUCAACAUAUGGUGCAGAGUAUUAUGUUGGUCCAGUUCCUCUACUCUGCAUUGCAACAAAGUAUAAGUGGGUUUUCUCUUUUCUUCAUCUUCAAAUGAAACAACCCUUCUCAAUAAAAGAAUACAAGAAAUUGAAAGCUAAGACCGUUUCCUUUCAUUGUACUUUGUUUCCUCUGCUCCUUCCUCUCUUGGUCAAGCCAAACAGUCCAUGGUUUGUCCAUUUCUUCUUCAUCCCACAUCAAAAAGCAGUGUGUUGGGUUAUCCCAUCUCUUUAUCCCCUUGUCAAGACACAGAAUUUAAUGCAUUGCUAUCUUUGAUUCCUCCUAGUUAAAAGGAAGCUUGAAAUAUCUCCAUUGCUUCUCUGUUUCUUUGAGCCAAAGGAUAGAAUACUGCUUUUCUCUGUUUCUUUGAGGUGCAAGAGGUUUGUACAGAACUUAGGUGAGGUAACUAUUGGUCAGGGAGGUAAGCAGAUCUGAAACAUUUUCUUGACUUCCAACGGAAUAUCCUUGCACAUAUGUUACCAUUUUCUUUUCUUCAACUCUGUUUUCUUUGUUUCUUCCUUUCUUGGUCAAGCUAAACAAUCUGGUGAUUCUUCUUUUGUUCUUCAUCCCAUCAGGAGGCAGCAUCUCAUGCAUCUUUGCCUUGGGGUCCUCCCUCUCCUUCCAGCCUACGGAAAAAUAAUACCAUUGCUAAGUUUGGACUUCUCUGUUUUUUUUUUUAUCAUUUUGAAAAGCAUCAUGGGAAGAUGUACAAAAAAUGUGUUGUGCUGAAUUAUCCCCUUCUCUACUAACCAAAACAUGUUCUUUCACAAUCAAAUAUCAACGUGUUUAAGCAGUCGGUGAGGCAUAUCUUGACAAUGAGGUGAGAGGUAGAAACAAGAAACAUACUCGUAUUCAAGAGAAGCGUUGUUUCUUCAUUUGCAUUAGACAACAUUCAUUUAGUCUCAACUUGAAAGUGGAUUGCUAGAAUCUGAGCUCUUGCAAAGACACAAAAGUACAUUUAGAAAUCUAAAAGAAGCCCAGAGACCAGUUGCUACUUGUGAAUCACUGUAAUCAGAAACAAUUCCAAAUAAUCCUGCAAAUCUAAACCUUUGAUUUGCUCCGUUCCCUUUUGCCAAGAAUAGUUCUAAAACGUUUUUCUUUAUUGAGUUGUAAUCAUUUUAUUAUUUGGAUUUAAUUGUAUUCAUUAGGUUUACAAAUCACAAAAACGGUGUCGUGCUUAUGAAUAUCUUCCUCUUUGAUCAUGUAAAAUUGGGAAACAGAUAUGGAUUACUAUUAUGAUAGCAUAGUGUAUUGAUCCACACAGUUUGUGGCAUGAUAGUUUAAGGAAAUUACAGAAGUGUAGCACUGAUGGGCAUGUCAUGUGAACAUUUUUCAAUGGAGCUACUUGUCCAAAUUUACAUGGGUGAAUUGUCACACCAAUGUCCUCUGAUGAACCUUAGGUUCUAUUUUCUAUUUCUUCCUCUCUUGGUCAAGCCAAACAAUUUGUCUUCAUGAGGACUUCAUAUUACCAAUAAGCAGCAUCUUGUGUUCUCCUUCUCUUCAUCCCCUUGUCAAGACAGCAAUUUGAUGCAUCUUUCCAUUGGAUUGCGUCCUCUCUGCUCCCUCUCCUUCCUCCUUGAGGCAAAACCAUAUCAUUGCUUAGUUUUGACUAUGUUCUUUUGAUCAUUGUGAGAGAGCAUCAUUGUAAGAUGUACAAGAAAUGUGUUGUGGUGCAUUAUCCCCUUCUCCACCACCUAAAAUAUGUUUUACAUGAUCAUAAGGACCAAGGUGUUUUAAGCAUCAGGUAAGGAAUUUGUUGACAAUGAUGUGAGAGAUAGAAACAAGCAACAUACCGAUAUUCAAAAGACAUGAUGUUCUUCUUUUGCAUUUGACAACAUUCAUUUAGUCUGAACUCCACAUUUGAGCAACUCAAAAUCUUCACCUUCAUUAGGAUUGCAGGAAGUUGGCUUCUUGGAAAGACAUGGAAAGGGAGCAUCUAGAAAUCUGAAAGAAUUCCAGAGGCUUGUUGCUACUUUUGAAUCAUUCCAAUCAAUAGUAACUCCAAAAGAUGUAUACAAAUCUAUCCCUGGAAAAGAGAUGUGUCCUGUGCAUAUGCAACCGUCUCUCUAAUAGACUCGAGAUUGUGCACCCUCAUGGUGGUUUCGUAUAGAUUGCACCAUAUGAAUUGUAGAUAUCCAACUACCAAUAUCACUACACCUGAAUGAACUAGGAGUUAUGCUGAAAGUGAAUUUGGACAACCCAUCAUCGAAAGAAUCCUGUAGGAAUACACCAAAAAGAAAAUCUUUUUAACAUAAAUGAAUUCAUCCCGUUAAAGGAUAAAGGUGCCGAAAAAAUUGAAUUGGGAGAGAUAGAAAUAUUGAUGCUUGCAUGGGACUGUGAGAGGGACCAACAAGUGGAACAAACAUUGAAUAGUAAAUGUAAAACCAUAAAGCUUGUAACUGUUGUCAAAAGUUGCUCUCUACUGAAGUUUUUUAACAAUAAAGGUAAGUGCAAAAUUCACCUAAUAGCUCCACUUGUAGAAAAUUUCAAUGGUGUGAAACUAGGAUAUGGUGAACUUGCUUCCGCUAUUGCAGUGAACCAUUAUGGAUCAAAAAUGAAUCUCACCAUCGAUUUUCACAUAGGUGGGCUAUCUUUGGCCCAUAUCUCAAUAUUGAAUUUAGGAGUUCUGUCUCUCAUAUAUGGUUCCACUUGCAAAAUACAAAUGGAGCUUAGCUGAUGACAACACAUUUAGAAAAAUGCAAGAAUUCCAAAGACAUGUUUUGUGCUAUCAUGAAUCAUUCCAAUCAAUAAGGAAUCAAAGUGCUAUAAUUUUGAAUUGUCUUAGGGAACAUACCCCAAUUCAAUCUUGCGGAAGUAAACUGUCUUGAGCACCAACUCAAUUCUGAGUUCUUUGGAAGACUUGAGACACCAAUUCAAUCAAAACUGCUAGUUGUUUUUGUGGUAGAUUGUCUUCCUCCACUGAUACUGGGGAACCCCAAAGCCCUAUAUACAAUUUUGAACUGUCAGCCUUCUUACCUUGAAUGAAAAACCUAUCCAUAGGAAAGAGGUGUCUUGGGCAUGCAACCAUCAAUUAUUAGCUAUCGAAAAGGCUUGAAGUUGUGCACCCACUUGGUAGCUUCUAAUUCAUUAAACCAUAUAACUUCUAGAUAUCCAAUUGGCACGUUACUACACCUGAAUGAAAGUGAAUAGGAAGUUAGACAACCUUUCACAAAAAGAAUCCUGUAAGAAUACACCAAACAGAACUUCUUGUUAACAUAAAUGAAUUCACUCAGUUAAAUUAUUGUGUGAAAAUUUAAAUUGGGAUAAAUAAAAAUAUCGAUGCUUACAUGGGACUGUGGGAGGACCAACAAGAGGAACAACCUUUGAAUAGCAAAUGUGAAGCCAUAAAGCUUGUAACUGCUGUCAAGACGUUGCUCCCUAGUCAAGUUUUCAACAAAAAGGUUCAAUGUAGGGAUUCUCUAGUAGUUGAACUUGUAGAAAAUUUCAACAGUAUGACUUUAUACUUGUAAUAAGAAGAUAAAAUGUAAGAAUUAUGUGUUGGGAAUAAAUGAAACUUACUAAAUAUAUGGAUAGGAUAGGGUGCACUCUCUGUGCUUCCAUUUUUGGAAUCUAAUGGAUCAAAGAUGGAUCUCUCCAUCUAUUUCCAAAUAGGAGAAGUGGGCAAUCUUGAAUUGAUGUCUCAUCAUUGGAUUUGGAACUGAUGUAUAGCUCUAAAACCAUGACAGGGUUCUCCUUCAGUUGACAAAUACAACUAGAGCUUAGGUGAGGUCUUGGUGAUAUAGAAAAGUUAGGGAUUCUGGAAUCUUUACAUGAAAAUAUACAUGAGAUACAUUGGAAGAAAGGGCAGGCCUUGGUCAUUUGAGAAGAAACACAUCUUAAAUAUACUAUCAAUCAUGAUGAGUUGUUUGAGAAUCAUGAGUCUAUGAAGGCCUCACUCAUAUAAGGGAUGUCUUUGACAUUUCUCACUCUUCAAUCUUAGGAAGGUACAUCAUCAACCAGAACAUUAUGAAUAUGAGUCAUCAUGAGGCAACUUGUUUAUGUUUUUUAUUCUUUUCUCACCAGAGGGGAUUAAAAGAUAUUUAGUUGCAAGGACAAGAGAUGUAGCUAGUACUGAGAGCAUCAAACAAUCCUUCUCUAAUGCAGACCACAAAUUUUAGCAACUCGUGAUCUCCACAAUUUAGAGCACUGAAGGAAGUUAGCCUGUUGGAAAGAUGUUCCAUGACAUUUAGAAAUAUGCAAGAAUUCCAGAGAUCAUUCCAAUCAUUAAGGAAUCCAAAGCCCUAUAAUUUGAAUAGGGCAUCCACUUGGCAUGGAUAACGCACCUAUCUUGGGAAAAAGAUUGGGCACCAAUUCAAUUAUCAACUCUCUAUGAAACUUGAGAUACAAGGUACCAAUGUUAGUUGCUUCCGUGGCAGUUCUUCUUUUACUGGUAUUGGGGCAAAGCCUUUUGAAAACCCUCAAUCUACAAAUUGCCAAGGACAUGAGAUCAUGUUGUAAUCUCAUCUCCAAUCUCCAACUGCAAACAAAUUAUUUCUUUCAAUUAACAAUCUUUAAUGCGUGCACUUCUAUCAUAUGAUAAGAAAUUUAGGAAAACAAGUAAGCUUUAUAAUAUUAGGAAUAUGCAAGGAAUUGAUAAAGGCUAUGAAUCUACUUUCAAAAAAUAAAAUAUAAAAACAAAUAUUUUUUUUCACCCAUGAAUACUGUAACCAGCUUCUAAAAAACAUUAGGUAUUGAAAUAACCCAAUGUUCCUCAGGUAUUAAAGUUGAAGUUCAAAGUUACCAAGAGUGCUUUUUUGACCCAUGCAUAAAAUAAAAAGAAAAUAAGAAAGCAUAACAUAUAACUCAUAAUUGUGUCAAGUAUGAGUUCAAUUCAUGGUCAUGCACAAUUGCAUUAAGUAUUUAAAAGCUAAAUAAGGCUAUGUGCAAUUCAAAGAAUACCAUACAACUCAUAAUAGAAUCCUCACAGCUCACCAUAGAAUGAGAACUCAAACGUCUUUCUUCCGGUCAUAAGAGUUUGUGCUCUUCGAGCCUCUGACUUGCACAACUCAAGACAGCAGGACAUGCCAAAAAGUCUCUUUCACCUCAAACAUUAUUCAAAUCUGCAGUCUAAAUCUAGAUAAGAUAAUUUUCUACAAAUAUAACAUGUUGCAAACAAAUAACAGUAUGUUGGUUUAAAAUUGAAGAGCAUUUCAAACCAAACAAAAUAGAAAAAUUUUCAGUGUACAUCACUCACCUAAAAGCUUGUAUGUUGGAUAAAAUUCUUGCUAAUGAAUCCUGACAAUUAUUUGCAAUCAAAAUUUAGUAAUGGUUUAUAACCAAAAAAAAAAUAUUACAAAAUUUUUUAGCAAUGUUCCAUGAAAAACACAUUGCAUAUUGAUUGAGAAAUUAAUAUGAAAUCCACUAAUUUGAAAGGCACUAAAUACCAUAUGUUCUCUUGAGUUCUCCAUGUAUCAAAACAGAUGCAAGUUCCUAUUCGAGCCACCACAAUCACGGAGCAAAAGACUUCUUAGCAUGGAAGGCAUACCAUAUUUUAAACAAGGUUCUUAACUUUCCAAGAGACAUAAGAACGUGGUGUGUUGUAGAAACUGUAGAAUAAAUAAAUGGAAGUUAGACAUAUGCACUUGCUACUUAGUUUUUUAAUCAUGUGUGAAAUAAAUAAAGAGGUGUUACUUGCAUUUAGGCCAAACUUGUAGUCUCCAAUGUGAAAUCCAAAUCUCAUUUUGUCAAUAGAAUAAGAGUAUUAAACAUAUAGAAAAUUGAAUCCUUCCUUUUGACAAUUUGAAAACCUUAAAGGAAUGACUUGAGAUUAUAAAUAACUAUAUGGUAAAGAAAAUUUUCAUCAUUCUUUCUAAAAGGAAAAUUUGUCAUUUCCUUGAUUACGGAAGAUUGAUAUUUUAACAUAAAGUGCACUUAUUAAGGUAAACUUUGUGCAUUAUAUAUUGAUUUAGAAAAUUGUAUUUAAACCCAGUUAGAAGGGUAUCACAAAAGAUGCUUAAUUGAAAUGAAGGCAUCCAUGCCAAUUUGUAAAUGUUGUCAAAUAACACCCUCCCUUGUCAUUUUACAUCCCAUGCUUGCAUGUCAAAUCUUUAACUAAGACUGCUCAAAGAGCACCUAAAAUAAAAUUACGAAGAUUUCAUUACAGGUAGAACUUAAGGUGCUUACAUUGACCAUGAGAGAGAUCGAUAAGAAACAAAAUACUCCCCCAUAAGUUUGUAACUAUUGUACUGAUAACUUUCUUCCUAGUCAAACUAUCAACAUAACUCCAUGGAGACUUCCACAAAUUGUUGAGCCACUGGUAAAACACAACAUCAAUAUGAGAAAUUUACAAGGUACUAUGCAGAUAAAAGAGUAAGAAAUGUGUAUUGAGAAUAAGAGUUACCUUAAUGGAUGUAAGGCUAGGAUAGGGUUGAAUUGGCUCUGCACCUAUUUUUGCAAUUUGAAUUUAUUAUGGUUCAAAAAUGAGUUUAUGAUGUAUCCUCAUUUUAGGGGAAGCAGGAAAUCUGGGGCCAAUCUCUAUCAUUCUCCUUGAAACAUCUUUGAUUUCGAAGUUUGAUAAAACUUAGAAGACAACCUUUCACUUGGCAAGGAGGACUAGAACAAGGCAUCCCUCAAUCUCUACAAGUUAAAGAAAUGAAGUUUUGAAGACCAAGGGAGGGGGCUAGGAUUCUAGAUUUGACAAUAUUUUCAUUGAAAAAUCAAUGAGAGUUGUAGCAAGAAAUCCUGUCAAAAGGAAAUUGCAUUUAACAAUGUACAAUAUAAAAUGAAUGAACUGAGUUUUUAGAGAGGUGAAUCUUUGGAGGCUCCACAAAGAUAAGGGGUUUUAAUACCCUUGCAAGUGUAUUCGUGAAAUUGUUUCCUCAAAGGAAACCUGAACUUGGACAUUGUGCAACACAAAGCUGUCAAAGAGAUGUGAGACUCUAAAUCUGAUGAGGUAGGACUUGAGAUCCACAUUUUCUUAAGUGAGGAAUUCUGAGGUUGUAGACACACUAGUAGUUUCCAGAUUUAGAUACUUCUCUUCAAAUAUUUGUAUAAUGUACAUCUUCUUUGACAUUGCUGCUCCAACAAGAUGUCAAAUAGGAGGUGCAACCUAUUUGGGCAUAGUACACGUACAACAAAAAAUUUCAUUAAAACAAAAACUUUUACUAAAACAAAAAUAUGAAGUUAAUGUAUAAGAAGAUAAGAUUUAUAUAUAGUGAAUGAGCAUGAUUGAUUUUAGCACAAAGGGAAUGAUGCCAAAAUAUUUUAAGAAUAUCAUCACCACAAGUACUUGCAUCAUUAAAAAUUCCACAAGGAUUUGAUGGUUAGGCAAUAAAAUAAUUCUAGUAAAUGAGUUAAAAGCAGCUGAGCUAAGAAAGAUUAAAUCCAAAUAAGCAUCAAUCAUUAAAGAAUUAACCAACUACGAAAGACUUCAAAUGACGUUUUCUCUAUAAUUUCUGUUCCUAAUUGGCCUCAUUUGCUUGAACCAAAAUAUUAUUAAUUUGCUUUAAAGGAAGUGGGUGACUCAUAUCUCUGAAAGGAUGUGAGAGAUGGAAAUCCCUCGAUCUGUAGUGAUUCAAGAGGAUAAUUCCUAUGGCUAUUGUUGUCAUCAUACAUCAUUCAGCUAGCUAUAGACCACAAAAUUGAACAAUCAUGAAUACGUAGAUGCUUAAAUAUGGUGUGUACUUUAUCUAGUGGAAAAGCUUAUGAGACUUGGUCAUCUCGAGAUUUCUAGGAAUUAAGAUAGAUACAAGUUGUUGCUUCCUGUUAUAAUUUAUCUGGAUCGCAAUCAUCAAGCACUAACUCCAUUCACUGCAUGUUUUGAGCCUUCAACAUAAAACCAAAAUUCCAUUCUAUCGGACAAAAAAUAAAAUAUAAAAAAAUCACUAAUAACUCAACCAUUUUAUGUUGCUCAUAUUAUAAAAUGUAGGAUUUAACUGACUUCCAUCAUUGAAAAUGAAUUAAUAUAACUUUACAAUACUAGUAUAUUCAACUUUUGACAUGGCUGAAACUGAUCUUGGAAUAAAAAAUUACAUACACAAGUAGAUAUUUAAUAGAAGAGGAUCCAAAAUCUCUUCCAUUGAUUAAUGUAUAAAUGAAUUAAUCAAAAAAAUUUGAGAUAAUUAUGGGGAGAUGAACCUUGUACCUCUGAGUUUCUUAUUCUUCUUGAACAGAGCAAUGAGCAUAAAGUGUUGAGCACCCAGGAAUCUCCCUUCCUCCACAGGCAAAGUCUAAACAAUCUAUCCUUUCUUCAUAGUCCACUUCCUUGCAAAAGUCAAAACAUGAAGAAAAUAUCAUCAAAAUUGAGAUAGAAAUAAGUGCAUCAACUAUCUCAAGAAGAGAUUUAUGCUUACUGCUUACCUUUUGAAGAAGUUCACUUGGUUAGAGCACAUUUUACAUGGACGCCCAAUCACUGCAAGCUGCUGAACCAAAGGAGAGUUCAAACAUCUAAAAAAUUUGACAAACUCAAGUAUCAUAAAAUACUUCAUAUGAAUUCUAAAUGAUCUCAUAUCUAAAAAACAUUGGCAUAAAAUUAUUGUUGUUUACCUUACAUGUUUCUUCCAUGGUCAUAAUCGAAACUUUGUUUGUCAUAAAAAAUCUUCUAUGCUCAUCUUGAUUACUUACAAUGAACACUGAAAUGAAAAGAAAAAAAACCACAAAAAAUGAUGAUUAGUUUGGUUUGAUAAAUUUAGCACACAUAAUUUCCUUUUUCUUGCAUGAGAAGGAAAGAGUAAUAUAUAUAUAUAUAUAUAUAUAUAUAUCAAUUUAAUAAUUUUUAAAAAUUAGCAAUUAUAAAACUAUUUUGGUUCUCCAAAAAUUUAUGGGAAAGUAGGGAAAAAACUAUAAACUUUUUCUCUUGUUUGAUUAUUUAUCAGAAAAUUGAGGGAAAAACAAAAAUCUAUGAGAAAUUUAUUUAACACUUUUGAGGAACCAAAAAUGUUUUAGAUGUUGUCAAAUCAAUAAUUUAAACGUGUUUAAUUCCAAUUAAAUGAGUUUAAUCAAACACAUGAAAUUGUGAAUAAAAUUAUUUAAAAGCAUUGAAAUUCAAGUCAUUAAAGUUGUCCAUAAAAUGUGGUAUAUUGAAGCAAGAAAAAAACAAAGCAAUUUGAAUGACUUGCUAAUAAAGCAGCUAACUAGAAUAUGCCCUAGAGUUGUUCAGUGCCCUCUAUAUAAGAAAUAAACAGAGAACACAAAAAAAAAAGAAAAGAAAAACCUAGAAACUACAAUAAGUGAAGUGAUAAUGUCAUCUAAUUAGUAAACCAAACCAAGUCAAUAAACUACAACUUCCUCUAGUAUAAAGGUCUUGAUACAUUAGAUAUUGAAUUUGUUGGACCUGGCAAGGUAGAAGUAGUAAUGCUCAUUUUUUAUUGUGACAGAUUAUAGAGAAGAUUAGACACUGGGAAAAUACCAAGCCAGGAGCCAUGUCAAGAGCUGCUUUCUUGUUAAAAAUUAAGUCCAAUUAGAAAAUUACAGUAGCGCGUAAGAGAAAUUGAAAGUGGUGUUGAGAAGAGAAAGAGGAAGAAUGAUGUGUUGGGAAUGAGAUGUAAUACCUUGUUUAUUACUCAGAUGGAUUAGUCAAAGUAUCUGCACACGGGGAAUGUGGGCAAUCUUGGGCCAAUCAUCUCCUUCCUCCUUCGAGUACCUUUGUGUUAGAUGUGGGCAAAGCCACACAUACAGUCGUGAAAGGGUGUCAGGCAAUAGUCCUUCCCUUGGCAAAAUUGACCGGAGCUUAGGGCAACUUUGGAUUUCUAGCUGUUCAAGAGAGGUGAGGGUUUGGAGAGACAGGGAGGCUAGGGAUUCCAGAUUCUGGAAUUGUGAAAGGGUAAGGGAGGUGAGAGUUGUAGGAAAAAGAAUCGAGUGGGGGUCAUCCGAAAAGGAAGUUGCAUCUGGAAACAUGCCACCAAUCCAGAGGAGUUUAAGAGAGGUGAGUCUGGAAAGGCCCCAUUGGGAUAGGGGGGUCUUGAUAUUCUCACAAUUACGAAUGAAAAGCGAUGUAAGACGAGUGAGCUUUUUUAUCUGAGGAAGCAACAAUUCCAGAUUUUCAAAAUCUACAAUACGUAGAUCUGUGAGGGUGUUGAGGCAAUCUGGU
rnacentral:lncRNA from 1 species